CUGAAACAUGUCAUUUAAUGACAUUAAUUGGAUAAGGAUAGCCCCCACAAAGGAUAAGGAUAACCUUGAUCCCACCACAUCUAUAUAAGGUGACUGAAUUGUACCCGCCAUGGCCACAAAAACAUAUUGGUCGGCAGACUAUUGCAUAACUAUAUAUUUCUGUUAUUUUGUGUUCCUAGGCAAUGGCGAAAAAUGGCAUCUUCCAAGUGAUCAUUGUUUUUCUCAUGGCGCAAGUAUGCUUGCUCAUGAUGAUGGCAACACCGGUAGCACAUGCAACUGCUAGACCGGUGGGGUACAAUCCAGUGUGUUGCCCUAGGAACAUCUAUUGUUGCGGGUUUGGUAGCCGAUUGGCCAAUUCACCCGCACCAUCCAUUGUAUCUUGAUGUGUGGUUUUAUUCUCCCUCAAGGAGUAAGCUCGACAUAUAAAUGAUAUAUGUGGUUCAUGUGUUACCUAAUCCUGAAUAUUUGGGAUGCUACUAUCAAGAAGGUAUUGUACUAGUUACUUACAUAAUAAAAUGGGAGGAGAUUAUUAUAUAUCUUGUUCGGAACAUACUGCAAAGAGAUUUAAGCUUAUUUAUACUUUAGUCCUUUUGGAAGCUAGAUUAUUUGGCCGCUUUGAUUUAAGACUAAAAAAAAUGAGUGGUGUGGCAUGCACGUUAACCUCAUGAGUCUGUAGUGCCUGCCAUUUGGAAUCUCUGUUUUGUCAUUAUGUUGGUCUACACUGUCGAGGUCGUCCGUGUCGUGGCGACAUGCUUUAUUUUUCAAUGAAAACAUAAUUUUAAAGCAUUUAUUGGGUAAUAGAGUAUAUCAGCAAUUAGUAGAAACCAACUACUGUUGGGCAGCCUUGUUUGUGAAUUCAGGGAUGCACACUCUGUUUCUUUUUGCAAGAAUGCCAAGGCCAUAUAUUAAAAUUGUCCAAACCUUACAACACCAUCCUUACAAAAGCAGAAAAUAAACACACAUAUCCUGGUGUAUAUGAACAACGUCUUUCUCCCGCACUCACAUCCCGUGAGCAAAACUCGAUGUCGCAUUUCAAUCUCUAGAACACCCUCAGAACUAGGGUAAAUCAUUCUCUAUGUGUUUCCAAGUGAGUGCUCGAUUCCUCAAAAAAAAAACAAUAAAAAAGCGUAUAUGAAUACAGCUCUUUGGUCUUUGAUGGAGCAUGAAAGGAUUGUUUGUUGUCGAUCCUAUAUGUGUAAUCUAUCUAUCUAUUACUAUGCUAACUAGAGAUUACUUAGAAACUCCCACGAUUAGUUAGAAUUAUGAACUGUUCAUCUGGUGCGACCGUGUUUGGCAUAGGAUUUGGUCGAGGACCCGGAAAGGGAAAUCGAUGGAAAAUGAAAUGAAGGCAAAUGACCCAUAGAGAAAGAGAAGUGAAGGCCAUGUGAGGAGCUACUCACUAAGAGCAGGCGGAUUUGACAUUAGAUACCGUUUUUUAUUGAGAGAAGUUCAUAUUUCAACCCUCAAGUAACCACAAAGUUUAAAACUCAACCCUAAACUUCAAAACCGGUUGAUACACACCCCAAACUAACAAUACAGUGCAAAAAUCAACCCUGGUCCCGGUUUUGACUUAGUAAAGAGGUUUUGACCACAUUGACCGCUGACCUCUUGUUACUGUUGCGUGUGCACACGGUGCUGACCUGGACCACAUGUCCGCUGCACACACACUAUCUCAAGAAUCCAAAGGGUUACUCUCUCACAAGGAUCUUUACUCAAAAAAUAUCUCAAGAAUCCAAAGGGUCACUCACUCCUAGAACACGGCAGCACCGAGUGAGCACCGCGGCAUCCAGCAAGCAUGACAGCAUGCCAGAACACACAAACAUAUCGUGCGCGCCCGGCGGCGAGCUCACCUCCGUGCGCCUCGACGGCACGCACGCACACCCCCACGGCCGCGUACACCAGCACACAAACACGCACACCUCCGGACGGAAACCUGGACGCGGGAGAGCUCGCUACGAGCCGCGAGCAAGAUGUUGGUAGGAGGGAGGAAAGUCACCGCGAGCCGGCGCCUCACAACGCUCGGUGCUCUGUGCCGCUCUAUUGCUGCAUCCAACUCCGGCGAGCAAUUGCUGCCGACAGUCCGGGGUGGCUUUGCUGCGUGGCCGUGGGAGGGGCGUCGCGUGAUGGUCGGCGGGGAGUGGUCGGGGCAGGGGCGCCACGCGAGCUCGGGGCGGCAGCAGCAGCAAGACAGACUCUACUCCGGUACCAUGGUCGACACAGGGAGAGAGGGGAAGGAGAUAGACGUUUUGUUUUCUUUUUAUUUUUUGGGUGGUUAGUCAGCGGUCAAUAUGGUCAAAACCACUUUACUAAGUCAAAACCGGUACCAGGGUUGAUUUUUGCACAGUAUUGUUAGUUUGGGGUGUGUGUCAACCGGUUUUGAAGUUUGGGGUUGAGUUUUAAACUUUGUGGUUACUUGAGGGUUGAAAGGUGGACUUCUCUCUUUUUUAUUACAUACCGCCUCCAAGGAAAAUAUAAAGGAGAACCUGGAUACCAGCGCAUUCUAUAUACAAAAAAAUUAGUAAUUCAAAAAAAGUCCAAAAAAUUCCUUUUUUUUGGUAUUAAACAUGAUCAAGUAUUGUAGUCGUAUAAAAAGAUUCGUUAGAGAAUGACUUUCAUUGCACCCUGGGUCGAAGAUUCGGCAAAAAUCGCUAUAUACAAAUACUAUACACGCUAUAUUGUUGUCCCAAACUUGUCUUUUUUGCCGUGAAGUCAAUAUGAAUCAUUUCUUGUCCAAAAUUUUUAUACGAGUACAAUACCUCAUCAUGUUUGAUUCCAAAAAAGAUUUGAAUUUUUUUGAAUUACUAUUUUUUUUUCUGCAUAUAGGGUGCGCCGGUACCCGAGUGCACCAAGUUCGCGUCCCCGCCUCCAGUACUUACAGUAGGCGGUUAUGUUGUUCUAACCGUCUCCGUUGUGUGCAUAUUACAGCCGACUACAUCCCAUUUUAUCACCACCGGUGUUGGUUUCGUGCAUCAACUUAUGAUGAUUGCUUUGUUCAUGCUCGCCUUCGGUGAAGUCCGAGUCGAUUGUCGGCGUCCUGGGAACGGGGGUAUCCGACUUGCCUUCCUGUGGCCUAGGGCGUGGCUCCACCAGCGGCCUGGUACGACCCAUCUUCAUCAAUAACCACUCAAGACCCUCGCGAGGGGCCAAACCUCGCGAGGCGGACGACACAAGACCUCCUCAGAGGCCGCCUCCCUAGGCUAACUCGUGAGGAGCAGAGAGAUCAAGGCGAGGGGCACAUCGUGAGGUUUGCGUGACGUGAGCCAUGACGACCGAGGCCAGGCAGGCGCCAGCGGGCGCAGAGUACAAGUUGCCUCUUUGGUGCUAAAGGGGCAAGCGCAGACGAGGAGUCCCGAGGCAUCAGGCAAAGGUUUUCAAAUUGGUGCAACAAGACCAAGACCAGCAGGACGGCACGAUGGAGGUCUUCACGGAGCCCACGACGGGGUCACCACGAGAGUCUUUGGCAGGCGAAGACCACCUUUUGUCAGGAUAGCUUGUACUAGUUGUCUCCUUUCAAAUUGGCCGUUGUGGGAUCCAUUCCCGCCUAAUAUUUGAGGAGAGGACCCGGGCUUCUAUAUAUAGGACUAGCAACCACCGGAGCUAGAGGAAGGAUCCAAUCUUGAGAUCAUCCAAUCUAGAGAGGAACCAGACCAUCCACACAUACACACACACACACACAAGCUCACUGAGUUCAGGAACACCUCUCCUUAGGAGGCUGUUCUUCCCUUGUACUUGUUCAUCCCCAGCCUAUAAGGCAAUCCACCACACCACACUAGAGGAGGGUAUUACACUGCAACGGUGGCCCGUACCAGUAUAAACUCUUGUGUCUCCUGUAUCUCUUGUUCCUCCGGUUCGGCGAGCUAGACUUUGAGAUCGUAGUGAGAGUGUGAGCUAGGGGGAAAGAGAUCGUCAUGCGCACCCUAGUGUUCGAACCUCAAGGGUUUUGCCGGAACCUGUAAUCCGACAUUUGGCUCGCUAGGUAGGGGUGAGCUGAAACUUUUCUUUCAUCGAUCCGCGUUCCACUGCUCCAUCGCAUCCAUGUGUGACGCUCGCCGAGCCCGUGCCGAGCGCCGCGGCGCCCUCGCCGUCCGCGUCGCUCAGACGACGCCCAUUGGCGGACCUCCCAGCCGUUCUCCAUCACCCGCUGCCAACGCCGCCACCGGCCCGGCAGCGAACGAGCAGCAAGCAUCAUCGCUGCACCCCUGUGUGGCGGGAUGGCCGCACCGCCUCCCCGUCGCUGACUCCGGCCGGCUCGUCAUCCCACGCUCGUCGCGCGCCCACGGACACGCAGGCCGCGCUGCUCAUGGCACGUGAGCUCCUGCGUUACCUCCUGGACGAUGACCUUUACGAGGACUGGCUGGACCGCAUCGCCGAGCUCGUCAGCGCCGCUGGGGGCUCUCCUACACCACCCCUCUAGCUGCCUCGACCUUCCCCCAGCCGCGGGCGAUGUAGCUCACGGAGCGCCUCCGCCGCCUCCGCAUCAAGACGGCGCCCUCGUGCCGAGACGCGCGGCUCACAGAGCGCCCCCGCCUCCUCCGCAUCAAGACGCUGUCCUCGCCCCAAGACGUGCGGUCCCGCGGCGUGAUCCGCCAUGCCGUGUGCCUGCGCACGAAGAAGGAAGCUGCCAGGAGGUCCCUCGACCGCAAGAAAACGCUCCUACACACCCCGCACCAACACGUCAAGACCGCGCGCCGCCUGCGGUGGCGGUGCGUGGGUACCAAGAUCAAGCUCCGCCCCACGACGGGCCCCGGUGGCCACAGCUGGCUGCCGUGCCUUCACUCCAGAGCUGUGUAGCGUAGUCUGGCCAGACAAGUUCAAACCAGACCUACCUCCACGCUAUGAUGGCACCCCUGACCCCGCGGAGUUCUUAUAGCUCUACGAGUUGAGCUCCGAGGCGGCCAACAGAGAUGAGAAGGUCAUGGCGAACUGAUUUCCAAUGGCUCUCAAGGAUGGUGCUCGCUCGUGGCUCCUGAACCUGCCCGCGGGGUCAAUCUCCUCCUAGGGUGAGAUGCGCGACCGCUUCGUCGCCAACUUCCAGGGCACUCGUGAACGCCCACCGACCGCGGGUGACGUGCGGCGCAACAAGCAGCAACCAGGGGAAACCCUGCAAAAGUACAUCCAACGCUUCAACAGCGUCCGCCUCAAGAUCCCCAAGGUGACAGACGAGGCCAUCAUCUCCGUGUUCUCGGAUGCCGUCCGCGACGUCAAGAUGAAGGAGGAGCUCGCCAUCCAUGAGGAACUAUGCUCGGCCCUAGAGAUGUUCAACGUGGCGACCAAGUGCGCAAGAGUUGAGGAGGGGCGCCUCUUCAUCCUUGAGCUCCCUGCUGCCGACCCAGAAGAGAAAAAAGCCAAGGCCAAGGACGUGAAGCGCAAGGGAGUAGCCGUGCUCGCGGCGGAGCCGGACACGAAGCGCAGUCGGGACCAUCCCGAGUCGUCUAAGAGCAGCCGUUCGUUCUGUGCCUUCCACAACGUACACAGCCACAUCACCAACGACUGCCAAGAGUUCAGGGCCAUUUGAGAUGGACGCUUCGGUCGGUGCCCCGAGCGCAGCAACCGGGGCUACGACCGAGGACGAGGACGAAGUGGGGGACGUUGGGACGACCGCGGCCCCCAUCAGGAAUGGUGCGACCGGCCUCGCGAGGACCAGUAGCAGGACCAGCCUCGCGAGAACCGUCCUCAGGGCAAUGCUAGCCUCCCUCCGCCACCGCCACCACCAAGGAGGAACGACGACCACCAUCAGGACGAGGGGGCUAGGGGCUUCCAGGAGCCAUGCGCUAUCGCCUGCAUCUUGGGCGGUGCUCAGGCCCCAGCUUCCCAACACAUCUUCAAGUCUGUACCUAAUAUUAAAGGACGGAGACUUUCAUAGUUCUCCAUACGCUAUAUGUAAUUGAAUUGCGUUUUUACGUAAGUGGGCAAUCAGUUUUGUUUCAGGAGGAAGCGCUAUUGGGCUAGGCCUGCUGCAAUUUUCUUUCCCAAUGAUGGAGGAGCAGCCAAAAAUAUAUGCCCGUCAGGUAUUCGAACUCCAGACUCCCACCUUGGGAAUCGACCGAGGCAGCCAACUGAACCACGUAAUGAUUUCUAUUAGGAAAAAAUGUCGUUGCCCUAUCAAUAGUCCCACCUCGCUCCUUUCCAGCAAAUUUCACCAAUUUUUAUAUGUUUCUGAGUUGAAACCAAUAAGCCGCCUAAACAAUCAAGGUGAGGAGCGCAGGAAUGAAAGGAACUACAAGAAAAAUCUUGCUGCCCAUAGUUACGAAGGCAAGGAAUAAUCCUGGUUGCAUUACGAACCGGGACUAAUGUGAGCAUUAGUCCCGGUUCAAGCGGCGAGGACACCAUACAGGCAUUAGUCCCGGUUUAAAUGGGACCUUUAGUCCCGGUCCGUUUCAAAUCCUUCGAGAGGUAGUUAUGUUACUACAUCUACUAGUUAGGAAAAUUUAAAAACUUAAAUUUGGACAUGUUUUGCAAAAAAUGUAGGGAAAAUGUAAAACGGCUAUAACUUUUGCAUACGAUGUCGGAAAAAACGUAUAAUAUAUCAAAAUGUUCGGAACGAAAAUCUGCAUCUGAUGGAGAUGGCCUAUGGCCUAUUUGCAAAUUUUUAGAAUCCUCAAAUUUUAAAAGGAAAAAAAGUUAUGCUCAAAUUUCAGUUUUUUUGAAUUUUUAUUAAAUCUGGUCAAACUAUGGUCAAACUACUUAUUCAAGAAUAUUAGUGUUACUAAAUAAUUAUUCAAGAAUAUUAGUGUUACUAAAUAAUUAUUUCAGUUUUUUUAAAUUGUGGUCAAACUGUGGUCAAACUACUUAUUCAAGAAAUAUUAGUGUUACUAAAUAAUUAUUGAUUUUUGGAACAAUAGUUUCAAACUCAGACAGUGAAAUGUGUGACUUCAUGCUCAAGCUAAAUUCCUGAGGGUUAAUAGGAUUGCCAUCUUACUAUUGUCAGGAAAACAACAAGUGCAGACCUGGAAACGAGGGAUAAUAGAACCCGAAAGUUAAGCGUGCUCAGGCUGGAGUAGUGAGAGGAUGGGUGACCGUUCGGGAAGUUAGAUGAUUUGGAAUGAUGAGGGGUGAUUAGAGAUUAAAGGUUAAAUUGAGCAGUGAUGAGGGAUGAUUAGAGAUUAGAGGUUAAAAUAAUUCAUAAAUUUGAAAUUCAAAAAAAAAAUUCAAAAAAAGUCAUAAAAUAUCCUUUAGUACUGGUUGGUGUUACCGACCGGGACUAAAGGUGGACCUCCGGGCAACGGCCACGUGGAGGGCCUUUAGUCCCGGUUCCAGUUAGAACCGGGACUAAAGGGGGAGGCUUUAGUACCGACCCUUUAGUCCCGGUUCCAGAACCGGGACUAAAGGCCCUUAUGAACCGGGACUAAAGGCCCUUUUUCUACUAGUGAGGGAGCAAACAGGUGCUCCCUAGCGUUCCCUGGCACACACCCUUUUAAAGGAAAGAUAUCUCCCCCGUCCAGAAAGAGGAUCAAAAUAGGAAAGUCCCAGUACCUGGUCCCUGCCCCGAUAAGUUCUCACGCAACAACAAACAACCCUCCCCCUCGUCAAUCACGUGCAAGAAAAAGGACGUGAGUUCGUGAGUUCCCUGCUUCUUCCCCUUUCCUCCACGCCCCGUCCUUCCAGAUCUCAAUCCAGAUGGAAGCUCCGUCUUGGCCCUGUCUCCUUUUAUCACCAUGACCAUAAUGCUUUGAAGGUAACUAAUGGUUUUGGGGUAAGAACAUAACCUAAAUUCUUAAAAUAAAAGUGCAGAAAACAUAAAACACAGGCAAGGCACAUGCUUAGCAUUAGCAAGUCACAUUCAAAUGUCAAGCAAGUCCUACUAAAAAAAGACAACAAUUCUGGAAAGAAAUUAUGUGUAAUUCAUUGUGACUUUGCAAUCCAGACAAAAAACUUGUAUUGCGCAGUGUUGCCUUUGAAAACACAUUGUUCAAAAGAUUUUUGUUUGGAUAACAUGAAGACUAAAUGUUGUGUUGUUAUGAAUGCAUCAUUCCUCACUGUAUAUCAGGUUGCAUUUGUCUAGAAUAAGAAAUAUAGACAAGCAACAUUUGUGUGAUUUGGGGCAAAUUCAGUGGAAUCAACAGCGUAGGCUGCCCUGAUUUGUUAAUUAAAAAACACAACAAGUUGAUGGUUCAUGCUUUCAUAUGCUUAUUUGUAGUUGUGUAUGCAAAAACUACAAAAAAAAGUCAAAGUAAAAAAUCUCUGGGCAAGUCGCACCAGCUUCUCUAGCAACUAACUAUCAUGUGUUGGGCAUAUUUUUGGCGAAAUAAAACCCAGCGCUCUCGAGAGCGGAUCUUUGGGCAACUCAUGCCAGCAUCUCUAGCAACUAACUAUCAUGCGUUGGGCAAGUUUUCGGACACUUUUGGCUCAAAUCAUCGAUGAUUCCAACCCCCACAUCGCAGGAGUGGUUGGGCAACUCAUGCCAUCAUCUCUGGCAACUCAUUAUCAUGCGGUGGGCAAGUUUUGGAUGCUUUCGGCUCAAAUCAUCAACGAUUCCAGCCACCGCAUCCCCAAGUCGUAAACCACCGCCGCGCUCGAAAUCAUCGAGUUGCCCAAAUAGCCGGGACCCCACACCCCCCUCUUCAACCUCCCUAUCUCUCCUCUAUCACAUAGAAUCCUAGAUUUGAGUAGAAGACAAAUGCUUAGGGGGGCGAUUUCGAGAUACUUACAGACGGUUUGUGGCCCAUUCCUCGACUAGUGGCGACAACACUUUCUCGGCUCUAGGUCCUCCCCGCUAGGUGGUCGCAGCGCAUGGAUGGCACUGCCAUCUUUGCUCUUCCUCUUGCCUCGCUUCCUGUUCGCCGGCACUCUGACACAUCUCUCCUCCCUCACCUUGCUAGUUGCCGCAGAUCCUAUGCCAAAAGAUAUUGAAAAUAUUAUAGGCAACUUUCUGACAUUAUUAGGCAAGUUAGUGUAGAAAACAUUGACUACAAGAAAGCAUAUUUUUGGCUAGAACUCAAUGGUCAAAAAGGUUAUAGAUUGUAAAUACACACAUACAUGAUGCAUGCUCACGGCUUCAUGAGCCUACAAAUCCAUUGGAUGGUUAAGGAAAGAAGAGAUACAAAGAAGAACACAAAAGAAUCACAAAGAUUCAUGAGUGUAUCACCACAUGACAAGAAAUUCCAUUGAUUUGUCUCCCUCCUAUACAUGUAUUUUAUCUCAUAAUAUAAUCAAGGCUGUAAUUAGUGUAGCAGCAGUAGCAAAUCGAGCGCUAGACCAAAUGAAAUGAACAUAGCUAAGAUUAGCAUGCAACGAUCAAUGCAUGUUAGAAAAAUAAAAGCAGCAAAGGACUGAAUUGUCUGAAUCAAGGACAUAGAUAUGCAACUAACUUCAGACCAUCUUUUACCAUGCGUACAGACAGAUAAAUCCACAUGGCACUUACCAGUAUGUGUCAGCAUCUCUCUCUAGCAAUAUGUAAGUAGCAAUCUAUAAGCACACACACGCNNNNNNNNNNNNNNNNNNNNNNNNNNNNNNNNNNNNNNNNNNNNNNNNNNNNNNNNNNNNNNNNNNNNNNNNNNNNNNNNNNNNNNNNNNNNNNNNNNNNNNNNNNNNNNNNNNNNNNNNNNNNNNNNNNNNNNNNNNNNNNNNNNNNNNNNNNNNNNNNNNNNNNNNNNNNNNNNNNNNNNNNNNNNNNNNNNNNNNNNNNNNNNNNNNNNNNNNGCAUGUUUCAAAUAUUCUGCACACCUCUGUUCUAUGUUCUUCAGUGGCAUUAGAUGGAUCGUCAUCAGGAUUAAAUGCAGGAGGGUCGCCCUAAAGGCCCUUUUUGCUUGUCCCAGCCAUUUUCUCCUGCUAUGUAUAAAGAGAAAGAACAUCAUCAUGCAGAAAAUUUGCCGCAAUUGUAACGGUAUAUUUCAGCCUAGUCCUGCAACAAACUCACACAUCAUAUCACUGAGGCAAAAAAGGAGCCAUAUCAGGCAAUUAACUGUCAAAAUGUUAAAAAACGUAUCAGGCAAUUAACUGUCAAAAUGUUAAAAAAACGUAUCAGGCAAACUCACACACCAUAUCAGGCAAAAACUAUAACAAACUGAAGCAAAACAGGAAGCCAUGACAGGCAACUAAAGUGUCGAAGUGAUUGUACAUUAACUGAAUUUUUCUCUGUUGCUAUAUGAAGUAGGACUUUAAGUAACAGAGCAAAUUUCAAAAACAAAAAAAUCUGAACAAAGCAAGCAUGUAAAGUACAAAAAAACUGAAACGUGUUAGGCAAACUAAACACAUCAGGCAAUUCAAAGAAAACGAUUGUCCGUUAAAGACUAUUUCCCUUAAUUUCCAUCACGCAAUUAUUUCCUCUAGAUUGGCAUUGUUCACACAUAUCAGGCAAAACUGAACCACAUCAUGCAAUUCAGAAAUUUUAAUUAUCCAUUAAACUGAAAGUAUUUCCCCUGCAGUGAAUUACUUCCUCUACAUUUGCAUUGUUCAAAUAGUGUAGUACUAACUGGAACAAAAUCUACUACAAAUUUGCGUGUGUGCAACUUCUGAAAACAUACAGGGCAAGCCAUUCACAAAACUAGAGCAAAAAGCAAAGAUGAAUCUGAAUCUCAAAAUCUACAACAACCAAUUCACCUGAACUAUCCCUGUAGUGAGCAUCCUAACCCAAAACACUCGUACAUAAUCUCAACUCCACAGCAGCCCCACCUGCCUUCAACCCCUACAUCCACUAGUAGCCAAUCCCCUUGCGCUUCGAAAUCCCAAUGUCGUCAACCAUAACGAGAGCUUCAUCAUCCGCCAUGUACUCGUCAAUUUGGAAACGGAAAAGCUGAAAAUCGAGACCAGAUGUGCUUACCAAAGGAUUGCAGGGAAGGAUUACUCGCCCUAUGCGCCAACGGCAUGUCGCUCGCGGCGGCCGGUCCUCCCCUUUCGCGCCUUGGCUACUGCUUCCCUUCCUCCGACCUGCUCCUUGCCGCAAGCCAGGCUACCCUCCGCUUCUCUUCUUCCAGAAAACGCCGCAUGCACCUGAUGGUCGCUCCACCUCCGGCGGAAAAUCGGCCGCGGAUUCGCCGAACUCGUCGACGCCCACAGGAUUGAACCUCGCCCGAUUUGGGGGAUUUGGGAUGGGAGUCAUGAGGAGAGAGCACUGAGGUUGCAGUUUCGAAACGAGCGUCGGUAGUGGGAGGGGGUGGACGAGACGAGGAGAAGUGGUGGGCCCCGGAACCGCCGCUCCCACCCAACGGGCCAUAGGCCGACCAGGUGCCACCUGCGCGCGCGACGCGAAUAGACAGCGCGGCGUCUGGUGUACGCGAUAACGAUCCGACGGCGCAGAGAGGUGUGCGCUCGAGGAUGCAAACGAGCACAGCUGCACUUUUUAGGAUUUAGAUAAAAUAAAUUAGAGCCUUCAUAUGUGGCAUGAAUGAGCUAGGAAGAAAUUUACAUGCGCCAUGGGCUAGAAAUUGACAUUAAUGAGCCAGGAAGGAAAUCGACUCUACAUGCGCCAUGAGCUAGGAAGAAAGGGAUUUCUACAUGCGCCAUGAGUUAGAAAGGAAACAAAAAAUUUCAUAUCAUUUAAUAUUCCUUUAAUUUUUAUAAGCAGCGCACACUGUACAUAUACAAGAAUCGUAUUUGUUAGCUUUCUCUGGCUCUAUGCAUGAAGAUAUUAGCAUAUGGGUGGUCGUUUGUUUCCUAUGCAAUUUUCAACAAACUGUAGUCUUAGAGUUUUGACCAACCUGGUAUCUGGUGUUAAUUUGAGUGUUGCAACAAUGACAUAAUAGCCAAAAAAAUUGACUUAGGAGUAAAUUUAUCAUAAUUGAUUGGUUCAGUUUUGUAUGUUCGAGUAAGUGGUUAGGCAAAUCGUUCGUCUAUUCCAUAGAAUUGAUUGGUUCGAAGCAUGGGUUUAAUCUUUAAUGUCGUGUUAAAAUAGAGGUUUUGAAUGUCCGGAGUGGGGAUUAUCAAUGCUAAUUGAUUUAUGGACCUUUGAUUUUUUUUUCUCUCUACCGUUGCAACACACGGCCAUAUUUGCUAUAAUUAUUCUAAUUUGGACAAUCCGAUGAAUGCUCGUGCUUGAGAAUUCUGGAAAGUUUUUUUAUCUCCCAAUUCUUACAGUUUGUAUUUUAGUAAGAGAAUACAGAGCUAUUUUUUCUCCCAUCAUAACACACGGACACAUUUGCUAUAAAGAUCAAAUAUUCUGUUUCAACCUAAUUCAUAAUAACAAAAACAUAUGAGAAAACAUAGAAUAUUGCAGUAUGGGUAGUGCCGAUGUUGAUAUGGUCGCAUUAUUUAUUGCAAUAAAUUGGAUCUGCUACUGUAGAUUAGACUUGAGUCUCGACAUCUGUACUCAUGUAGUAAUUGAUUGGCCUGUCCAUUGGUUUUUAGGUUUUUUAGUUUCUCCUCCUGUUGCCAUAAAAUACAAAGUUUUUCAGCAAAUCAAUGUACAUCAACCGUGUAUGUUUCAAUCUUUGUUUUUUUAAGUAUGUGAAUGCUUAUGUUUUUAUUGUUUGCGUAAAUCACAACACCAGCGUUAACCUAUUUUUUGUACGACGAGGAGGACAACCGGCAACACGGGUGAGUGACAUGUUGAAAUGGAGGACGUGUGCCUNNNNNNNNNNNNNNNNNNNNNNNNNNNNNNNNNNNNNNNNNNNNNNNNNNNNNNNNNNNNNNNNNNNNNNNNNNNNNNNNNNNNNNNNNNNNNNNNNNNNNNNNNNNNNNNNNNNNNNNNNNNNNNNNNNNNNNNNNNNNNNNNNNNNNNNNNNNNNNNNNNNNNNNNNNNNNNNNNNNNNNNNNNNNNNNNNNNNNNNNNNNNNNNNNNNNNNNNNNNNNNNNNNNNNNNNNNNNNNNNNNNNNNNNNNNNNNNNNNNNNNNNNNNNNNNNNNNNNNNNGUGACAUACAUUUCUUUUAAGAAAUUGUGUCAUACUUAUGAGGUCAGGAGUGUGUGAUGUUUUUCCCGUUGCAACGCACGGGCAUGUGUCCUAGUAGUUUUCUCAUGAGGUGAAUGCGGCCCUUCCCAGGCUCGAGGCCACGCACCCGCUCAGGUGGUCCAAGUGCGCCAUCACCUUCAGCUCGACAGACCAGCUCAAGUGCGCGGUGACCGCCGGCGUCUUUCCGAUGCUUUGUUCACCCGUCAUCAACAACGUUCAAGUCACCAAGACCCUCAUCAGCGGCGGCGCGGGGCUCAAUGUCCUGUCCGUCGAGACAUUCGAUAGCCUCCAAGUGCCGUACGAUCAGCUACAGCCUACCAAGCCUUUCUCAGAAGUGACGAUGGCUCCACCACCCCGAUAGGGCAAGUCCGCCUCCCUGUCACCUUCGGCCAGCGUAACAACUACCGCACCGAGCUCAUCGACUUCAACGUCGCCCACAUCCGUCUGCCGCACAACGCCAUCGUUGGGUAUCCAGCAUUGGCCAAGUUUAUGGCAGUGACCCACCACGGCUACAACAUUCUCAAGAUGCCAGGGAGUGGUGGCAUCAUCACGGUCCCCUGCAAAGAAAGAGAUGCGGUGUGCUCCCUUGAGCACGCCUUCCAAGCCGCUGCGAUCGAAGACCCCGACAACGAAGGCACCCCGUAUCCUCCUGGGGCCGUCCCCAAGAAGAAGAAGCAGCUACUCCUCCCAGGGCGUCAGGAGAGCGGUGCCUCCAGCGGCACCAACUCAGGAUCGGCACCCGCAGCUGGGGCGCCUCCCUCCCUCGCAUAGGAAGGCGCGCCCGGCGCCCUCCUCGGGCAAGGCUCGGGGGCUCUCUUCUGGAGGGCCUCGGACCUAGCCAACAUCAUGAGGGAGGCGCUCGGGCACCAUGUGGAGGCGUGCUUCGCUGCAUGUUUCCCUAAGGAGGGCACUGGGCGAGGGGCGCCCGGUACUCAGGAGUUCACCGUCAAGGUAACCCAGGAGCUUCAAGAGGCAAGGGCCAUACAUGGCGACCGCCGCUCACCACCCGUCGUAGCUCCCCAUCCUGGCGAGGAUGGCGGGCUGCGCAUCUGCAUCGACACUCCAGGGCUCAAUAGGGCUGCAUCUCAGGAGCGUUUUUGGCCUUCGCGCGUUGGUCGAUGCGAGGGUCCACCUCACAGCUACGUUCGCAUGUCGUUUGGCUUGCCGAACGCGGCCGUCACCUUCCAGCACCACCUGCGGAGCAUCAUGGUGGCUCAGGAGGCCAGGCAUCACGUUGUCCUGACGGAGUUGGCGAAGGUCCUCAAGGAACCAACCGAGCUCCCGGAGCCUCCUAAGGCUCAGGACCCUGGCGGCUCGUGAGGAACGACUCUUUGGCAUGCAUCAUCGGCUACUCCAACAUCACUCCAGCGGCGUUAUUAGGUGACUCUUUCUAGUUCAUUCAGUUGGGGCGCCCCUCGGGCUGCAUUAUUCCCAAGUCGCACAUGUCUGUCCCUGCGACGUGUAUCCUUUUGCAUCUUUACCUUACCCUGCUGGGAGCGCCCCUCGGGCUGCAUCAUCCCCAGGUCGCUUGGGUCCGUCCCAGUGGCAUGUAUCGUUCUUGCAUCUAUCUGAGCUAACCCGCCUCUCUGCUUGAGUCGUUUUAUGACUAUCACCUUCUUAUCUGGUACUUCGAUACCCCACCCGCGACCGCCCUCGUUACCACAGGAGACGCGCGCCGCUUGUCUUUCUUUAGGAUCCCUCGCAUGAAUAGGCUAGGCACGACGUCUGUGCUCGGGUCCAUCCCUACAGCGUUGAUAAACCCAACGACUGAGCUCUGUCUGGCGGGUCGGCCCCGUUCACGUCACCACCUGGGGUCAUUGGUGUCUGGCCUUCUCAUGUGACCGAUACGUCCAUUUUGCAUCAUGCUUUUAUAUCGAUAUUUAUUGCAUUAUGGGUUGUUAUUACACAUUAUGUCACAAUACUUAUGCCCAUUCUCUCUUAUUUUACAAGGUUUACAUGAACAGGGAGAAUGCCGGAAGCUGGAAUUCUGGUUUGGAAAAGGACAAAAUAUUAGAGACCUAUUCUGCACAGUACCAAAUGUCACGAAACUUGACGGAAGUCAUUUUUGGAAUUAAUAAAAAAUACUGAGCGAAGAAAGCACCAGAGGGGGCCCACACCCUGGUCACGAGGGUGGGGGCAUGCCCUACCCCCUGGGCGCGCCCUCUACCUCGUGGGCCCCCUGGCAGUCCUCCGGUGCCCAUCUUCUGCUAUAUGAAGUCUUUUACCCUGAAAAAAAAUCAUAAGCAAGCUCACGGGACGAAACUCCACCGCCACGAGGCAGAUUCUUGGCAGAACCAAUCUAGGGCUUCGCUGGAGCUGUUCUGCUAGGGAAACUUCCCUCUGGGAGGGGGAAAUCAUCACCAACGAUCCUCUCAUCGGGAGGGGGUCAAUCUCCAUCAACAUCUUCACUAGCACCAUCUCAUCUCAAAACCUAGUUCAUCUCUUGUAUCCAAUCUUUGUAUCCAAACCUCAGAUUGGUACCUGUGGGUUGCUAGUAGUGUUGAUUACUCCUUGUAGUUGAUGCUAGUUGGUUUACUUGGUGGAGGAUCAUAUGUUCAGAUCCAUUAUGCAUAUUAAUACCCCUCUGAUUAUGAACAUGGAUAUGCUUUGUGAGUAGUUAUGUUUGUUCCUGAGGACAUGGGAGAAGUCUUGCUAUAAGUAGUCAUGUGAAUUUGGUAUUCGUUCGAUAUUUUGAUGAGAUGUAUGUUGUCAUCCCUCUAGUGGUGUUAUGUGAACGUCGAAUACAUGACACUUCACCAUUGUUAGGGACUAGAGGGAGGCAUUGGGAAGUAAUAAGUAGAUGAUGGGUUGCUAGAGUGACAGAAGCUUAAACCCUAGUUUAUGCGUUGCUUCCUAAGGGCUGAUUUGGAUCCAUAUGUUUCAUGCUAUGGUUAGGUUUACCUUAAUACUUCUGUUGUAGGUGCGGAUGCUUGCAAUGGGGGUUAAUCAUAAGUGGGAUACUUUUCCAAGUAAGGACAGUACCCAAGCACCGGUCCACCCACAUAUCAAAUUAUCAAAGUACCAAAUGUGAAUCAUAUGAACAUGAUGAAAACUAGCUUGACGAUAAUUCCCAUGUGUCCUCGGGAGCGCUUUCCUUCGUAUAAGAGUUUGUCCAGGCUUUUCCUUUGCUACAAAAAGGAUUGGGCCAUCUUGUUGCACCUUAUUUACUUUUAUUACUUGCUACUCGUUACAAAUUACCUUAUCACAAAACUAUCUAUUACCGAUAAUUUCAGUGCUUGAAGAGAAUACCUUACUGAAAAUUGCUUAUCAUUUCCUUCUGCUCCUCGUUGGGUUCGACACUCUUACUUAUCAAAAAGGCUACGAUAGAUUCCCUACACUUGUGGGUCAUCAAGACUCUUUUCUGGCACCGUUGACGGGGAGUGAAGCACCUUUGGUAGGUGGAAUUUGGUAAGGAAAAAUUUAUAUAGUGUGCUGAAAUUUACUGUCACUUGUUACUAAGGAACAUAAUCCUUUGAGGGGAUUUUUCAGGGUAUCUUCACCCCGACCAGUAGAACGAAGAGUUGCUCCUCAACCUACUGAACCUACUGAAAAAGUUUACUUUGAAAUUCCUUCGGGUAUGAUAGAGAAACUGCUAGCUAAACCUUUUGUAGGAGAUGGAACAUUGCAUCCCGAUUUACACUUAAUCUAUGUGGAUGAAGUUUGUGGAUUAUUUAAAAUUGCAGGUAUGCCUGAUGAUGUUAUCAAGAAGAAGGUCUUCCAUUUAUCUUUGAAGGGCGAGGCAUUGACAUGGUAUAGUCUAUGUGAUGAUAUGGGAUCAUGGAACUACAAGAGAUUGAAAUUGGAAUUUCCUCAGAAGUUUUAUCUUAUGCAUCUUGUUCAUCGUGAUCGUAAUUAUAUAUAAUUUUUGGCCUCGCGAAGGAGAAAGCAUCGCUCAAGCUUGGGGGAGGCUUAAGUCAAUGUUAUAUUCAUGCCCCAAUCAUGAGCUCUCAAAAGAAAUGAUUAUUCAAAAAUUUUAUGCUCGACUUUCUCUCAAUAAUCGCUCCAUGCUCGAUACUUCUUGUACUGGAUCUUUUAUGAUGAAGACUAUUGAAUUCAAAUGGGAUUUAUUGGAAAGAAUCAAACGCAACUCUGAAGAUUGGGACCUCGACGAAGGUAAGGAGUCAGGUAUAACACCUAAGUUUGAUUGUGUUAAAUCUUUUAUGGAUACCGAUGUUUUCCAUGAAUUUAGCACUAAAUAUGGACUUGACUCUGAGAUAGUAGCUUCUUUCCGUGAAUCCUUUGCUACUCAUGUUGAUCUCCCUAAGGAGAAGUGGUUUAAAUAUAAUCCUCCCAUUGAAGUAAAAGUAGUUGCACCUAUUAAAGUUGAAGAAAAGACUAUCACUUAUAAUGAUCCUGGUGUUCCUACUGCCUAAUUUGAGAAACCACCUUUCCCUGUUAGAAUAAAGGAUCAUGCUAAAACUUCAACUGUAGUAAACAAAAGUAAUAUUAGGACACACAAACCCCCUGAGCAAGUUAAAGUUGAACCUAAAAUUGCUAUGGUUAAAGAUCUCUUAGCUGAUAAUAUUGAUGGGCAUGUUAUUUACUUCUGCAAUGAAGCUGCUAGAAUUGCUAGACCUGAUGCUAGAAAUAAACAUAGACCUGUUAUAGGCAUGCCUGUUAUUUCCAUUAAAAUAGGAGAUCAUUGUUAUCAUGGCUUAUGUGAUAUGGGUGCUAGUGAAGUGCAAUACCUCAUUCCUUAUACAAAGAAAUUAUGCAUGAUAUUGCACCUGCUGAGAUAGAAGAGAUAGAUGUUACAAUUAAGCUAGCCAAUAGAGAUACUAUUUCACCAGUUGGGAUCGUUAGAGAUGUUGAAGUCUUGUGUGGGAAAGUUAAAUAUCCUGCUGAUUUUCUUGUUCUUGGUUCCCCACAAGAUGACUUGUGUCCCAUUAUAUUUGGUAGACCCUUCUUGAAUAUUGUUAAUGCUAAGAUAGACUGCAACAAGGAUAUUGUUUCUGUUGGUGUAGGGGAUAUGUCUCAUGAGUUUAAUUUUGCUAAAUUUAGUAGACAACCCCGUGAUGAGGAAUUUCCUAGUAAAGAUGAAAUUAUAGGUCUUGCUUCUAUUGUCGUGCCUCCUAGUGAUCCUUUAGAACAAUAUUUGCUAGACCAUGAAAACGAUAUGUUUAUGAAUGAAAGAAGGGAAAUAGAUGAAGUAUUCUUUAAACAGGGACCUAUUCUGAAACACAACUUGCCUGUUGAAAUCCUAGGGGAUCCUCCUCCACCCAAGGGUGAUCCCAUGUUUGAGCUUAAACCAUUUCCCGAUACUCUUAAAUAUGCUUAUCUUGAUGAAAAGAAGAUAUAUCAUGUUAUUAUUAGUGCUAACCUUUCAGAGCAUGAACAAGAGAAAUUAUUAAAAACUCUGAAGAAGCACCGUGCUGCUAUUGGAUAUACUCUUGAUGAUCUUAAGGGCAUUAGUCCCACUCUAUGUCAACAAAAAAUAAAUUUGGAGAAAGACGCCAAACUAGUUAUUGAUCACCAACGACGGCUAAAUCCUAAGAUGAAAGAAGUGGUAAGAAAAGAAAUAUUAAAGCUCCUUGAAGCAGGUAUAAUUUAUCCCGUUGCUGAUAGUCAGUGGGUAAGUCCUGUCCAUUGUGUCCCUAAGAGGGGAGGUAUUACUGUCAUUCCUAAUGAUAAAGAUGAAUUGAUUAUGCAAAGAAUUAUUACAGGUUAUAGGAUGAUGAUUGAUUUCCACAAAUUAAAUAAAGCUACUAAAAAAGAUCAUUACCCUUUGCCUUUGAUUGAUCAAAUGCUAGAAAGAUUAUCCAAACAUACACAUUUUUGAUUUCUAGAUGGUUACUCUGGUUUCUCUCAAAUACCUGUGUGAGCUGAUGAUCAAGAAAAGACUACUUUUACUUGCCCUUUCGGUACCUUUGCUUAUAGACGUAUGCCUUUUAGUUUAUAAUGCACCUGCUACCUUUCAAAGGUGCAUGAUGGCUAUAUUCUCUGAAUUUCGUGAUAAGAUUUGUGAAGUUUUCAUGGAUGAUUUCUUUGUUUGUGGAUCCUCUUUUGAUGAUUGCUUGAGCAACCUUGAUCGAGUUUUGCAGAGAUGUGAAGAAACUAACCUUGUCUUGAAUUGGGAGAAGUGCCACUUUAUGGUUAAUGAAGGUAUUGUCUUGGGGCAUAAAAUUUCUGAAAGAGGUAUUGAAGUUGACAAAGCUAAAGUUGAUGCUAUUGAAAAGAUGUCGUGUUCGAAGGACAUCAAAGGUAUAAGAAGUUUCCUUGGUCAUGCCGGUUUGUAAUAGGUUUUUAUAGGAGGUUUUUAUAGGUUCUCAAAAAUUUCCCGGCCUCUGACUAACCUAUUACAAAAGGAUAUUCCUUUUGUCUUUGAUGAUGAUCGUUUAGAAGCAUUUGAAAUACUUAAGAAAGCCUUGAUUUAUGCACCUAUUGUUCAGCCAUCUGGUUGGAAUUUACCCUUUGAAAUCAUGUGUGAUGCUAGUGACUAUGUUGUAGGUGCUGUUCUAGGACAAAGAGUUGAUAAAAAAAUUAAAUGUUAUUGAAUAUGCUAGUAAAACUCUAGACAAUGCCGAGAGAAAUUGUGCUACUACUAAAAAGGAAUUCUUAGCAGUUGUAUUUGCUUGUGAUAAGUUCAGACCUUAUAUUCUUGAUUCUAAAGUAACUAUUCACACUGAUCAUGCUGCUAUUAAAUAUAUUAUAGAAAAGAAAGAUGCUAAACCUAGACUUAUUAGAUGGGUUCUCCUGCUACAAGAAUUUGAUUUGCAUAUUAUUGAUAGAAAGGGAGCUGAGAAUCCCAUUGCAAACAACUUGUCUAGGUUAUAGAAUGUUCCUGAUGACCCACUACCUAUUGAUGAUAGCUUUCCUGAUGAACAAUUAGCUAUCAUAAAUGCUUCUCGCACUGCUCCAUGGUAUGCUGAUUAUGCUAGUUACAUUGUUGCUAAAUUUAUACCAUCUAGUUUCACAUACCAGCAAAAGAAAAAGUUUUUCUAUGAUUUAAGACAUUACUUCUGGGAUGACCCACACCUUUAUAAAGAAGGAGUAGAUGGUGUUAUUAGACGUUGUAUACCUGAGCAUGAACACGAACAGAUCCUACGCAAGUGUCACUCCGAAGCUUAUGGAGGACACCAUGCCGGAGAUAGAACUGCACAUAAGGUAUUGCAAUCCGCUUUUUAUUGGCCUACUCUUUUCAAGGAUGCCCGUAAGUAAUUCUUAUCUUAUGAUGAAUGUCAAAGAAUUGGUAAUAUUAGCAGACGUCAAGAAAUGCCUAUGAACUCGUUAUUGAACCAUUUGAUGUUUGGGGCUUCGAUUAUAUGGGAUCGUUUCCUUCCUGUAAUGGAUACACACAUAUUUUAGUUGUUGUUGAUUACGUUACUAAGUGGGUAGAAGCUAUUCCAACUAGUAGUGCUGAUUAUAACACCUCUAUUAAGAUUCUUAUAGAAGUUAUUUUUCGAGGUUUGGAGUCCCUAGAUAUUUAAUUGCUGAUGGUGGUUCACAUUUUAUUCAUGAUGCCUUUCGUAAAAUGCUAGCUAAGUAUGAUGUUAAUCAUAGAAUUGCAUCUCCAUAUCAUCCACAGUCUACUGGUCAAGUAGAACUUAGCAAUAGAGAGAUUAAAUUAAUUUUGCAAAAGACUGUUAAUAGAUCUAGAAAGAAUUGGUCCAAGAAACUUGAUGAUGCAUUAUGGGCUUAUAGAACUGCAUAUAAAAAUCCUAUGGGUAUGUCUCCGUAUAAAAUGGUUUAUGGUAAAGCAUGUCACUUACCUCUUGAAUUAAAACAUAAGGCAUAUUGGACUAUUAAAGAGCUCAACUAUGACUUAAAACUUGCCAGUGAGAAGAGGCUUUUUGACAUUAGCUCACUUGAUGAAUGGAGAACCCAGGCUUAUGAGAAUGCCAACUGUUUAAAGAAAAAGUUAAAAGAUGGCCUGAUAAAAGGAUAUAAAAGCGUGAGUUUAAUGUAGGUGAUUAUGUAUUGCUAUACAACUCUCGUUUAAGAUUUUUUGCAGGCAAACUUCUCUCUAAAUGGGAAGGUCCUUACGCUAUCGAGGAGGUCUACCGUUCCGGUGCCAUAAAAAUCAACAACUUCGAAGGCACAAAUCCGAAGGUGAUGAACGAUCAAAGAAUCAAACAUUAUAUCUCAGGUAAUCCCAUAAAUGUUGAAACUAAUAUUAUUGAAACCGUAACCCCGGAGGAAUAUAUAAGGGACACUUUACAGAACGUUUCAGACUUCGGAAAGGAAUAGGUACAUGGUGCGGUAAGUAAACCGACUCCAAAACAGUUCUAAUGGCAAUUUUUCUCCGUUUUUGGAAUAUUUAAGAAAAUAGGAAAAUAAGAAGCAGUCUGGAAAGGACACGAGGCUUCCCCGAGGGUGGAGGACGCGCCCUACCCCCUGGGCGUGCUCCCUGCCUCGUGGGCACCUCGUGCGCUCUCCGGACUCUGUUUUCUUGCACAAUUCUUCUUAUGGUCGGCAAAAAUUCAUUAUAUAAUCCCCCAAAGGUUUUCACCAACGUACCAUGCAAAUAUCCUCUGUUCUUGUUUCGAGCUGUUUUUCUGACAGAUCUAGAUCACCAUGACGUCUCCAAGUGCCCCCAAGGACAAGUUCUUCGAGAAGGUCAUCAACCCCUACCUCGCGGAAGUGCUGCAACAUCCUCAAACCAUUGAGAUGCGUGACGGGUUGCUGCACAUCCGUGAUGUUGAGGGACCAAGGAGGACCGGAAGCGUGGAGACAAGGCUCGAGGCAAUGGAGCAACAAGUUUUCAAGUGUCAGGAGAUGGUGGAGCGUGGACUCGACUCCAAUCACAUAAUGAUCACGGAGUUCACCAACAACCACAAGCUGGACGCCAAGGACAUUGGGGGGCCAUCUUCAAGUUUCAUGAGAAAAUCGAGAACCUCCAAGCCCAGAUCUAUGACCUGCAAAAUCAAAACUGUGAGUAUGAAUUUAGAUUCAAGAGGAUGAGUUUGGCUGCAGAUUUAAGGAUCCCGGAGACUCGAUCAUCCUUCAAUGAUGGUGAGCCUAUGCAUUGGAAGACGGAUGACAAGCCUACAUCAUCAAAAACUCAAUCUCCUUCACCGGCAAAAGAGAUAUAAUCACAUGGGUAUGGGCACUCCCCUUGGCAACUGCCAAGCUUGGGGGAAUGCCCCUGUAUUGUAUCACCAUCACUUUUAUCUUUACUGUUUUUUCUUAGGUCGAUCCUUUUGAUAAUAUCUUGAUCUAGUAGAAUAAAGUUUUAGUAUGAUCUAGUUGUGAAUUUUGCUUUAUGAUCUUCUUAUGUAAUCGAGUCCAUGAGCUAUAUAUAAUAAAGAUUAGUGUUGAGUCAAGGGCUUGAUUAUUUUUCUAUGAUCUUGAGGGAAUAAAAUAAAAGAGAAGAAAUAAAAGGAAAUAAAGAGAUCAUAUGGAUCUUAUGGAGAGUAAUGACUUCAUAUAUAAAAGUAUGAUGAAUAAAAGUUGUUGAAAGUUGACAAACAUAGUUUUGGUCAUCGUUGCAAUUACUAGGAAGUAAUAAAGAAAGAGAGGUUUUCACAUAUAAAUAUACUAUCUUGGACAUCUUUUAUAAUUGUGAGCACUCAUUAAAGUAUGAUAUGCUAAAGAGUUGACGUUGGACAAGGAAGACAACGUAAUGGGUUAUGUUUUCUUACAUGUGAGAUAAAUUAUAUUGUCAUGGAUCAUCCAACAUGUUGAGUUUGCCUUUCCCUCUCUUGCUAGCCAAUUUCUUUGCACCAAGUAGAGAUACUACUUGUGCUUCCAAAUAUGCCUAAACCCAGUUUUGCCAUGAGAGUCCACCAUAUCUACCUAUGGAUUGAGUAAGAUCCAUCAAGUAAGUUGCCAUCGGUGCACGCAAUAAAAAUUGCUCUCUAAAUAUGUAUGAUCUAUUAAUGUGGAGAAAAUAAGCUUUAUACGAUCUUGUGAUGUGGAAGAAAUAAAAGCAACGGACUACAUAAUAAAGGUCCAUAUCAAAAGUGGCAAUAUAAAGUGACGUUCUUUUGCAUUAAGACUUUGUGCAUUCAACUAUAAAAGUGCAUGACAACCUCUGCUUCCCACUGCGAAGGGCCUAUCUUUUACUUUUAUCUUCUACCUUAUAUAAGAGUCAUGGUGAUAUCCACCUUUCCUUUUUACAUUUUAUCCUUUGGCAAGCACAAUGUGUUGGAAAGAUCCUGAUAAAUAUAGCUAAUUGGAUGUGAGUUUUCAUGAACUAUUAUUGUUGACAUUACCCUUGAGGCAAACAGUUGGGAGGCAAAACUAUAAGCCUCUAUCUUUCUCUGUGUCCGAUUGAAACUUCAUACCCAUAAAUAUUGUGUGAGUAUUACCAAUUGUGAAAUACUAAAUGAUAGUUGAGUAUGUGGACUUGCUGAAAAGCUCUUAUAUUGACUCUUUCCUAUGUUAUGAUAAAUUGCAAUUGCCUCAAUGACUGAUAUUAGAGUUUGUUGGUUCUCAAUGAAGUUUAUGAUUCAUACUUGAAAUUGUGAUUGAAUUGUUACUUUAGCAUAAGAGAUCAUAUGACAAUAUACAUACAUACAUACAUACAUAUAUAUAUUGUUGUUCUAAGAAUGAUCAUGAUGCCCUCAUGUCCGUAAUUUAUUUUUAUCAACACCUCUAUCUCUAAACAUGUGGACAUAUUUUUCGAUUCCGGCUUUCGCUUGAGGACAAGCGAGGUCUAAGCUUGGGUGAGUUGAUACGUCCAUUUUGCAUCAUGCUUUUAUAUCGAUAUUUAUUGCAUUAUGGGCUGUUAUUACACAUUAUGUCACAAUACUUAUGCCUAUUCUCUCUUAUUUUACAAGGUUUACAUGAAGAGGGAGAAUGCCGGCAGCUGGAAUUCUGGGCUGGAAGAGGAGCAAAUAUUAGAGACCUAUUCUACACAGCUCCAAAAGUCCUGAAACUUCACAGAAGUCAUUUUUGGAAUUAAUAAAAAAUACUGAGGGAAGAAUGCACCAGAGGGGGCCCACACCCUGGCCACGAGGGUGGGGGCAUGCCCUACCCCCUGGGCGCGCCCCCUGCCUCGUGGGCCCCCUAUCAGGCCUCUGGUGCCCAUCUUCUACUAUAUGAAGUCUUUUACCCUAGAAAAAAAUCAUAAGCAAGCUCAGGGGACGAAACUCCGCCGCCACGAGGCGGAACCUUGGCAGAACCAAUCUAGGGCUCCGACGGAGCUGUUCUGCUGGGGAAACUACCCUCCAGGAGGGGGAAAUCAUCACCAUCGUCAUCACCAACGAUCCUCUCAUCGGGAGGGGGUCAAUCUCCAUCAACAUCUUCACCAGCACCAUCUCAUCUCAAACCCUAGUUCAUCUCUUGUAUCCAAACCUCAGAUUGGUACCUGUGGGUUGCUAGUAGUGUUGAUUACUCCUUGUAGUUGAUGCUAGUUGGUUUACUUGGUGGAGGAUCAUAUGUUCAGAUCCAUUAUGCAUAUUAAUACCCCUCUGAUUAUGAACAUGAAUAUGCUUUGUGAGUAGUUACGUUUGUUCCUGAGGACAUGGGAGAAGUCUUGCUAUAAGUAGUCAUGUGAAUUUGGUAUUCGUUCGAUAUUUUGAUGAGAUAUAUGUUGUCAUCCCUCUAGUGGUGUUAUGUGAACGUCGACUACAUGACACUUCACCAUUGUUUGGGCCUACAGAGAGGCAUUGGGAAGUAAUAAGUAGAUGAUGGUUUGCUAGCUUAAACCCUAGUUUAUGUGUUGGUUCGUAAGGGGCUGAUUUGGAUCCAUAUGUUUCAUGCUAUGGUUAGGUUUACCUUAAUACUUCUGUUGUAGUUGCGGAUGCUUGCAAUGGGGGUUAAUCAUAAGUGGGAUGCUUGUCCAAGUAAGAACAGUACCCAAGCAACGGUCCACCCACAUAUCAAAUUAUCAAAGUACCGAAUGCGAAUCAUAUGAACGUGAUGAAAACUAGCUUGACGAUAAUUCCCAUGUGUCCUCGGGAGUGCUUUCCUUCAUAUAAGAGUUUGUCCAGGCUUGUCCUUUGCUACAAAAAGGAUUGGGAUAUCUUUCUGCACCUUAUUUACUUUUAUUACUUUCUACUCAUUACAAAUUACCUUAUCACAAAGCUAUUUGUUACCGAUGAUUUCAUGCUUGAAGAGAAUACCUUACUGAAAACUGCUUAUCAUUUCCUUCUACUCCUCGUUGGGUUCGACACUCUUACUUAUCGAAAAGGCUACGAUAGAUCACCUACACUUGUGGGUCAUCUGUGGCCACCUCAGAAAAUUCGUCUGGUGCAGGUUGCCUAGCCAUCUUGCAGGACCGCCGAAGCUAUCAAGAACCAAGACCAGGCACAACCCGCCUUGAUGUAGGGCCUCAUGAGUCCCGCGUUAGCUCACGGGUGCCCAGACACACCUCGUAUAGCCCUGCCGUGCAAGCCACGUGUCAGGGCGGGGUUGUACACGCCCCGGGGGCUCCACUCAGAGGGAUCCCUCACCCACACACCAGUGGAAGCACCAUGCUCCGCGCUGGCAGUCGACAUGGUCGGGGAGUGGCUAUGCCUGUGCAAGUGCGGAAGCACUAUGCUCUGCGCUGGUGAUAAACAACUCAGGACGGCCCCAUGGACGUACCAACCUCAGGGAGCCACCUGACUCAGUGUCCAGCCUCACCGCAACGCUUUCCCCUCGAGAGAGUCGCACGAGGGGGCUGGGCACGGGGACUGCGCUCAGGCCUCGCCUAGCGUAAGCCGCCCUGCCAGGUCCCUCAGACCCGGUCAUCACGCACCCCUCCCGAGUGGGACCUCGGCGAGGGCAGGUAUGAAGGUCUGGUUGAGCGUCAAUGGGGACUCCUGAGCAUCGCGAUUCAGGAGCCUAACUGGCCACGUAGCCCCUCACCCCUUGGUCCAUCCUGGUCAUCCGGACGGCCCAACAGCGGCUGAGGUAUGCGCCGGGUCGGGCCCUGCCGACAUAGAACACCAAGGCCUACUUUAGCGGCUCCUUCCCGCAGGCCGUUUGCGCGUCAAGGGGGACUCCUGAGCAUCACGAAUCAGGAGCCUAACUGGCCACGUAGCCCCUCACCCCUUUGUCCGUCCUGGUGAUCCAGACGGCCCAACAGUGGAUGUGGUAUGCUUGGGGUCGGACCCUGCCGACGUAGAACAUCAAGCUAGUGGGAAGGAAAUCGCGGAACCUAAAUAAAUUAUUACACAACAUUUUGUCCCCUAAACGUCAAGCAGAGUUUUAACGCCUCCAUGAGGCACGUCUCAUGUCAUAGGAAAGCUCAUAGGAAAGCAAAACAAGAAGGAGCGCUGAAGCCUUUUCUUCAGCCUUGGGCGCCAUUGUCAGGGAGCGCCUUCCCGCUGGCAGCGUCACCGUUGGCCGGGUCAUUGGCCUCGGUCGCAAGAUCGGCGGGGCCAUCGGUUGGAGGUGCAGGCUCGAUGGCGAGGAACUUAUUCAAUGGGGCCUUCACCUGGCCCCUCCACAGUUGCAGCAGCAGCUGCGCAGCGCUCCUCCUCCACAGGCUCGAGCAGCUCGCUGAGGUCGGCGUCGGGGUCGCGAAGAUGUAGGUGGCUGAGGACGCACGUCAGAGCCGAAGAAGAAAGCGCGCGGGCUUCCCCCUCCACCAUGGGGACGAACCCGUCGACGACACCCUCGAGCGCCACGACAUGAUAAGGAAGCAGCUGGGCGGGGCUUUCAUCGUCCGUCGCCAGCGGCUUCUCCAAGCCCUUCUCGUAGAGUGCCUGCAGCGCCUCGCGGGAUCUCUCCUCAAGGGACUUGAAGGUCGCGUGAUCCUUUGCCAGAACCUUCGCUUUGGCUUCCAGCUGGGCCUUCUCUGCCUCCACCUCCUGCACUGAUACGUCACCAACGUAUCUAUAAUUUUUGAUUGUUCCAUGCUAUUAUAUUAUCAACCAUGGAUGUUUUAUAUGCAUUUAUAUGAUAUUUUAUAUGAUUUUUGGGACUAACCUAUUAACCUAGAGCCCAGUGCCAGUUUCUGUUUUAUCCUUGUUUUAGGGUUUCGAAGAAAAGGAAUAUCAAACGGGGUCCAAACGGAAUGAAACCUUCGGAAAAGUUAUUUUUUGGAAAGAAAGCAAUACAUGAGACUUGGAGUGCAUGUCAGGAAAGCAACGAGGGAGGCACGAGGCAGAGGGGCGCGCCCACCACCCUGGGCGUGCCUUCCACCCUCGUGGGCCCCUCGUGGCUCCCCUAACGUAUCUCUUCCGCCUAUAUAUAUCCAUAUACCCUAAAACGAUCGGGGAGCACAAUAGAUCGGGAGUUUCGCCGCCAGAAGCCUCCGUAGCCACCGAAAACCAAUCUAGACCCGUUCCGGCACCCUGCCGUAGGGGGAAUCCCUCUCCGGUGGCCAUGUUCAUCAUCCCUGUGCUCUCCAUGACAAGGAGGGAGUAGUUCUCCCUCAGGGUUGAGGGUAUGUACCAGUAGCUAUGUGUUUGAUCUCUCUCUCUCUCUCGUGUUCUUGAGGUGGUACGAUCUUGAUGUAUCGCGAGCUUUGCUAUUAUACUUGGAUCUUAUGGUGUUUCUCCCCCUCUACUCUCUUGUAAUGGAUUGAGUUUUCCCUUUUGAAGUUAUCUUAUUGGAUUGAGUCUUUAAAGAUUUGAGAACACUUGAUGUAUGUCUUGCCGUGCGUAUCUCUGGUGACAAUGGGAUAUCACAUGAUUCACUUGAUGUAUGUUUUGGUGAUCAACUUGCCGAUUCCGCCCAUGAACCUAUGCAUAGGGGUUGGCACACGUUUUUGUCGUGAUUCUCUGGUAGAAACUUUGGGGCACUCUUUGAGGUUCUAUGUGUUGGUUGAAUAGAUUAAUCUGAGAUUGUGUGAUGCAUAUCAUUUAAUCAUACCCAAGGAUACUUGAGGUGACAUUGGAGUAUCUAGGUGACAUUAGGGUUUUGGUUGAUUUGUGUCUUAAGGUGUUAUUCUAGUACGAACUCUAGGGCUGUUUGUGACACUUAUAGGAAUAUCACAACGGAUUGAUUGGAAAGAAUAACUUUAAGGUGGUUUCGUACCCUACCAUAAUCUCUUCAUUUGUUCUCCGCUAUUAGUAACUUUGGAGUGACUCUUUGUUGCAUGUUGAGGGAUAGUUAUAUGAUCCAAUUAUGUUAUUAUUGUUGAGAGGAUUUGCACUAGUGAAAGUAUGAACCCUAGGCCUUGUUUCAACGCAUUGCAAUACUGUUUACGCUCACUUUUAUCAUUAGUUACCUUGCUAUUUUUAUAUUUUCAGAUUACAAAAACCUUUAUCUACCAUCCAUAUAACACUUGUAUCACCAUCUCUUCGCCGAACUAGUGCACAUAUACAAUUUACCAUUGUAUUGGUUGUGUUGAGGACACAAGAGACUCUUUGUUAUUUGGUUGCAGGGUUGCUUGAGAGAGACCAUCUUCAUCCUACCCCUCCUAUGGAUUGAUAAACCUUAGGUCAUCCACUUGAGGAAAAUUUGCUACUGUCCUACAAACCUCUGCACUUGGAGGGCCAACAACGUCUACAAGAAGAAGGUUGUGUAGUAGACAUCAUGCACCAGCUUCUCUAGGCGGCCGCACUCUGCGGCCUGCGCCCCUGCCAGCUGCUCUAGUUCGGCGUCAUGACCGGUGACGGCGUCUUCUCGGGCCUUCAUCUUCUCCUCCUCUGCCUUGCGACUGCGAGACUCGGCCGCGCACUUGUUGCGCAAGGUCUCCAGCUCGGCCUCCAUCGACUAGCAGCGCCCCUUGGCAGCUUCGGCAUCCUUCAGCGCCACCUCGCGGGCGGCCGUGGCUCGGUCGGCGGCCCGCUUGUCCUCUUCGGAAGCUACCAUGACCUGUCCCGACACCGCCCUGACAAACACAUCAGAAUGCAGCCAACCCGAGAUCAACUCUAGGUUCCCCGCCACCUGGCAGCGGUCGGCUCCUUGAAGGUCGCCUCGAAGCCGUGCUAGUGCAGAAAGGGCCUCCUCCAAGGCGUCGGGCAAAGAGGAAGGAUCGCGAGCUAGCGGUUCAACCGGAGGAGGAGGCAGUGCCGCCGCCAAGACCUGUGAACUGGUGAUGGCAGGAAGAGGAGUUGGGGGAUCCUGAACCUUGGCCGCAUCGAGGGGCGAGCUGGGGAUAGGCGCCUCCGGAGCCGGCUUGGCCGAGGAGAUCGCCUUCUCCUGAAUGGUCCACAGGGCCUCGCGAGGACGAUUGAGCGAGAGAAGUGCGGGUGCCUUCACCGCCUUUCCGUGCUGGAGGGGGUGCGGCCAGGCCAGACUGCUGGGAUCGCGAGGAUGUGGCCGCCCCCUCUCUCUUCUUCACCGAUAGCGUCGGCCUGAUAAUGCAAGAGGAGAACAUCAGGAAGAAGCAGCAGAAGCGGGAGCAAGAACAAAGUCAGGGUGAGGUGCUUACUGGUCAACGGCGGCGUAGUCCCGCGCCCUCUUCAGGAGCACGGAGCCCAAGGGCCUCGCUGUCUGGGGCACCGGUGCGUGGGCCCCAGGAGCAGAUGAAGAAGCAGCAACGGGCCCAGUGGCAGCACCAGACGGCGCUAGGGCAGGAGCGUCGCCCCGGGAGAUUAGUGCCGACCUGCUCUUCGUCGGAACCAUGGUUGAGGGGGUGACCUUGGACCUUGUGGUGACCCUAGAAGGGGGCAGGACCUCCCUCACCGGGUGGUCGCCGGCGUCAUCAUCGUCAGGCAAGGCGCAGAGGAGAUCGGCCUUGCGCGAAGGGGAGGUCUCCCCGGUCCCCUCUGGAGUCGCCUUCGAGUCCUGCUCCUCCUCCUCGUCAGAGUCGCCGGAAGACACCACCACAGGACUCGUCACCAUCGGGGCAUCAGAGGGCGCCGGCGGCACGAGCCCACGUCCAUCAUAAAUAGGCAUAGCGGCGGCAACAUUCGCUCCAUCGGGGCGGCAGUACAGAGGAAUAAAGGUGUCCGGAGGGUACCCCUGGUCCUCCCCGACCAAGGAGCGGAGAGCCGUGCCCAGUUCCUCGUCAGACAAGGCCUCUGGACGCAGGCGGAGGUUGUCAUCCUCGUCCCUGAGCUUCCACAAGGGGCGCGAGCGCACCUGGAGCGGAGCCACGCGCUGCGGCAGGAAUUCCUUGACGAUCAUGGCCCCGUCAGCUUCGUCGCAUUUAGGUCGUCAGGCUUCAGAUCGGCAGUCAUCUUCUCCAGCACACGCUCCACCCGGGGGUCGGUGAGCUUCGCGCGGAACCACCCAUCAUGAGACGUGGGCAUCCCCGUCGGCUGCACUAGCCGGGGGUGGGAGCACUUGGCGUCCAUCAGGACCCACUUGCUCUUGAGGCCCUGGGCCUUCUUCCCGGCCUUCGAGAUCGCGUUGGUCUUGUUGGCCGCAACGAAGUUGGCGCACCCCGAGCAUGGCCGUUGUCGGUGUCAAAACCGGCGGAUCUCGGGUAGGGGGUCCCGAACUGUGCGUUUAAGGCAGAUGGUAACAGGAGGCAGGGGACACGAUGUUUUACCCAGGUUCAGGCCCUCUUGAUGGAGGUAAAACCCUAUGUCCUGCUUGAUUAAUAUUGAUGAUAUGGGUAGUACAAGAGUAGAUCUACCACGAGAUCGGAGAGGCUAAACCCUAGAAGCUAGCCUAUGGUAUGAUUGUAUGUUGUCCUACGGACUAAAACCCUCCGGUUUAUAUAGACACCGGAAAGGUUAGGGUUACACAAGGUUGGUUACAAAGGAGGAGAUAUACAUAUCCGUAUUGCCUAGCUUGCCUUCCACACCAAGUAGAGUCCCAUCCAGACACGAGAUGAAGUCUUCAAUCUUGUAUCUUCAUAGUCUAACAGUCCGGCCAAUGGAUAUAGUCUGGCUGUCCGGAGACCCCCUAAUCCAGGACUCCCACGGUAGCCCCUGAACUAGGCUUUCAAUGACGAUGAGUCCGGCGCGCAGUAUUGUCUUCGGCAUUGCAAGGCGGGUUCCUCCUCCGAAUAUACCACGGAAGAAUUUGAAUAUAAGGAUAGUGUCCGACCCUGCAAAAUAAGUUCCACAUACCACCGUAGAGAGAAUAAUAUUUCCACAAAUCCAAUUUGCUGACUUGUUUUGGCAACAUGACAUUAUGUCACAGCUCUGUGAUUAUUCGAACCGUUUCCUUUAACUAGCCCCGCACAUAAAGUGAGGCAGCUUUUUGACACGUCUUGUCAAAGAAGAGAUCGUGUCCCCCUAAGUACGGGAUUCUCAUCAGUACGGUCGUGGGUAACCCAACCGUGUCUAGGACUCCUAGAUUAUAGGCAAGUCCCAAACGGCUACAGAGAGGACGCUUGAUAUUCACCCUCUUUAUAAAGGGACAAGGCUCUUACUUUUUUCCCUCCCGUGCUCAAUCGAAUCCUUCCCCCGCCUCGAGUUCUAAUACCCAAAGCCCAGGUCAGGUGCUUCGGACCUUCAAUCAUGUCCGGAUCUAGCCUUCAAGGCCGGUGAAUGCCAUCCUCUGUUACAGAAGAGGAUAUCAAGAAGUUGAGGGAGGCUAGAUACCUGACCGCCGAGGUUUCGCAUCGGCUGCCUGCCCGAGGGCAGGCCGUCCCUACUCCUGAACCCAACGAGAACGUUGUGUUCAUCUCCCACUUCCUCCGAGGUCUAGGCCUCACCCUGGAUCCCCUUGUUGGGGGUUUGAUGUUCUAUUACGGGCUAGAUUUCCACGAUCUAGCCCCGGACUCCUUUCUCCACAUCUCGACAUUCAUUGUCGUGUGUGAGGCCUUCCUUCGCAUUACCCCCCACUUCGGCCAGUGGCUCAAAACCUUUGACGUGAAGCCGAAGAUGGUCGAGGGGCAGUAUGCAGCGUGCGGAGGCGCAUUAAUAAGCAAGACAGUAGGAGCUCUGUGGCCCAAAGGUUCCUUUCCAGAUGUGUCUGGAUUAUGGCAAUAGGAGUGGUUUUACAUCACAGCUCCGAGAAGUGCCAAGUGGGUGGCUGCCCCUGCCUUCCGCUCGGGCCCUCCACCACAACUGAUGUCAUGCAUUAGCAGAGGACUGAGCUGGGGUCCAGCCAAGGACGUGCCUAUACUGCAGAGUAGCAUUCCCGAUCUCUUCGAAGGAGAUUUCAGUCUGGUUACGACGGCGCAAGUCAUGCUAGUUCGUCGAGUCCAGCCUUGCAAACGCCGGCCCCUCGGCAUGUGGGAGUUCAACCCAGAAGGGCCGCGUACUAUUCAGAAUUUCCUUGGCCUGACGCACGAGGAGAUAUACAAAUCAUUCUUCGGACCCCAAAUAGAGUGUCCGGAUACUACCGAGGACGUGGGCCUGAGCAGCAACCGUACUGCCGACCAAGUAAGUAAUCCUUUAGCCGAACACAACGUCUUUUAUUUACCAUGACGUCAUUAUGAGAAAUCGGUCUUUGACCAGGACUGGCUAACAAAGGCGAAGAUGAUUCGGUGUUCGGCCCCCCUUCCUGAGGGUUUGGAGAAUCCGAUACUGGAAAAGAUGCUCGAGCUAGCACCUUGCCUGGAGCCCUCAAAGGAAGAUAAAGGGGGGAAUAAUCAGGUCGAAACCGGGCCCCCAUCACUACGAAUUCCAACCAAGGGAAUGAGCACCUCUGUGAAGGAUGAUAACCAAGGAGAAGAAUCCGACCUUCUCUCUCUUUGGGGAAGGAAGAGGAUUGCCUCUAAAGAUCCGGAAACCGAGGCUCCCAAACGGGAGAAGAAGUCUCCACUAGAGGGUCUUGGCUUGGAGGGUGCUUUUGCCGCACAAAGUCCGCGCAAGGAUCAGCCCUCGAAUGAGCUGUAAGUAAUCAGAAAGUACGUUAAAAGUGGAGAUAUACUACCUUACCUCUGAGGAAAAUAACUGAAGCGUUUAUCUUGCAGUUCGAAUCUUAGCCCUUCUCAGUACAGCUCGUCUUCAGGGGAUCUUCUUCCGGAGAUGAUGGAGAGCGAAACGCCUCCCCCGGACUCCCCCGCUCAAGAAGCAGGCGACCUUGAAGUGUCGUUGCGGAGGGGCCCUCCGGAUCCGGUGAGGCCAGAAGAUAAUCCUAUAGUCACCCGAAGUCCCCAGCGUCCGGCUCUUGAAGAGAGCAAACAAAAGAGUCCGGCACCGUCUGGUAUGCGGUCGGACGUACUGAGGGAGCUGUUGGAGCGAGCGGCCAUCUUAGAAGAACACCGUACGUUGAUGGGUACAGUGAUGGAAAGAAUUUCGUCCGUCGAAAGUGGAUUGCAUGGAGUCUUUAUGAGUCUACUGACAGGCUUUGAGGUGCGUGAAAUGAUAUACUUUUUGAUAGUACCGCACAUUUUAGGUGUGCCCUGUGUAGAUAGUAGCCCCUGAGACUGUGGUCGUCGUCGAGAACGGUGGCGAACAGAGGGUCGUAGUCCCAGGUAAUAAUCAUACCACUUUAUGUGCAGGUGAUGGGAGCUCCGGUGGCUGGCCGGACUAAUGAGUUUGCCGAACUAAAGCGGCAACUGGAUGCGGCAGAUGCCGACAUCGAGCUUGUUAACAAGCGGCUUGACGAGGCACAGGGUAAGUAAUGUUUUUUGGUCAACGUCACAUAGUAAGAGCAGCAUGAUGCCAGUAUCUUUAAUAUGUUGUGACUGCAGACGGAGCUGCCACCGUGGAGACCCUUCGAGCGGAACUUGCCCGAGGCAAGGAACAAGCGUGAGUUAGUAAUGCGGCUGCUUUGAAGGCGGCCGAAGAGUUAAGAGCCGAGAAGGCCGCGCAUUGCAAAAGCAAAGAGAAGAUGGCCAAGAUGGCCGUAGAAUUAAAAUACACUGCCGACCGUUGCCAGUUCCUUGAAAAAGACAAUCGAGUGAAGGCAGCGGACCUUGAAAAGGCCACAAUGGUGACCAAAGACACUCGCUCUGCUAUGAGGGCGAAGAAGGAGGAGCUGCACGAAGCCAGGGAUAUUGCGGCUGGGAAGCCCUUUCUGCUACAGAGGAAGUUCGGAGAUCCACGGUAUGCCCCUCUGGAUCGGCUGUGGAGUUCGGUAGACGCAUAUAUGGACUUGGCGGCAAGCGCUGUCGAUGCGGUCGAAUACUUCCGAGAUCAGACAAAUCGUGAAGUGGACAAGCUGUUCUGGUCGCACUUUAACGUUCCAGAGCGUCUGCUUCCAUUGACUGAUCAGCUAGCUGAAUGGGCCGAACUUAAUAGGUUGUCCAGACUUGCCAUGAGGUCCGUCGUAGAUCAUUUGUGGCCGGAGAAGCCGAAGCCGAACAACUAUUUCAGCUUAGUACAGCAGUUCCUUGGUGCGGAGCCGUGCAUCAAUGUGAUGAAGAGGUCGGCGUGCAUAGAAGGCUCGCGGAUGGCCUUUGCCCCUGUCAAGGCAUACUGGGCGGAGAUGGAUGCUACCACUGUUGCGGCGCAAGGUUCGGCCAUAGGCCGAGUAGAUGCCGAGCACUAUUUUGAAGAGGUUCUUGAGGGUGCUCGUUUGAUAGAGUCCCAGUGAGGGAGUCCUGGAUUAGGGGAUGUUCGGGUAGCCGGACUAUACCUUCAGCCGGACUCCUGGACUAUGAAGAUACAAGAUUGAAGACUUCGUCCCGUGUUCGGAUGGGACUUUCCUUGGCGUGGAAGGCAAGCUUGGCGAUGCGGAUAUUCAAGAUCUCCUACCAUUGUAACCGACUCUGUGUAACCCUAACCCUAUCCGGUGUCUAUAUAAACCGGAGGGUUGUAGUCCGUAGGCAAUCAACUCCAUACACAACAAUCAUACCAUAGGCUAGCUUCUAGGGUUUAGCCUCCUUGAUCUCGUGGUAGAUCUACUCUUGUACUACCCAUAUCAUCAAUAUUAAUCAAGCAGGAGUAGGGUAUUACCUCCAUCGAGAGGGCCCGAACCUGGGUAAAACAAAGUGUUCCCUGUCUCCUGUUACCAUCCGGCCUAGACGCACAGUUCGGGACCCCCUACCCGAGAUCCGCCGGUUUUGACACCGACAUUGGUGCUUUCAUUGAGAGUUCCUCUGUGUCGUCGCCUUUAAGCCCGAUGGAUCCUUUGAUCAUCAACAACGAUGCGGUCCAGGGUGAGAUUUUUCUCCCCGGACAGAUCUUCGUCUUCGUCGGCUUCGCUCUGCGGGCCAAUUCGCUCGGCCACCUGGAGCAGAUCGAAAGCUACGCCCCUGGCCAUCAAGUGGUUUGGAAGCUUAAACUACACGGCUGACAUCCGCGGAGACUUGAUCUUCGACGGAUUCGAGUCACAGCCAAGCGCGCCGCACUGUCUCGAUGGGCAUGAUAUAGCUCUGCCGCCGAACAGCGCCUUGGAGGCCGCACACGCAUCGGCUUCGACCAUUGAUUCAGAGCCUACUACGCCGACCGAGGAUCGGCGGUUGGAUGCUGCCUCAGUGGCUGCGAUCUCAGAGGCGAUCGAGCCGAACUCCAGCCCCGCACUCCGCAUGGCCCGUGACUCCGAGGAGCCGGAUUCCUCUCCGAACUCCGAGCCCCUUGUGCCCCUACCGAUCGAAUCCGACUGGGCGCCGAUAAUGGAGUUCACCACCGCGGACAUCUUUCAGCACUUGCCCUUCGGCGACAUCCUGAAUUCUCUAAAGUCUCCCUCUUUAUCAGGAGAGCCCUGGCCGGACUACGGUCAGCGAGGGUGGGAUACGGACGAUAAGGAAAUUCAAAACCCACCCACCACCCACUUUGUAGCCACUGCCGACGAUCUAACCAACAUGCUUGACUUCAGCUCCGAAGACAUCGACGGCAUGGACGACGAUGUAGGAGACGAACAAGAACCAGCACCUGUAGGGCGCUGGAAGGCCACCUCGUCAUAUGACAUAUAUAUGGUGGAUACUCCAAAAGAAGGAGAUGGCAAUGGAACAGUGGGGGAUGACGCCCCCAAGAAACAGCCAAAGCGCCAGCGUCAGCGGCGCCGCUCUAAAUCCUGCCAAAGCAAAAACGGUGAUUCCGGCACGGGAGAUAAUACUACCCCAGAUAGCGCCGAAGAACACCCACCUCAGCAAGAUUUGGCACAGGAAGAUGGAGAAGCUAGCCCUCAUGAGAGAGCGGCAGACCGAGAGGUCAAGGAUGAUAACUAUACGCCUCCCUCCGAAGACGAGCCAAGCCUCGAUGACGAUGAAUUCGUCAUACCAUCAGACCCCGCCGAACAAGAGUAUUUUAAACGCAGGCUUUUAGCCACGGCAAGCAGCCUCAAGAAAAAACAGCAACAGCUUAGAGCUGCCCAACAAUUGCUAGCCGACAGAUGGACGGAAGACCUUGCGGCCGAAGAGUAUGAACUCGAACGCCCCUCCAAGAGUUACCCGAAGCGCAGGCCGCUAGCCCGAUCAAAGGAGGAAGCACCUACAUCACUAGUGCAUGACAUGGCAGACCAGCCACCUCGCGGCCGCUACAGAGAGGCCUGUCGGCCCACCACCCAAGCCAUGCCCCGAUGCCGCUCAACUAAGGCACGGGAAAAUGCGCCCGACCUGCGAGACAUACUGGAGGAUAAGGCAAGACAAACAAGAUCGAUCUAUGGAUCACGCAGGCGCCCUACGACAUGUGACAAUGAUCUUCACUCCGGAUACAACAAAUCCAGCCGGGCCGAACACAACAGACAUAGCUCUUCCGAGCUGCGUCGUGAUAUAGCCCAGUACAGAGGCGCCGCACACCCGCUAUGCUUCACGAAUGAAGUAAUGGAUCAUAAAAUCCCAGAGGGUUUCAAACCCGUAAACAUCGAAUCAUAUGAUGGCACAACAGACCCGGCGGUAUGGGUCAAGGAUUAUCUCCUUCACAUCCACAUGGCACGCGGCGAUGAUCUACACGCCAUCAAAUACCUUCCGCUCAAACUUAAAGGACCGGCCCGGCAUUGGCUUAACAGCCUGCCAGCAGACUCAAUCGGUUCUUGGGAGGACCUGGAAGCCGAAUUCCUCGACAACUUCCAGGGCACUUACGUGCGACCGCUCUAAUUCGGCAGCCAGAAGAAUCAGCCACAUAAUUCAGCAGCCAGAAGAAUCAGCCAGACAAUUCUGGACACGGUUCCUAACAAAGAAAGACCAGAUAGUCGAUUGUCCAGACGUAGAGGCCCUAGCAGCCUACAAGCAUAACAUCCGCGACGAGUGGCUUGCCCGGCACCUGGGACAGGAAAAGCCGAAAUCCAUGGCAGCCCUCGCGACACUGAUGACCCGCUUUUGCGCGGGAGAAGACAGCUGGCUAGCUCGUAGUAACAACUUAUCAAAGAACCCUGGUAAUUCGGAUACCAAGGACAAAAGUGGCAGGAUACGUCGGAAUAAGCAAAAACGCCGCAUUAACAGCGACAGCAAUGAAGACACGGCAGUCAAUGCCGGAUUCAAAGGCUAUAAAUCCGGUCAGCGGAAAAAGCCAUUCAAAAAGAAUAUUCAGGGCCCGUCCAGUUUGGACCGAAUACUCGAUCGCUUGUGCCAGAUACAUGGCACCCCCGAAAGGACAGCCAAUCACACUAACAGGGAUUGUUGGGUGUUCAAGCAGGCAGGCAAGUUAAGGGCCGAAAACAGAGACAAGGGGCUGCACAGCGACGACGAGGAGCCCAAGCCGCCGAACAAAAAUGGACAGAAGGGCUUUCCCCCACAAGUGCGGACGGUGAACAUGAUAUACGCAACCCACAUUCCCAAGCGGGUGGAAGCGUGCGCUACGGGACGUGUACGCGAUGGAGCCAGUCGCCCCAAAGUUCAACCCAUGGUCCUCCUGCCAGAUCACUUUUGAUCGAAGGGAACAUCCCACUAGCAUCCGUCAUGGCGGCUUCGCCGCAUUGGUUCUCGACCCAAUCAUCGACGUAUUUCAUCUCACAAGAGUCCUCAUGGACGGCAGCAGUAGCCUGAACCUGCUUUAUCAGGAUACAAUGCGGAAAAUGGGCAUAGAUCCCUCAAGGAUUAAGCCCACAAGAACGACCUUUAAAGGCGUUAUACCAGGUGCAGAAGCCAAUUGUACAGGCUCAGUAACACUUGACGUGGUCUUCGAAUCCCCGGAAAAUUUCCGAAGCGUAGAGUUAAUCUUCGAUAUAGUCCCGUUUUGCAGUGGCUAUCACGCCCUGCUCGUACGAACCGCAUUCACAAAGUUCAAUGCGGUGCCGCACUAUGCAUAUCUCAAACUCAAGAUGCCAGGCCCUCGAGGAGUAAUUACGGUCAACGGAAACACCGAACGCUCCCUCCGUAUGGAGGAGCAUACGGCGGCUCUCGCAGCGGAGGUACAAAGUAGCCUUCUCAGGCAAUCCUCCAGUCCGGCCAUUGAAAAGCCAGACAUUGCCAAGCGCGCCCGGAGUAACCCACAUCAGGCCCGCAUGACACACUCUGAGCAAGCGUAGCAAUGCGGCUCCAACCCCAGCUUUCGCGACAUAGCGAAACCAGUACCUCGCGUACAUAACUACGCCCUUGAAGGACCAUGGGCACAGGGGAAGGGGCACAAUAACGGCACGCCCAAAAUACGGCUUAAAACGUACCAGGGGCUGCCGGAUUCUUUUUUUUUAAGUUUUUCUUACUUUCAGGACUCCAUACUUCGGACGACCUAUUCGGCAAUUCGACUGCCGCACAAAUGAUGCAAGAUCCAGGGAGGCAGACAAGCCAUGCCGCAUUAUGGAACUCCCAGGUGGUCUCUAUUACGAGCGGUAUACCUGUUUUAAAUACAAAUCUGUGGCCUACCCCUGGUCAGGACAUACUAAAUAGUCUAAUAUCUUUUGCUUACCGCACUAUUUGUAUCGUUCGGCUUUGAUAAAUACCCUCUCUAUAAACAAUGCUUAGCUUUUUGUCUAUUUUUUGCAUUACUCUCUUUUAUAUAUGUUCAUUAAUGACAUGUUGCACCCAUACACUAUGGUACGGCAAGUACGCCAGGGGCUUAAGGACCCUUUAAUAUGGUGAGAGAAGUCCGUACACUUUCACAAGUGCGGGACCCUGAACUUAUAGCACUAUAUGCAUCGGCUCCGAAUCAUGAUUUGGGUCAACAGUUGGGUUUGCCCGGCUCCUAUGUUUUGGUGCCUUACGUUCCGCUCUAUCGGCUAAGGUAGCACUAGGAGAACCACUAUGAUUGUGCCCCGGUUGAGCUGGGUUAAGCACCUCAGUGGAGAAAGCUAAAACUAACUAUCAUGAUGAGGCGAGAGACCAGUCGCUGUUCGAGAGGUUUUUUCGAGUCCCUAAAGACUUAUGCCGCUUCGAGCGAGGAGCUGGAUAACCCCGGCCAAGGCGUGGAUAGCGCCCCGAACUCGGUAUUCCGAACUAGGGGAUUCGCCGAAAUUUAAAAUUAUAAAGUUCUAUGGCUAAGUGAGAGUGUUCAAGAAUUAUAGUCCGAUCGCCUGGUUCGUCGUGCUGAGCGCCUCCCUCGAAGGACCCAACCAUGGGAAAAAGAGCGCUCAGGUUUAUCACCGAACACCCCAGCACUAGUGGCAUGGGGGCAGAAGCCGACGACUGGCCAUCUCUCAAUUUUUGAUAAACGGCCGCACAAAAAAUAAUAUUUUAAAUUCAAUAAGCAUUGCUUAGCGCAUAUGAACAAGUUUUCAACGCACAAGAUAAACACGAGCGAGUUCAUUCAAAAAUUACAUCCUUGGUACAUUCAUCUGCCACAAGGCGGGCACCCGCAAGAACAUCCUUAUAGUAGUUCUUGGGCUUGCGAUGCUCCUUCCCCGGCGGCGACCCGUCCCUCACAAGCUUCUCACCGUCCAGCUUACCCCAGUGCACCUUUGCACGGGCAAGGGCCCUACGGGCUCCUUGGAUGCAGACGGACCGCUUGAUGACUUCGAGCCUUGGACAGGCCUCCAACAGCCGCCGCACCAGCCCGAAGUAACUCCAGGCAGGGCCUCUCCGAGCCACAGCCGAACUAUAAAGCCCUUCAUGGCCUGUUGGGCCGCCUUGUGGAGCUCGACCAGCUGUUUCAGCUGGUCGCUCAAGGGCACAGGGUGUCCGGCCUCAGCAUACUGAGACAAGAACACCUUCUCCGUCGAGCUGCCCUCUUCAGCUCGGUAGAAUGCGGCGGCGGCGGAUGCGCUGCGGGGAAGAUCUGCGAAUGCCCCUGGAGAACUCCGGAUUCGGGUAAGUAACAAGUAGUUUACUUUUAUAUUUCUGCUUUGCAUAAAGAAUGCCUUACCCGCUGCUAUCUUCUUCACAUCCUCCAACUCUUGGAGGGCCUUUUGGGCUUCGGCCUUGGCAGACUUGGCAGUCUCAAGGGCCGCCGCGAGCUUGGACGCUUGGGUCUUUGACUCAAGCUCCAAACUCUCAUGUUUUUUCAUGAGAGCCUGGAGCUCUUGCUGCACCUCGCCGACCUGAGCCCCAAGUUUCUCUCGCUCGGUGUGCUCCGCGGCCAUUUUCUUUUCGGCCUCAGAUAGCGCCUGCUUGAGGGUCGCCACCUCAGUCGUGGCCCCUACAAUAAGCAGUACAAUCCUGUUAUUUUUUUGCAAUCACGCCUCUCUAUAGGCACCUUCUUCCGUAAGGUAUUUCUUACCUUCUUUCUCCUCGAGCUGCCGCUUGGCAAGGCCGAGCUCUUGCUCGGUCCGCCCGAUGUCCUGUUUCAGGACACCCACCUCCGCAGUCAAUGCGGCGGUAGAUAGCAGCGAAGCCUGCAUACGCAUAUUGACUCUUUGUUGUUAGACUCCUGCGAAAUUUAAUAGAUCCUCUAUUCGGCUUUUCUUUCCGAACGACAAACAGAGCAUCAGGGGAUACUGUCUAUGCGGUAAUAUUUUUACAUAUUUUUACUUACCUCGAAGCCUGUUAGGAGGCUAGCGCAAGCUUCACUCAGUCCGCUCUUGGUGGACUGAACCUUCUGGAUCACCGUACUCAUAAUAGUACGGUGCUCCUCGUCGAUGGAGGCGCCUUCAAGCACCUCCAGCAGAUUGUCCGGCGCCUCCGGUUGGACGGAGGCUGCCGGCUCACAAGGCUUGCUCCUCUUGGAAGGAGUUCGCCUGCCGCGGUCUGAAAUUGUUGAAGAUUCCAGCACGGUGUCCGGCAUAAAGCCGGACUUGGAGCCCUGGGGGGUCUUGUCCCCUUUACUCCUGGAGUCUGGGAGGUUGCCUUGCGGCUCCUCUAGGACCACCUCCUCCUGCCCCGGAGCUUGUCGCGACGCUACUUCGGUGUCGUCCACAGUACGGGGGGAGACAGCGGGCGGAACUGAGUUCACGUCCGAUGAAUCCAGGGAGCCGCUCGAUGACUCGUUGAGUUCGGCCCGGGGCGGGCUGCAUGAUUAUAUUCGACAUCAGGGAAAGCUGCGCAACAAAAGGAAUAUCAUGAGUUACUCUGGUAUCCGAACACUUACGAUUUCGCUGGACGCCUGGCCAUGUCCGGCCACUCCUCUUCGUCCUCGUCGGUGUCGGGGGCGUAGUCCGGUGGAGGGGUUUCCUCUUCUUGGACCCUUCGCCCCCCCCCCCUACUGGGGCGGCCUUCCUCUUCUUUCCUCCCCCCGCUGGAGGGGGAGAGGUUUCUUAUUCCUCCUCCUCGUCUCCACGGGAGGAGUGCAUCUCGGACUCGUCGGAUGACGAGUCCGACCCCACCACGUUACGGGCACUCUUUUGAGUCCCCGUGGUCUUCUUCUUCUUGGCCUUCUUUUCCGGCACCACAUAAGGCGCCGGAGCCAGCAGCUUCACUAGUAGAGCUGGGGCUGGGUCUUCGGGCAGCGGAGCCGGACAGUUAAUCGGUCCGGAUAUCGCCCGCCAAGCCUGUCAAAGGUAAGGGAGUUUAGAUCCCGCAUAGAGUUAAACUAUGAAAAAAGCUGAACAUCCUGUAAAGGGUGAAGAUAGGUUGCCUCGCCAGCGUGACGCUGCGAGUUGUAUCCGCGGUCCUCGGAAGCGGAUGCGGGAGCCUUGGCGCCCUUGAAUAGCACCAUCCAGGCAUCUUCGUACGUCGUGUCGAAGAGCCUGCUGAGGGUUUGGUGCUGCGCCGGGUCGAACUCCCACAGAUUAAAAUCCCGUUGUUGGCACGGGAGGAUCCGGCGGACGAGCAUAACCUGGAUUACAUUGACAAGCCGGAUUGGCUUGUUCACCAGGGACUGGAUGCAUGUUUGCAAUCCGGUCACCUCUUUUUCGUCACCCCACGACAGGCCCGUCUCUUUCCAGGACAUAAGCCGCGUGGGGGGUCCGGAUCGGAACUCGGGGGGUGCGAUCCAGUUCGGAUCGUGUGGCUCGGUGAUGUAAAACCACCCGGCUUGCCACCCCUUUAGGGUCUCUAUGAAGGAGCCCUCAAACCACAGGACGUUGGCAAUCUUGCCCGCCAUGGCGCCUCCGCACUCCGCCUGGUUGCCGCACACCACCUUGGGCUUGACAUUGAAGGUCUUGAGCCAGAGGCCGAAAUGGGGGCGGACGCGGAGGAAAGCCUCGCACACGACGAUAAACGCCGAGAUGUUGAGGAUGAAGUUCGGGGCCAGAUCGUGGAAAUCCAGGCCGUAGUAGAACAUGAGCCCCCGAACGAGUGGGUGAAGUGGAAAACCCAGUCCGCGGAGGAAGUGGGGAAGGAAUACUACCCUCUCAUGGGGCCUUGGGGUGGGGAGGAGCUGCCCCUCCUCGGGAAGCCGGUGCGCGAUGUCUUUGGACAAGUAUCCGGCCUUCCUAAGCUUUUUGACAUCGCCCUCCAUGACGGAGGAGACCUUCCACUUGCCUCCCGCUCCGGACAUCGCUGGAGAAGGUUGAGGUGGGAAGUGCGGGCUUGGGCGCUGGAGCUCGAGUGCGUAGGAGAUGGAUAGGCAAAGGAGGAAGAAGGCGUAUGUAAAAAGGUGGAUCCUUAUCCCCUUAUAUGGGCGGAUGCGGUUGUGCGUCCCCACCUGCCUAAUAAAACUCACUUGCCUCCCAAGCGCCGUGGUAAAUGGCGCGGUUAGGGUUACCCAUGUCCGUAUUGAUGAGAAUCCCGUAAAAAGGGCACACGAUCUCUGCUUUGACAAGACGUGCCAAGGAAACCGCCUCGCAAAACAUGCUGAGGUGGAAAAGUAAAAACGAUUCGAGUAAAGGACUUGGCCGUAGUGUGAUAGCGCACUGCGGAAUAUGUCAGCAGAUUUGAUUUGUGUUAAUAUUAUUCUCUCUAUGGCAAUAUGUGGAAGCUUAUUUUGCAGAACUGGACACUACUCUUGGUGUUUACAAUCUUCUACGAAGGACUUGGAGGAGGAACCCGCCUUGCAAUGUCGAAGACAAUUUGCACGCCGGACUCGUCGUCAUUGAAGCCUGGUUCAGGGGCUACUAAGGGAGUCCUGGAUUAGGGGGUGUUCGGGUAGCCGGACUAUACCUUCAGCCGGACUCCUGGACUAUGAAGAUACAAGAUUGAAGACUUCGUCCCGUGUCCGGAUGGGACUUUCCUUGGCGUGGAAGGCAAGCUUGGCGAUGCGGAUAUUCAAGAUCUCCUACCAUUGUAACCGACUCUGUGUAACCCUAACCCUAUCCGGUGUCUAUAUAAACCAGAGGGUUGUAGUCCGUAGGCAAUCAACUCCAUACACAACAAUCAUACCAUAGGCUAGCUUCUAGGGUUUAGCCUCCUUGAUCUCGUGGUAGAUCUACUCUUGUACUACCCAUAUCAUCAAUAUUAAUCAAGCAGGAGUAGGGUAUUACCUCCAUCGAGAGGGCCCGAACCUGGGUAAAACAAAGUGUUCCCUGUCUCCUGUUACCAUCCGGCCUAGACGCACAGUUCGGGACCCCCUACCCGAGAUCCGCCAGUUUGACACCGACACCCAGUGCUCGAAGAAUAUUAUGUUUGAGUGACAUGUAUUCCCAUUGUAAGCAUAAUGUUUUUAUGAAAUGUAGUAAGGCCGUAUUUAACUUUUGCCGAAAAGUAAUAUGAUGCCUCCUGUGCGGCCGUUUAUGUAUAUAUGUAUAUAACCUGAAAGAUUGCAGUCGUCGGCUUCAACCCCCAUGCAUAUAAUGCGGAGGUGUUCGCAGAAAACGCGUGUUCACACUUAACCCAAUGUCUUGGUCCUAUUAAGGAGGUGAUAGCGCAGCGAACGAGGCAACCGGACUAUGAUGCUUUAACACUUUCACUUAUCCAUAGGAGUUUGACGGUGGGGCUACUAUAUAGCCCCUGGUGGCUCCGCACUCUCCCAAACUAGGGGUGCGUAUAUGCCUAGCCGGGAAACGGCCCUUCGUUAAAGCGGAGGAAUUCUAACAUUCCGAUAGGUCAUUGAGUGGUUGACCAGUCUCGCGCUAUAUGAUGACAGUCAGUUUUCGGCUUUCUCUACUGAGGUGCUCGUUCGGACGAACCAGGGCACAAUCGCAGUAGUUCUCCUGGUGCUGCCUUAGCCGAUAGAACGGAACGUAAGGCACCAAAACACAGGAGUCGGGCAAACCCAACAUUUGACCAAAGACAUGAUUCGGAGCUGAUGCAUAUAAGGCCAAACUCGCGACGCCAAACACUCCCUAAGGUAUUCGGUCUUUAUGGUAUAAACCGGGCCUAAAUAGUGCCCUUUGUAAGAAGCCCCUUGUGUCCAGGUACGGGCGUUUAUUCUGACGUGGCCACAUGCCAAGACGUCAGCAUCCUUCUCAAUUCUAUUGAGAAUCCGAGGGAUGUGUAUCAACAAGAGACAGUGAAAAAGGUUUACGCAGGGUCUUAAUCUAAAAAGAAUCCUUGGAGCGGGUCCCUGCUGCACGUUUGCACAUGUGUCUCAAUUGUGCCGUAACCUAGACGGGUGUAGCACGAUGGUUAUCUGUAAAGGACAGGAACUUAGGUGAAAAGUUGUCAUGCAAAAAGGUAGUUUUUAAAGAAACCAUGUAUAAUUAAAGAUAAGUAAAAAUUGCCACUUGUCUGCGCGCGUUGAGCCCCUUGUAUUUGUAAUAGGGGUGUGGCCAUUAAUCCGGUAUGAAUUAUAUAUAGUUGCGCCGGACUCGUCUAACCGUGUCCGUGGUCUUGACGACCUAUCAAAUGCUUUAGUUGGUGAGGCCGUUUUUAGUGUGCAGCUGCCUAGGCAGUCCCACUCUCUUCGGCGUGCAAAUAUCUCUCAAUAUUUCCAUGUACUGCAAUGAUGCCACGUGGACCGGGCAUCUUGAGCGUGAGGGAAGCAUAAUGCGGUAUUGCAUUAAAGUGAGCAAAAGCUUCGCGUCCAAGUAGUGUUUAAUAGCCACUUUGGAACGAAGCAAUGUGGAAUGUUAAAUCUUCGAUACGGAAGUUAUCGGGGAAGCCGAAUAUAACCUCUAGUAGUAGGGAGCCCGUGCAGUGAGCCCCUGGGCCUGGCAUUACUCCUUUAAAGGUAGUGUUGCUAUGGCAAAUUUUCAUUGGAUCUAUCCCCAUUUUGCGGAUUGUAUCCUGGUAUAUCAGGUUUAAACUGCUGCCACCGUCCAUCAGGACUCGUGUAAAGUGGUAUCCGUCAAUUAUUGGGUCUAAUACCAGGGCAGCCCAUCCUGCACGCCGGAUACUUGCUGAGUAAUCACGAUGGUCGAAAGUGAUCGGUUGAGACGACCAGUGGCAGGACUCCGCGGUGAUAGGCCCUUGGGUAUAUUUUUCUGGGAGUGCCGCUUUGUUUCUCCCCUUGAUCACGUGUAACACGUUGACUGUUUUGACUUCUGGUGGAAACUUCUUUUGUUCCCCAGUGUCUUGCUUGGGAGGCUCAUCCUCGCCUUCGCUUGGUGUAUCCUCCCCCUUGUGUACGACGUUGAGCUUGUCGGAUUGCUUGAAGACCCAACAUUCUCUGUGGGUAUGAUUAGCAGGUUUACCAGGGGUGCUAUGGAUCUGAUAUACUUGGUCCAGAAUUUUGUUUAGGCUGGACAGUUCAUCUUUGGCGCCUUUAGAGGGCUGCUUUUGCUGACUUUGCCGAGAGCUUCUAAAUCCGGCGUUUACUGCCGUGCUCUUCGUGCUGUCUUCUUUAUUCCGGCGUUUGUUAUUGUUGUUGCACCGUGAUUUUUUGUUUCCAUCUCUAACUUCGGAUGUACUUGGGUCGCUGAUGCUGCAUCUGGCUAGCCAGCUAUCCUCACUCACGCAAAAGCGGGUCAUGAGGCUUGUUAAUGCUGCCAUUGUUCUCGUCUUUUCUUGGCCGAGGUGUCUGGCAAGCCAUUCUUCACGGACGCUAUGCUUAAAAGCUGCCAAGGCUUCGGCGUCUGGACAGUCGACUAUUUGGUUCUUUUUAGUAAGAAACAUGUUCCAAAGUUUUCGGGCUGACUCUCCGGGUUGUUGAGUUAUAUGACUCAAAUCAUUCGCGUCUGGAGGUCGGACGUAGGUCCCCUGAAAAUUUGCCCGAAAAGCAUCUUCGAGCUCUUCCCAGCUUCCAAUGGAGCUUUGGGGGAGGCUCUUAAGCCAGUGCCGAGCUGGCCCUCUGAGUUUGAGGGGUAAAUACCUCAAUCCAGAUACCAGGGUCUGUUGUUCCGUCGUAUGCCUCUAUAUUUACGGGUUUGAAUCCCUCUGGAAAUUCAUGAUCCAUCACCUCAUCGGUGAAACAUAGGGGGUGUGCGGCACCCCUGUAUCCGGGUGUACCACGUUCAUCGGAUGUUUGUUGUGUUGCCUUGUAUGCUGGAGCGCGCUUACGUGGUCCAUAGAUGGAUCUGGUUGUGCCGUCCUUUUGAUGCGAGUCCUCGCGUGGAUCGCGUAUUGGCUUAUGUGCGGUGUUGUUUGCCGCUCUAUGUUGACCAUGAGGUCGCCUAUCCGACCAGAUGGUUGUUUUGAUUUUUGGUUGUGGGGGAUCUAAGGCCUCCUCAUCGAAUUCAGGUAGCAACUUCCACUUCGGGUAGCUCUUGGUAGGGCGAUUACCACCGUACUUCGCUUCUGUGUUGAGUACUUUGUUCCAUCUGAUUUGGAGUGUGUCUUGCGCAGCUUUGAGCUUUUGCUUCUGCUUUUUUAGACGCCUCGCAGUGGCAAUGAGCCUUUGAUGGGCAUUCUGUUGCUCCGGGUGUCCGUCCGGUGUGACGUCAUCUGGACUAUGAUCUUUGACAGAGUCGGGUUGUUCGGCUUGAUUCUCCGUGUUGCCGUGGUCCAGCAAUGGUUCCCCCUUCUCUAACGCUGGGUCUGUAUGAUCGUUGUUUCUGCCAAGGCGGGAUUUGGGGCAGGCUUACGCCGCCAUUUUGACAGCUUCUCGAGGGAACAACCCUUCGUCGCAUCCUUCCGUUCCUCGUCGUCGUUUUCCUUUGGUGUGUCCACCAUGUAUACGUCAUGUGGUGAAGUGGGCGUCGAGUGCCCUGGGGGCAAUGGUUCCUGUUCGUCUCCUGCAUCGUCGUCCAUGCCGUCGAUGUAUUCGGAGUCGGAGUCGAGCAUGUCGGUUAAGUCAUCGACAGUGGCUAUUAAGUGGGUGGUGGGUGGGCAGCGAAUUUCUUCGUCAUCCGCAUCCCAAUCCUGCUGGGCAUAGUUCGGCCAGGAUUCUCCUGACAAGAAGAGAGACUUUAAUGACUUCAGUAUAUUGCCGAAGGGCGAGUGUUGAAAGACAUCCGCGGAGGUAAACUCCAUGAUUGGCGCCCAACCGGAUUCAAUCGGAACGGGCACAGGCAGUUCGGAGUCCGUGGCCGGAGAAGUAUUCGGCAGUUCAACAACACGGCUCUCGUGCAAGGUAAAGUUGAUGUUCGGCUCGAUCGCCGCUGAGGGUAAGGCCUCCGUGGCGGGGUCCAUCCACCCGUCCGCGGAAGGCGCAACUGGCUCCUAAUUGAGGGUCGGAGCGGCCGCCGGUGCGAUCUCCUUAACACUGUCCGAUGGUAGAGCUAAGUCGUACUCAUUGUGACCGCGUGACGCACAAGGCAGAGGCUCGAAUCCGUCGAAGAUCAAGUCUCUACCGAUAUCGGCCGUGUAGUUUGAGCUUCCAAACCUGACCUGGUGGCCAGGGGCGUAACUUUCAAUCUGCUCCAUAUGGCCAAGCGAAUUGGCCCGCAGUGCAAAGCCGCCGAACACGAAGAUCUGUCCGGGGAGAAAAGUCUCACCCUGGACUGCAUCACUAUCGAUGAUAGUAGGAGCCAUCAAGCCGAACGGCGACGACACAGAGGAACUCUCAAUGAAAGCACCAAUGUCGGUGUCAAAACCGGUGGAUCUCGGGUAGGGGGUCCCGAACUGUGCGUCUAAGGCAGAUGGUAACAGGAGGCAGGGGACAUGAUGUUUUACCCAAGUUUGGGCCCUCUUGAUGGAGGUAAAACCCUACGUCCUGCUUGAUUAAUAUUGAUGAUAUGGUAGUACAAUAGUAGAUCUACCACGAGAUUGGAGAGGCUAAACCCUAGAAGCUAGCCUAUGGUAUGAUUGUAUGUUGUCCUGCGGACUAAAACCCUCCGGUUUAUAUAGACACCGGAAAGGUUAGGGUUACACAAGGUCUGUUACAAAGGAGGAGAUAUACAUAUCCGUAUUGCCUAGCUUGCCUUCCACGCCAAGUAGAGUCCCAUCCAGACACGAGAUGAAGUAUUCAAUCUUGUAUCUUCAUAGUCUAACAGUCCGGCCAAUGGAUAUAGUCCGGCUGUCUGGAGACCCCCUAAUCCAGGACUCCCACAGCCGUCCUUGAUCCGGUGAUAGAAGAAGUGGCACAGCAGCGCCACGGACGACAUCACCCCAACGUAUGCCUCACAGUAGAAGGCGAAGAUCGACAGAAGGAGGACAGAGUUGGGAUGGAGAUGGAGGGCAUGCAGCUUGUGUAAUGGAUGAGGACGGAGUAGAAGAAGUCAGAAAAGGGGGGGGGACCAACCCCGCCACAACGCUGCUCAUGAAGAAGGGAUAGAAGGUGCUGCCCGAGGCCUCCGGCUUGGCAGAGCCAACCUAGAGCGCGGUCUUCCUAUUCUCGUCGCCGCCCUCCGCCGUCAUCAGGAGCGUGGCGGCGAGGUUCUUCUCCGACACGCUAGGCGCGCUCAGGGCCGGCUUAUACCAGGAGGGUGCAAGGGUGGCCCUUGCCUUGCUGGGCGCCAUCAAUGUCGGGCUUGGAGGAGGACUGGUGCAGAUCUGGAGGCUUGGGAGCAAGGAGCAGGAAAGGGGAUCUGGAUCAAGACGAAGGCAAGCAAUGAAGACACUGCGGCGCGCACCAGCCUUUUGUCAGUCAGGCGGUCGCUGAGGCAGCAUGGGGAAGCGGAGACGCCCAUGACCGAUCAAUCUCCAUGCGGCAAUCAAGGCCGCAGGCGGGUGGGGCCCGCGGUGUUCCGCAGUUGACCCUUGGCUUGGCCACGAGGACAAGCACGAGCGUGCCUUGGGCCCAGGGGCUACUAUCGGUAGGGGUACCCAGACUUGCCUGCCUGCGGCCCAGAGCGUGGCUCCACCAGCGGCCUGGUAUAGGCCAUCUUCAUCAACAACCAAUCAAGACCCUCGCGAGGGGUCAAGCCUGGUACAGGCCAUCUUCAUCAACAACCAAUCAAGACCCUCGCGAGGGGUCAAGCCUCGCGACACGGAUGACACAAGACCUCCUCGGGAGCGAAGAGAUCAAGGCGAGUGGCACUGUUGGAAAUAUGCCCUAGAGGCAAUAAUAAAAUGAUUAUUAUUAUAUUUCCUUGUUCAUGAUAAUUGUCUAUUAUUCAUGCAAUAAUUGUGUUAUCCGGAAAUCAUAAUACAUGUGUGAAUACAUAGACCAUAACAUGUCCCUAGUGAGCCUCUAGUUAACUAGCUCGUUGAUCAACAGAUAGUCAUGGUUUCCUGACUAUGGACAUUGGAUGUCAUUGAUAACGGGAUCACAUCAUUAGGAGAAUGAUGUGAUGGACAAGAUCCAAUCCUAAGCAUAGCACAAGAUCGUGUAGUUCGUUUGCUAGAGCUUUUCCAAUGUCAAGUAUCAUUUCCUUAGACCAUGAGAUCGUGUAACUCCUGGAUGCAUAGGAGUGCUUUGGGUGUACCAAAUGUCACAACGUAACUGGGUGACUAUAAUGGUAUACUACAGGUAUCCCCGAAAGUAUCUGUUGGGUUGACACGGAUCGAGACUGGGAUUUGUCACUCCGUAUGACGGAGAGGUAUCUCUGGGCCCACUCGGUAAUGCAUCAUCAUAAUGAGCUCAAUGUGACCAAGUGUUUGGUCACGGGAUCAUGCAUUACGGUACGAAUAAAGUGACUUGCCGGUAACGAGAUUGAACGAGGUAUUGGGAUACCGACGAUCGAAUCUCGGGCAAGUAACGUACCGAUUGACAAAGGGAAUUGAAUACGGGAUUGAUUGAAUCCUUGACAUCGUGGUUCAUCCGAUGAGAUCAUCGUGGAACAUGUGGGAGCCAACAUGGGUAUCCAGAUCCCGUUGUUGGUUAUUGACCGGAGAGUCGUCUCGGUCAUGUCUGCAUGUCUCCCGAACCCGUAGGGUCUACUCACUUAAGGUUCGGUGACACUAGGGUUGUAGAGAUAUUAGUAUGCGGUAACCCGAAAGUUGUUCGGAGUCUCGGAUGAGAUCUCGGACGUCACGAGGAGUUCCGGAGGUGAAUAUUUAUAUAUAGGAAGUCCAGUUUCGGCUAUCGGGAAAGUUUUGGGGGUAAUCGGUAUUGUACCGGGACCACCGGAAUGGUCCCGGGGGUCCACCGGGUGGGGCCACCUAUCCCGAAGGGCCUCAUGGGCUGAAGUGGGAGCGGAACCAGCCCCUGGUGGGCUGGUGCGCCCCCCAUGGGCCUCCCCCUGCGCCUAGGGUUGGAAACCAUAGGGGUGGGGGGCGACCCACCUGACUUGGGGGGCAAGUCCCCCCUUGGCCCCCCCCCCCUUGGAGAUUGGAUCUCCUNNNNNNNNNNNNNNNNNNNNNNNNNNNNNNNNNNNNNNNNNNNNNNNNNNNNNNNNNNNNNNNNNNNNNNNNNNNNNNNNNNNNNNNNNNNNNNNNNNNNNNNNNNNNNNNNNNNNNNNNNNNNNNNNNNNNNNNNNNNNNNNNNNNNNNNNNNNNNNNNNNNNNNNNNNNNNNNNNNNNNNNNNNNNNNNNNNNNNNNNNNNNNNNNNNNNNNNNNNNNNNNNNNNNNNNNNNNNNNNNNNNNNNNNNNNNNNNNNNNNNNNNNNNNNNNNNNNNNNNNNNNNNNNNNNNNNNNNNNNNNNNNNNNNNNNNNNNNNNNNNNNNNNNNNNNNNNNNNNNNNNNNNNNNNNNNNNNNNNNNNNNNNNNNNNNNNNNNCUAGUAGAAAACAGGGCUUUGGUCCAGGCCGGGUCAGCCCAUUAGUCCCGGUUCAGUCCAAAACUGGGACCAAUGUGGGCAUUGGUCCUGGUUCGUGAGCCCAGGGGGCCGGCCGGGCCACGUGGGCCAUUGGUCCCGGUUCAUCUGGACCUUUUGGUCCCGGUUGGUGGGAUGAACCGGGACCAAUGGCCUCGCUCCUGGCCACCACCAUUGGUCCCGGUUGGUGGCUUGAACCGGGACCAAAGGCUCCCCUUUAGUCCCCGCUCAUGUCACCAACCGGGACCAAUGAAGUGCCUAUAUAUACCCCUCGCUCGCGAGCAGAGCACCCCAGUGCUCUGUUUUUCUCUGGCCGAGGGGGAGAGGGCUUGGUGGUGCUCUAGCUCACCUCCUAUGCACACAAGGUGUUCGAUGGAAUGCCCGAGCCACACUACUUAAGCUUUCUCCUCUCCAAGCUCGACCUCCAAGCUCCAUUUUCCAUAAUAUUUGUCUAGGUUUAGCGGUCCGUCACGCCCCGUCCCCGUCUUCACUGCCGUUGAUCACCCGCGCCGAGCUCAUCGCCGGCACCACCGUGGUGAGCCUCUUGUCCUUAUCUUCUUUCUAAAAGGAAAAAUAUUCUUACUUGUAUGUUUACAUAGAUACUUGUAUUAUUUUCUUACUUUUAUUAUUGCAUCUUAUAUAGUGCGAUGGUUUUGGUAUCCGCCCCCGUCGGCCCUCGUCCUGUCUAUGAUUCGGAUGUGGUAUAUAUAUUAUAUUUAUAACUAUUGGUUCAUUUAUUGUUUAUGAAAAUUAUGCCGACCAAUGUGACAUAGAUUUUAUUUAUGUAGGAUGUAUGUGAAUCGGAAAUGCCAACCGACCCUAUUGUCGAGAGGUUAAAUUUAGUUGAAGAAGAAAACAAUUUGUUGAAGGAAAAAAUAAAAAAAUUGAGGAGGAGAAGAUGAUAUUGGAGUUGCAUGUUGCGGAUGUCGUCGAUGAUCACAAGAUCAAGAUGGAUGCAAUGCGCUUGAAGAUUAGAAAGAUUGGAAAAUAUGCCAUUCAUACCGAGGCUUGGUAUCAUUAUGCCGUUGGAUCAAUUGUUACCUUGGUUGCGAUUAUGAUCACAUUUGUUUUCGCAUUGAAAUGUUUUACAUAGUUUCAACGUAUGGUUUAAUUAAUUAGAUGCUCUAGAGAGCUAUGUUGUUAGAUGAGAACUAUGUAUGCACUUUGGUUUUAAUGUGAUGAUGAACUUCUAUUAAUUUGGACACUUAAUUAUAUAUAAUGCACGCAGAUGAACCGGCAAUGGAUGUACGGUGACAGACACACUUGUGAGUACAUUAAGGGCGUGCAUGAGUUUCUCGAUGCGGCUGAGGCAAACAAGCAGAACAGUUUUAUGUGUUGUCCAUGAACUGAAUGUCGGAAUACGAGGUCUUACUCUAACUGGAAAAUCCUUCACUCCCACCUGCUUUACAAGGGUUUCAUGCCACACUAUAAUGUUUGGACGAGGCAUGGAGAAAUAGGGGUUAUGAUGGAAGACGGCGAAGAAGAAGAGUACGAUGACAACUAUGUGCCCCCUGAAUACGGGGAUGCUGCAACGGGGGGAGCUAGCGAAGAUCAAGAGGAACCAGACGAUGUGCCCAAUGAUGCUGCAACGGGUGAAGCUGCUGAAGAUCAAGAGGAACCAGACGAUGUGCCCGAUGAUGAUGAUCUCCGCCGGGUCAUUGCCGAUGCAAGGACGCAAUGCGAAAGUCAAAAGGAGAGGCUGAAGUUCGAUCGCAUGUUAGAGGAUCACAAAAAAGGGUUAUACCCCAAUUGCGAAGAUGGCAACACAAAGCUCGGUACCGUGCUGGAAUUGCUGCAGUGGAAAGCAGAGAAUGCUAUGGCUGACAAAGGAUUUGAGAAGCUACUAAAAAUAUUAAAGAAGAAGCUUCCAAAGGAUAACGAAUUGCCCGACAGUACAUACGCAGCAAAGAAGGUCGUAUGCCCUCUAGGAUUGGAGGUGGAGAAGAUACAUGCAUGCCCUAAUGACUGCAUCCUCUACCGCGGUGCAUACAAGGAUCUGAACGCAUGCCCGGUAUGCGGUGCAUUGCGGUAUAUGAUCAGACGAGAUGACCCUGGUGAUGUUGAUGGCGAGCCCCCCAGGAAGAGGGUUCCUGCGAAGGUGAUGUCGUAUGCUCCUAUAAUACCACGGUUGAAACGUCUGUUCAGAAACGAAGAGCAUGCCAAGUUGAUGCGAUGGCACAGUGAGAACUGAAAGAAAGAUGGGAAGUUGAGAGCACCCGCUGACGGGUCGCAGUGGAGAAAAAUCGAGAGAAAGUACUCGGAUGAGUUUGCAAAGUACCCAAGGAAUGUAUGGUUUGCUUUAAGCGCGGAUGGCAUUAAUCCUUUCGGGGAGCAGAGCAGCAAUCACAGCACCUGGCCCGUGACUCUAUGUAUGUAUAACCUUCCUCCUUGGAUGUGCAUGGAGCGGAAGUUCAUUAUGAUGCUAGUUCUCAUCCAAGGCCCUAAGCAACCCGGCAACGAAAUUGAUGUGUACCUAAGGCCAUUAGUUGAAGAACUUUUACAGCUGUGGAAUGGAAACGGUGUACGUACAUGGGAUGAGCACAGACAGGAGGAAUUUAACCUUAAGGCAUUGCUGUUCGUGACCAUCAACGAUUGGCCCGCUCUCAGUAACCUUUCAGGACAGACAAACAAAGGAUACCAUGCAUGCACGCACUGUUUAGAUGACACUUAAAGUAUAUACCUGGACAAAUGCAGGAAGAAUUUGUACCUGGGCCAUUGUCGAUUUCUUCCGACCAACCAUCAAUGUCGAAAGAAAGGCAAGCAUUUCAAAGGCGAGACAGAUCACCGGAAGAAGCCCGCCAUGUGUACCGGUGAUCACGUACUUGCUAUGGUCAAUGAUUUACACUACAUAAUCUUUGCAAAGGGUCCCGGUGGACUAGCUGUUCUGAAUGACGCUGAGGGACACGCACCCAUGUGGAAGAAGAAAUCUAUAUUUUGGGACCUACCCUACUGGAAAGACCUAGAGGUCCGCUCUGCAAUCGACGUGAUGCACGUGACGAAGAACCUUUGCGUGAACCUGCUAUGCUUCUUGGGCGUGUAUGGGAAGACAAAAGAUACACCUGAGGCACGGGAGGACCUGCAACGUUUGCACGAAAAAGACGGCAUGCCUCUGAAGCAGUAUAAAGGUCUUACCAGCUACACUCUUACGAAAGAAGAGAAAGAAAUCUUCUUUGAAUGCCUACUCAGUAUGAAGGUCAUGAUUGGCUUCUCGUCGAAUAUAAAGGGAAUAAUAAAUAUGCCAGAGAAAAAGUUUCAGAACCUAAAGUCUCAUGACUUCCACGUGAUUAUGACGCAACUGCUUCCGGUUGCAUUGAGGGGGCUUCUACCGGAAAACGUCCGAUUAGCCAUUGUGAAGCUAUGUGCAUUCCUCAAUGCAAUCUCUCAGAAGGUGAUCGAUCCGGAAAUCGUACCAAGGCUAAGGAGUGAUGUGGCGCAAUGUCUUGUCAGUUUCGAGCUGGUGUUCCCACCAUCCUUCUUCAAUAUCAUGACGCACAUCCUAGUUCAUCUAGUCGACGAGAUUGUCAUCCUGGGGCCCGUAUUUCUACACAAUAUGUUCCCCUUUGAGAGGUUCAUGGGAGUCCUAAAUAAAUAUGUCCGUAACCGUGCUAGGCCAGAAGGAAGCAUCUCCAUGGGCCAUCAAACAGAGGAUGUUAUCAGGUUUUGUGUUGACUUCAUUCUUGGCCUUAAGAAGAUAGGUCUCCCUAAAUCGCGGUAUGAGGGGAGACUGACUGGAAAAGGCACUCUUGGAAGAGACUCAAUAAUAUGCAGGGACGGAUAUUCUUGGUCUCAAGGACACUACACAGUUCUACAGAACUCUACCUUGGUGACCCCGUAUGUCGAUGAACACAAGAACAGUCUGCGCUCCAAACACCCGGAGCAGUGCGACGACUGGAUUAUAUGUGAACACAUCACGAAUUUCAGCAGUUGGUUGGAAACACGUCUCAGAGGUGACAACACUGUUUGUGAUGAGUUGUACUUGUUGUCCAGGGGACCAUCUUUGACUGUAUUGACUUACAAAGGAUACGAGAUAAAUGGGAAUACAUUUUACACGAUCGCUCAAGAUCAAAAGAGCACCAACCAAAACAGCGGUGUCCACUUUGAUGCAGCAACCGAGAGCGGAAAGGACACAUAUUAUGGUUACAUAGUGGACAUAUGGGAACUUGACUACGGACCUAAUUUUAAGGCCCUUUGUUUAAGUGCAAAUGGGUCAAUCUGUCAGGCGGCGGGGUACUGGUAGACCCACAGUACGGAAUGACAACAGUGGAUCUGAAAAAUCUUGGGUACACUGACGAACCGUUCGUCCUAGCCAAUGAUGUGGCAUAGGUUAUCUAUGUGAAGGACAUGUCUAUCAAACCGAGAAAAAGAAAAGAUAAGGAAGCGAAUACAUCAUACGAUGAGCCAAAGUGCCACAUAGUUCUUUCAGGAAAUAGGGACAUCCUGGGAGUGGACGGCAAGACAGACAUGUCUGAAGAUUAUGAAAAGUUUCAUGAAAUUCCUCCCUUCAAUGUCAAGGCUGACCCAAGCGUCCUGAUAAACAAUGAAGAUUAUCCAUGGUUACGACGCAAUAAGCAAAUGACACAAGCGAAGAAGAAGUGAAUACUUUCUCCCGCAACUAUUAUGAUGAUACCAUGCCAACUUUGUAACACACGAACAUGCUACCAUUGUCCGUUUUGUACAUGCACAUGCUAUGUGGGUGAAAUUAUGAUACCAUGCCAACUUUCAACUUUUUCAGAGUUCAUUUGAAAUGCUUUCAUGUCUUAUGGUUCAGCCCUCGUAAUACCAUGACCAUUAGUCCCUGGCCCAUGCCAACUUUCAACUUUCAACUUUCUAAAACUAAUGGCACUAACAGAAAGUUUAUAAUUUUGCUCCUCGCCCCUGGCCCAUGACCAUUAGUCCCGGUUUGUGCCACAAACCGGAACUAAAGGGUUGGUCCUCGUUGCAGGCAGAGUUUACUCCCACCUCGCCAACCGAAGGGGGCUCACACCAGUUUAUAAGCCCUUCCCUCUCUGCCUUGUUGAGCUCCUCUCCAAGUGAAAAUAGAUGCCCUAAUAGAGAAAAGUUUAACCUAAAUUCAUAGUGAAUUUCUCUGAAAUUCAUAGAAAUUUACUAGGAAUUUAGGUUGAAUUUUCUCUAUAAGCGCAUCUACUCUCAUCUUUUUAGUAAGUUAAUCACAAACUUGUGAUUCAAACAAUUUUCAAACAAUUCAAAUUUUAACUAUUCAAAUUUGGAAACUAAUGGUACUAACAGAAAGUUUAUAAUUUUUCUAAAACUAAUGGCACUAACAGAAAGUUUAUAAUUUUGCUAACCUAAAAGCAAACAGAAUUAAAAAUUAAAGCAAAAAACAAAAGAAAAUAAAUAAUGCAAAAAACAAAUCAAAAAACAGGAAAAAAAACUAUUUUUAUAGUAAAGUUAAUCACAAAAUAAAAUAAAUAAAGCAACAAAGAAAACAAAAAAACUAAAAAAGCGUUUUCAAAUUUGAAAACUAAUGGCACUAAUAGAANNNNNNNNNNCACAAAAUAAAAUGGCACUAACAGAAAGUUUAUAAUUUUUCUAAAACUAAAAGCAAAAAGAAUAAAAAAAUAAAGCAAAAAACAAAAAAAAUAAUGCAGAAAACAAAACAAAAAAACUGGAAAAAAUAGCAACAAUAAGUAUUUUGUUGUAAGUAGAAACAAAAUAAAAUAAAUAAAGCAACAAAAAAACAAAAAAACAAAAAAUGUGUUUUCAAAUUUGAAAACUAAUGGCAUUAACAAAAAGUUUAUAAUUUUUCUAAAACUAAAAGCAUAAAGAAUGAAAAAAUAAAUCAAAAACAAAAUAAAAUAAAAUAAAUAAAGCAACAAAAAAACAAAAAAAAAUGCCACCUACUGGGCCCCCACGACCUGAAUACGACUAGAAACCCAUCAAAGGGCCAGGAUUCAGGCCCGCAGGAGGCCUAGUAGGCCCACAGGCAUAACAGUGACAAUUAGGCCCGUAAGCCUGUAAUGGAGAGAAGCUCGACCGGGGUGCGGCAGUGGGGCUUAUAAACCACUGCGCACCCCUCUCAACUAGCGAGGUGGGACUAAACUUUCGACGCAGCAGCCGCACAAGGCCUUUGGUCCCGGUUGGUGGCACCAACCGGGACUAAAGGGGGGCAUUGGUCACAGUUCGUGGCACAAACCGGGACCAAUGCCCGCCUUUAGUCCCAGUUGGUGCCACCAACCGAGACCAAAGGCCGCCGUUUCCCACCCAUUGGGCUGCUGAAAAGAGGCCUUUGGUCUCGGUUGGUGGCACCAACCGGGACUAAAGGGGGGCAUUNNNNNNNNNNAAAAAACUGGAAAAAAUAGCAACAAUAAGUAUUUUGUUGUAAGUAGAAACAAAAUAAAAUAAAUAAAGCAACAAAGAAAACAAAAAAACAAAAAAAGUGUUUUCAAAUUUGAAAACUAAUGGCAUUAACAAAAAGUUUAUAAUUUUUCUAAAACUAAAAGCAUAAAGAAUUACAAAAUAAAGCAAAAAACAAAAGAAAAUAAAUAAAGCAACAAAAAAACAAAAAAAAUGCCACCUACUGGGCCCCCACGGCCUGAAUACGACUAGGAACCCAUCCAAGGGCCAGGAUUCAGACCCGCAGGAGGCCCAGUAGGCCCACAGGCAUAGCAGUGACAAUUAGGCCCGUAAGCCUGCAAUGGAGAGGAGCUCGAGAGGGAUGCGGCAGUGGGGCUUAUAAAGCACUGCGCACCCCUCUCAACUAGCGAGGUGGGACUAAACUUUCGACGCAGCAGCCGCACAAGGCCUUUGGUCCCGGUUGGUUCUACCGGGACUAAAGGGGGGCAUUGGUAAUGGUUUGUGCCACGAACCGUGACCAAUGCCUUUGCUAUAUAACUAGCACUUGUGAAAAUUUCCAUUCAGUUCGUCUUCCCUGCCCGACACCGCCAGGCUGCCCCUCUGCGCCUCGCCGUCGCCGUCGUCGCCCNNNNNNNNNNCGUCGCCGCCCCGCGUCGCACCCCGACGCCAUCGCUGCCCCGCCUCUGCCUCGCCGUCGCCGCCCCGCGCCGUCGUCGCCUCUCGCUUUGGUCAGGGCCGGCACCGCCCCCCUCUUCCCCCGUGUUUUUAAUUUUUUUGCAAAUUCAUAUAUGUUUUUUCCUGAUUAUAUGUAUAUGUAUAGUAUAUGUAUGUGUGUAUAUGUAUGCAAAAGAUAGAUUAACAGAAAAAUAGUAUUUUUUUCUGUUCAUAGAUUUUUUUGGUGAUAUUGAUUAUUGUAAAUAUGCAAAUGUUUGCAUAUUCAUAUGAACAAUGAAUUAGGCAAAACCUUUACUUUUUUUCUAAAAUUUCUAUUUGAACAUUAUUUAAAAAAAACAAGCAAUACUACUUCAUGCAUUUUUAAGAAGGAAGAAGAAGAAAAAGAAUGAGCGGAAAAAGGAAAUAAGAAGAGGAAGAAAGGAGAAAAAGAGGGGAGAGGAAGAUGAGGAGAAAUAAAUAAGAAGAAGAAAAANNNNNNNNNNNNNNNNNNNNNNNNNNNNNNNNNNNNNNNNNNNNNNNNNNNNNNNNNNNNNNNNNNNNNNNNNNNNNNNNNNNNAUAUCCUAUUUUCUCUUUUCUCCUCUAUUCCUUUCUUCUUCUCCUCUUUUUUUUUCUUCGACACGUGGGGGGGGGGUCGAGAACGUCGGACAUUCAUGAGAGAGGCGAGGAAGAAGGGGAAGAAGAGGGAGAAGAAAAGGAGAGGAAGAAGAGGAAGUCUUCUCCUCUAUUCUUUCUUCUCUUCUUUUUUCUUCUUCUUCCUAUAUGUAUUAGUUUUUUUAUUUAGGUUGUUAAUUAGUAGAUAUUAAUUUUGUUCAUAUAUGUAUGGAUGCAUGUGAUAUGUAUGUAUGUAUGUAUGUAUCGGGUAUGUCAUUGUCAAUAUACCCCCUACCCGAUAACUUCGACAUGAGGGGGUCGAGAGGGGGUCUAGGGUCGCCGAGGGGUCGAGGGUCGUUGAACAUGAGAGUAAGAAAAGGAUAAAAAAGAAGAGGAAGAAGAAAAAAAGAGGAGAAGAAAGAAUAGAGGAGUUCUUCUCCUCUAUUCUUUCUUCCCUCUUUUUUUUUCUUCUUCUUCCUCUUUAUUUUAUCGGGAACGAGGGUCGUCGAGGUUCGCCGAGCGGUAGAGGAGAAACCCUAAAUAGAAAGUAUCGUCGGUGUGAGAUACAUGUACCAUCGGUGUCGGACACUACAUCCACGUCCCACAAGUGGCGCGGGCUUCGACGCCCACGCCACUUGUGGGACGUGGAUGUAGUGUCCGACACCGACGACCACAUGUAUCUCACACCCACGAUACUUGCUAUUUAGGGUUUCCUCUAUCAUUNNNNNNNNNNNNNNNNNNNNNNNNNNNNNNNNNNNNNNNNNNNNNNNNNNNNNNNNNNNNNNNNNNNNNNNNNNNNNNNNNNNNNNNNNNNNNNNNNNNNNNNNNNNNNNNNNNNNNNNNNNNNNNNNNNNNNNNNNNNNNNNNNNNNNNNNNNNNNNNNNNNNNNNNNNNNNNNNNNNNNNNNNNNNNNNNNNNNNNNNNNNNNNNNNNNNNNNNNNNNNNNNNNNNNNNNNNNNNNNNNNNNNNNNNNNNNNNNNNNNNNNNNNNNNNNNNNNNNNNNNNNNNNNNNNNNNNNNNNNNNNNNNNNNNNNNNNNNNNNNNNNNNNNNNNNNNNNNNNNNNNNNNNNNNNNNNNNNNNNNNNNNNNNNNNNNNNNNNNNNNNNNNNNNNNNNNNNNNNNNNNNNNNNNNNNNNNNNNNNNNNNNNNNNNNNNNNNNNNNNNNNNNNNNNNNNNNNNNNNNNNNNNNNNNNNNNNNNNNNNNNNNNNNNNNNNNNNNNNNNNNNNNNNNNNNNNNNNNNNNNNNNNNNNNNNNNNNNNNNNNNNNNNNNNNNNNNNNNNNNNNNNNNNNNNNNNGGCCACAUGUAUCUCACACCCACAAUACUUGCUAUUUAGGGUUUCCUCUACCGUUCGGCGACCCUGACCCUCGACGACCCUCGUUUCCGAUAAAAUAAAGAGGAAGAAGAAGAAAAAAAAAGAGAAGAAGAGAAUAAGAAGAAAAAAGAGGAGAAGAAAGCGCGGGCUUCGACGCCCACGUCACUUGUGGGACGUGGAUGUAGUGUCCGACACCGACGGCCACAUGUAUCUCACACCCACGAUACUUGCUAUUUAGGGUUUCCUCUACCGCUUGGUGACCCUCGACGACCCUCGUUCCCGAUAAAAAAAAGAGGAAGAAGAAGAAAAAAAAGAGGAGAAGAAAGAAUAGAGGAGUAACUCCUCUAUUCUUUCUUCUCCUCUUUUUUUCUUCUUCUUCCUCUUUUUUUUUAUCCUUGAAGCAUUGUCGAGGCCACCCCAAACCCUAGAGAAGCAGCGUCGAGGCCACCCCAAACCCUAGAGAAGCAGCGUCGAGGCCACUAAUUAAUAUUAGUUCUACGUUUUCCACUAAUAUAUCCAUCUGUCAUGUUUGAAUAAUAAUUGCCAUGUUGUCAAUAUUUGUAGAAACUAUGGACACCGCCCGAGACGAAGUACAAGAAGAGUUGUUGGGGGACAUAAUCGCACAAGAAGUGAUGCCGUCUGCUCAUUGUUUCUCGACGACACCGAUGGUCUGGAAGCAGCUGGCUAUCAUUAUGAUGGCUCCGGUGACCUAAUGCCGGUGCAAGAAGGAGACCGUGAGGACGGCUCCGGUGACCCAAUGCCGGUGCAAGAAGGAGACCGUGAUGACGUGUUCGAUGACCGAACCGAGUCCGGCCAGGUAUAUAUAUUAGUUAAGCUUCUGCUGACUAGCUAAUUGAUGCAUUCAUUGUUUUGGUAUGUACACAUAUUAAUUAAGUCUUUGUUAUUUUUCUAGCCCUCCGGAUCGAGCACAACUUCGGUAAAGAGACGAGGCCCGAAGAAAAAGUUGAGCUCGGAUGAAAAGUUUGAGAUCAUAGCAAUCGCGCUCGACGGCCAACCGAUUGAACCCCUCCGGACAAAGAGCGCAUUUGUUGCUCAGUGCGGGGUUUUGGUUAGGGACAAGAUCCCGAUCAGCAUUCAGCAAUGGUUUAAGCCGGCUAUAGAAGACCCUGAGGUGUCUUAUGUCAAUGAUAUGCAGAAAAAUGAUCUUUGGACUGAGCUGAAGUCAAAUUUCACCCUACCGCCAGAGGAUAAUCCAGAGAAGCCAGUUAAAGAGCAAUUAAUCAAGUCUUUUGCUCUUAAGAGGAUGGCAGAACUAUUCAGGAGGUGGAAGAAAGAUCUGAAUAAGUUUGUCAAAAAUAAUGAGACACUAGAAUUCAAGGGCAGAUAUGAGAAGAUCAGAGAUCACUGGCCCGCAUUUGUGGCCCACAAGACAUCGGAAAAGAGAAGAAGAUAUCGGUGACAAACAAGCAAAAUGCUGCGAAGAAGAAGCAUCACCAUCGCACGGGGUCAUGUGGCUACCUCGUAGCCCGGCCUAAGUGGGCCAAGACUGAGAAUGAUCUGGUUGAUAAAGGGAUCGAACCAGAGACAAUUAACUGGCCAGACCGUUGCCGGACUUGGUUCUUCGGGGCUGGCGGAACCUUGGACCCUGUAACAGGGAAGUGCAUUUGGACGAACGAUCAAAUGGACAUACCAGUCAGGAAGCUUCAACAGUAUAUCGAAGCAGCGCAGCCUGAGCACCCUGGAUGGACACGAGGCACGCCAGGCUCCAUUCCGUGGAAGGUUGGGUUUCCGGACGCAGGCGGUUACAAAUCCCAUGAGAGGAGGAAAAAAUUGCAGCAGACCCAAAUGCAGGCGCUGCAAGCAAGGAUACAAGCGAUAUAGGAACGAGAAGCAAAUCGCAGCAAACGUACUGCCGAAGCUUCCCCCGAAGCUACCCCGCCAUCUCAGCGGAGAAGCAGCGUGGCUUCCACCGAGCUGCUUCAGCCGGAGCAUGCCUUGAUGGCUCCUGCCAGCUAUCCCGUGGAUGCUAUCACGGAGUCUCAAAAUUGCCACCUUAUAAUGCAAUGGAUGAAUUUGAAGGUCAAGGCGGCUGUUGGCUCUGUUUAUCCUACUGAACCCGACGCAACUUUUCACUGCCGGCCGAUUCCAGAAGGAUAUGCUAGGGUGAUGGUGGAUGAAAUAACAGAGGGAUUUGAGGACCUCCAGCUUGACCACCCUACCGGUGAAGGGGAGACUAGGUUGGGGUCUACUCUGAAGACUCCAGGCAUAUGGCAGAAGGAGCUCAUCAACCUUCCGAACUGGACGCCUCCGCCUCCUCCUCCUCCUCCGGCAAGUCAGGGCACUCCACCUCCUCCACCGCCUCCUUCUCCGGCGAGUCAGGGCACUCCGCCUCCUCCACCGCCUCCUCCUCCGGUGAGUGACGAUCAGGGCACUCGACCGGCUCCUUCUCCAGCGCGUGGCGGCACUCCGCCUCCUUCUCCGCCUGCGCCGACGCGCCGGAGCAGCCAGCCUCCUCCUUCUCCGCCUCGUCAGCAAGGGCGGAAGAGACCUGCUGCCGCUCCGGCUGCUCCGGCGCGUCGUAGUCCUUCUCCUUCGCCUCGUAAGCAAGUAAAGAAGACAAUCACUCCGUCUGCUCUGUCGGCGUCUAGUAGUACAGCCAGAGGCGGGAGGAAAUACAGAUUUGGUCCUUCUCUGAAGACUCCAGAGAAGUUACCAUACGAGAGGACCCCGGAGGAGAGCGCCGAGAUCGCACGAGAAGAAGUGAGGAACUACUUUGAAUGGGUGAAAGCAAAGAAACAUCCACCUUCGGAGGAGAAGGUCGAUCCAGUGAAAGCGAAGCACACUCUGGCUACCCUGACAAAACCACCCAAGUCUCUGCCGAAAGGAAACUAUGAGCGCAUUAUUGGAAAGGAAUUUGCCGAAGCGGAGCGGUCGGGAAGUACUGUCAGUGAUCAAAGGCUGAAAGAAUGACGAGCUGGAAAACAAAUUGCCCAGCUCGGCGAACAAGCGAAGCAAUCGUGCCCCCCGCUCAAGGUGCCUAGCGACAACGUCGCUAAUGAUCUGAGGAUGGUGCCCGGUUAUAGCAAUCUUGGCGAUUACCUGCCUGACGAUGUACAUUAUGAUUUCAUGGAGGUGCAGAUACAAAGAUACGAGUACGGGAAGCCUCUCGUCAAAUAUGAAAGAUCUCUAUCAACGAUGAUGCGAAGAUUGCAUGAUUGGUACUUGAAAAUCUACAGAGACUCUGGGGGGAGGAGUACUUUGUAUGUGAAAGUUAAAAAGGAGCAUGCCCUCGUUGGAAUUGAACUGUUGCCUGUUCCAUUCGAGGAGUUCUUUCUGUUUUUCAAUCAAUUGGCCCUCGAUAAAACAACGGUCGCCUGCUACUGUCUGUAAGUAGUACUACUUCUGUCAUUAAGUCUCUCUAUAUAGCUCAGCUCUUUCAUUGCAUGUAUUUAUAAUCAUCCUCAAUAUAUUAUGCAGAUUGAAGAUCGCCGAAUUGAAGAAAAGACAAGUCGGUGAUAUUGGGUUCAUUAACACAUAUCUCAUAGAUGCAACUCAGAUUAAAUUUCAUGCCGCAGAUACCGAGGCCAACUUGCUACGAUCGUUGGUAAUAAAUGAAAACAAAGAUAUAAUACUCUUUCCUUACAACUUCAAGUGAGUGUUACUGUCUUGUGCGUAUUCGGUUUCCCUUAUAUAUUAGUCAAGGUUAUAGUAAUGUAAUUGAUGAGUUAUGCAUGCGUGUGCAGUUACCACUAUAUUCUCCUAGAGAUUAAGCUUGAGCAGGGACUAGUAACCGUCUUAGACUCAAGACGAAAAGAUCCCCAGGACUAUGCAGACAUGACUCAAAUGCUCGAGAAGUAAGUUAAAUCGAUCAUUAUCCACCAUAUCAGCAACUUUGUUCAUUUCCUGAUAUAUCAAGUAAUUGUUUUCUUUGUCUGGCAGGGUUUGGAAAAAAUUCUGCAAAGAAGCUCCAGGACUCCUGAAGAAGCUGCAAUUUAGACACCCGAAAGUAAGUACUAUAGUAGCAUGUUCCGUGCAUCUCCUAUUGAUUCAAGCGCUAGUUUCAUCAAUACCAUUUGGCAUUCUUGCUUAUCAGUUUGAUUGACCACUAUUUCUUGUAAAGUGGUUGUGGCAGGAACAAGGGAAUGAUUUCUGUGGAUACUACGUUUGCGAGUCCAUCCGCCACACGACCUGUGAGCGGGGCUACACUGACGAACAAUAUGAAGUAUGUAAAUAACAACAUUCACAAUUUUAUUUUAUUACCAUCAUUUGUGUUGAUUUUCAUUCAUUCAUAUAUAUAUGUAUUGACCCCCUUCUUCAAAUUAGAUGUUUCGAAAGCGGGAUAAACUCCUAGCACCAGCUCGCAUGCGAGCAAUUCAAGAGGAAUUGGCGGCAUUCUUUCUUGACCAUGUGAUCGCUGAAGACGGAGAAUACUAUGUGGACCAUGAGUCCGUAUGAUUAUAUUUGUAAGAGAUAAUUAUUGUAUAUAUGUAGCCAGUAGUGUCGGAUAGAUAUACGAGAACUUGUUGUUCGACCAAUCUCUCGGAGAAGGAGAGGUGGUCCAUAUCACUUCUCUCUGUAUGCAUAUAUGUUCAUGAUGAUCUUCUGUUUCCUUCGUUUGCUUACUAGCUAGCUAGCGUGUCUAGUCCUCUCUAUACGUAUGUAUAGUACGUAGCGUCGACCAAGCACGGACAUAAGAGAGGACACUUCUCUCUAUUAAUUAUAGCUAGCUAACACAAUAUAUGAAACACCUAAAUUAACCCUCCAAAACCCCCAACCCCCCCCCUUUCAAAAAAAAAAAACCAGCCACAGAAAUGCUGACGCGUGGAUGCCUAUUGGUUCCGGUUGGUGCCACCAACCGGGACCAAAGGGUCUCCUGCCUGGGCUCCGCGCACAGACCACGUGGAGGCCCAUCAGUCCCGGUUCUGGAUUGAACCGGGACUAAAGGGACAGGGCAUUAGUACCGACCCUUUAGUCCCGGUUCAGGAACCGGGACAAAAGGACCUUACGAACCGGGACAACAGGCCCUUUUUCUACCAGUGCUAGGGGUCCUAUAUAUAGUGGGAGGGAGGGAGGGCAGCCGGACCCAAGUCCCUGGCGCCUCCCUCUCCCCUCGUAACAUCUCUCUCUCUCGUUGGAGCUUAGCGAAGCCCUGCCGAGAUCACUGCUGCUUCCACCAUCACGCCGUCGUGCUGCUGGAUCUCCAUCAACCUCUCCUUCCCCUUGCUGGAUCAAGGAGGAGACGUCUUCCCCAACCGUACGUGUGUUGAACACGGAGGUGCCAUCCGUUCGGCGCUCGGUCAUCGGUGAUUUGGAUCACGACGAGUACGACUCCAUCAACCCCGUUCUCCUGAACGCUUCCGCUCGCGAUCUGCAAGGAUAUGUAGAUGCACUCUCCUCUCCCUCGUUGCUAGAUGACUCCAUAGAUUAAUCUUGGUGAUGCGUAGAAAAUUUUAAAAUUCUGCUACGUUCCCCAACAGGCACCUCGUGAGGUUUCCGUGAUGUGAGCCAUGACGACCGAGGCCAGGCGGGCGCCGGCGGGCGCAGAGUACCAGUUGCCUCUUUGGUGCUAAAGGGGCAAGUGAAGGCGAGGAGUCCCGAGGCAUCAGGCAAAGGUUUUCAUAUUAGUGCAAUGAAACCAAGACCAGCAGGACGGGGGUCAUCACGGAGCCCACGACAGCAUCACCACCAGAGUCUUUGGCAGACGAAGACCACCUUUUGUCAGAAUAGCUUAUACUAGUUGUCCCCCUUCAAAUUCAUCAUUGUGGGAUCCCUUCCCGCCUAACAAUCCCGAGCCCAGGGGUGUGCGGCCGGUGCGGCCGCACAGGGCCUCCAGGUGGAAGGGGCCCCCAAAUUAGUAGCACAUCAGGCCUAGUCAAACCAGCAGGCCGAAAAGCCCUGAUAGUGUCCCGAGCGUAUGUCGCUAAUCCAUAGCUUAUGAGAAUAACCAUCGUUCACACUAACCCUAACAACGCCGCAGCUGGUCGACAGAUGCAACCUGGCGAUGCAACAGAGGAACGGCGGCCGCCGGCAUCGGCAGCGCCCGCAACGCUGGCAACAACAACCAGCAGGUAAAUAGGGCAGGCACAUGGUUGUAUUCCAGCGAUGCACUAAAUCCACUUAGUCAAAUUAACUAAUCAACAUCACUGCAUCCUUCAGAACAAGUGCUAUCUCGCUUGUUGUUACUUUUCCUCUUUUGUUGGAUGAAGCGAGAUGGACUGAAGGAGAGACGAGGGACAGUUUGACAAGGUCAAGUUUGACGUCCGUGAGUUCAUCGGUCCCAGUUUUUUACAAAUAGUUUGCUGGUAAAUGUUGGAUGUAUAUCCCUUUAGUCUUGUUUUCCCAUCAUUUAUACUCUUUUAUAUUAAUUGGUGUAGAAGUCAUGUGUUUCAAGAUUCAAGUUAUGUCCUCGAAAAAUCUAUCUAAAAUAUAUGAAUCUGGUUACAAGAAAUAUAAUAUUUUUUAGAAAAAUUUAGAGGAUUUAAUUCAACAUCAUAAAGGACUUAUCCGUAACUUGAAUAUACAUUAGUUUUAUUUUUAUAAGAAAGUAGGCCUCAGUUUAGUGUUUGGCACAGGGCCCCGAAUUUUGCCGGCUCGACCCUGCCGCCUAAUAUUUGGGGAGAGGAUCCGGACCUCUAUAUAUAGGACUAGCCACCAUCGUAGCUAGAGGGGAGGUCCAAUCUGGAGAUGAUCCAAUCUAGACAGGAACCAGACCAUCCACACACACACAAGCUCACCGAGCUCAAGAACACCUCUCCUUAGGAGGCUGUUCUUCCCUUGUACUUGUUCAUCCCCAGCCUACAAGGCAAUCCACCACACCACACUGGAGUAAGGUAUUACACCACAACGGUGGCCCAAACCAGUAUAAACUCUUGUGUCUCCUGUGUCUCUUGUUUUUUGGGUUCAACGAGCUAGGCUUUAAGAUCGUAGUGAGAGUGUGAGUUAGGGGGAAAGAGAUCUUCGUGCGCACCCCAGUGUUCGAAUCUCAAGGUUAUUGCUGGAACCUGUAAUCCAACAUCGAUGGAUCAAGGAUGAUAUAUGAUGACGAUGACGCUUGUGUGCAGCCAUGGCAGUUGAUGUCUUCCUAGUUAGGUGUGGAGUCUAAUUGGUAUCCAGUUUGGCCGUUGCCUGUGUAUUGUCAUGUUCCAUGAUGGUUGUCUAUUGGGCAUGUUGUUACGGGUUUUGCUCAAUUAUUUUUAAAUUAAUCAGACAUUUUUUCUUUUUAAUUAAUGAAAAUGUUAAAUAUUUUGCCUUAGUUUAGUAAUAAAGUAGUGCAAACCAAAGUAACUAUCAUGUAGUUCGGGGAAUGACGCCAACAAAACAUUUGCAAAAAAAACCAGCUGAAUUGGCCUCACUGCCGAUCGACGCGGCUAGCCGAGCUAGGCAGGCCGAAAACUAGGAGCGCCCACACAAACAUGAGACAAUUUCUUAUUUGUUCCUUUCUUAAAAUAUGUUUCCCUUUUUGGCCCAAAUUUUUUUCAUCACAACUUCAUUUUCUUCCUUUAAUGACACUUUCAUAUUUUUCUAUUAACACCAUGAAAUGCGAGAUGAAAAUUCCUAUUUACCAGUGAUUUAGCAUGCGUGUGUGUGAACCUUCCCACAAAUUCACUCCCCUAUUCUCUCCCUGACUCACUGCGAGAUGCUAGCCCUAACCCUACGAUGGCGGCGGAGGGGCACACAGCGGCGCCGGCACGAGGCUGGGAGGGCGGUGUGUGAGGAGGGUCUGGCCGAAGUACUUACGGAUGGCAGGGCGGAAGGCGCGGUGGAGGAGGGCCAUGGCGCUGCACCGGUCUCGGCCUCGGGCGACCAUGGUGGGGCGGCGGAGGGGGCAUGGUGGGGCGACGGCUACAACGCGACUGCCAAGGGGUGGGGCGGCGACUACACUUUGGCUGACGCUACUGCAGGAUCGGUAAUUAAGGGCUGAGCUGGGUGCUCGGCCUCGACUACAUCGGCGACGUGGCUAGAAGGGUGAGUCCUCUCUUCUCUAGAUUUCUCCAAAUACAUAUUACUUUGAGUCCAUUCAUCAUUGGCUAUUCAAUUGUGCAAUAAAUAAAUUAAUCAACCUUGAUUGAGAUAUGAGAUCCCUCAAUUGUGUGAUUGUAUUCUUAGAGAUGAAUAUUUGCUGCCAGAUCUGCAAUGGAAAAAAAGACAAAGAUUAGGUUGAUACUACAAAGCAAGUAUGUUCACAGAUCUUGGAUAAUAUGUUUACAGAUAAUACUUUUUUUUUAUUUCAAAUAUGAAGCAAGUAUGUUCCAGUUUAUACAUAACUGAUCUUCCUUUUAAUGUUUGUUGAAAAUAUGCACAUGGGUUUGGUCUGCACGUGCUACUAUAUAAGGAAGCUGUAGGAGUAGAAAGUACUCAUGAUUAGGUUUCUCUUGGUUUUACAAGAUGGAUCCAAAUUCAACUUAUAUGCUGAAAGUAUUCUAAUUGCUUCCUUACCACCUUGGCCAAAGCUUGGAGAACACAAAACUAAGAAAACGGGGAAAGUGGCCAACUCUGAAUCUCGAGGAUAAAAAACAUAACCUAAAAUAUGUUUGAAAAUUGGUUCACAAGUAAUGCAUUGUUUCUAUUAUUUGUUUACUCUACUGCUGCCAUGCAUGCGUAGGAUUGUCUCAAGUUAAUUUGGGCCCAUUUUCCAUUGAAAGUGAGAUGCUCAACUAGCAAACAAUUGUUCCUGGGAAGGUAAAUGCCAAAAGAAAAAGGAAAGAACUUGCUACAGAAAUUGCAAACAUUCAUGUGGUGCUAAAUCAACCUUGCGAUGUGCACAAGAAGACGAAGAUUUAACCCAGCCAGCCCUGCGUUGAGCACGAGAAGCAAAAGAAGGCUUAGCUUGUGAUUAUCUUGUUCAUUAUGUGUUUAUUUCAAACUGUCCAUGCGCGCUCAACCUAUCAUGUGAGCUUUUGCAUACUGUUUAUUCAAGAUGCUUCUUUUGGAAACUAUUUAUAUGCUCAGCUCAUGAUAUGAGCUUGUGAGCUUUGGUGUUGUUUACGUGAUGUAUGUGACUUGGAUGUGUCCUAAUAGGGCUUGUGUAUGUGAUGUAUGUCACCUGGUGGUACUCUAUAUGAAACUGGAUGAUAUGAUAGUUGUGGAUGGUACUUGAUGAGUUAUGUGCCUAUGUCAAAGAGUUUGUAGUCGUGUUGUCAUGAUAUUACAUGAAUUGUGUGCAUAUAUGAAUUGUUGGCAGGGUAUAUGGCGAUAUUAUUAUUAAAAUCCAAUGAUUUAACUCUACUUUUAUCAUAUAAUCUGCUCACAUACUACACUAGGGAUAAAACAGUCUUUUUAGGUCCGACUUAACACCGUUAAUUUUCAAAACUGACGGAGAUGUUACAUAUAGGGAACCAAUUCAAGUUUGAGUGCUAAGAGCAUCUACAGCCGGACUUGGCAAAUCUGGCCCCACAAACGCCCGCGGGCGCGUCCGCAGGCACUGACCGGUCAUAGCUCAUAUUUGGUGAUAUGCAUCUGAACACCUCAUUUUCACCCCCUAAAUUUAUACAAACCAUUUAAAAAAUUUCCUAUGCAAUAUGUACCACACUAUUCUAAACUAAGUUUCACCAUCGGAGAUGUCCACGACGUCCAUGCCGGGCACCGGGUAGAUGGGCGCGUAGGAGUGCUCCGGCUCCUCCUCAUCAUCAUCAUCCAUAGCCGUGGGCAUCUCAUUGACGUUGACGGGGUGCUCCGCCUCCGCCUCCUGCAAACCAUCCGCGGUGCGCUCUGUUUUGCUUCCGCCUCCGGCACAUGAUGCCGCUUGGCCUCCGCCGUCGAUAUCGGGCGGAGGGAAUCAAGUAUUGUUUGCUACUCCGCUUGCAGAUCCACGGCCCCAGCGUCCCCCACGUCCACCUCCUCCUCCCCUUCAUCGUGCCGUCCUCGCCCUCUUCCUCCUCCUCCUCCCCCCUUCAUUGUCCUACUGCUCCUCCUCCUCCUUCGGAUCUACCGCAUUCAGAGGUAACCACGCUACUAUCCAGGGCUCCGCGCCUUGCCAUGACCUGCUCAGGCAGGCUUCAAACGCCUGGACUGACCGGCACCCCUCAUAUCCAAUCCAAAUUGGGGAAGGGUAUGGGGGCGAAGGCCGCACCAAACCUAUUUGGAUCGCAUUUUCAUGACCGGUUAGUGACCGUGCUGUCAGCCCAGGUAUUUCAGACGGGUUCAAGGGCGAAAAAGGAAAGUAAAUAUUAAGAAAGGGUCAAGGAAGGAAUCGUCUCCAUACACAGAUGUGAACCGAAACAGACAUUGCACUCACGCAGAUGCUCCUAUGUGUUAUCCUACUCACCUUAUCCGGUGCAGAGCGUAGUGGAACGCCCGUCCGUCACGUGUUCCGUUUUUUAUAUGACCAACGAGCCGCCGCCACCUGUGCUCCGCCGCAGCGCCGGCCAUCCCACCCGCCCGCUGCUCGUCUCAAAACCGCGGUCUCCCUCGCUGCCUGCCCGUUCUGCCGUUUCCUGCAACCUAUAAAUCCAGCCGGAGAACCUCACCUGUCCAUCCAUCUCAUCUCACUCACACUAUUACUCAUAUAAGCUUCACUAGCUACUAAGUAGUUCACUUCCUUCCGAACCAAGCUCUCUUCCACGACACGAAGAUGUCUACGGUGACCCGCGCCUACCACGACCAGAGGCUCGCCGCCGGCAGGGGCUGCUCCAAAGGUAACCAAAUCGAUAUCUUGUCCCGCCGGUCCUCAAGGGCACAUUGUAGCUUUCUGUGUCUCCGCUGAAAAUUAAUCGUAACUAAAAUGUUUUUGUUGAUCCGGAACUGCAGAGGCUGCCAUGGCGGGUUCCAAGGCCGCGGCCGUCGCCAUCGUCGCUGCCGUAGUGCCCACAGUAAGUACCAUUCAGUUCUUCGAGGAAAUCCUUGCACGGUUCAUAGAAUGUCUCAUGGAUGCGUUACCUAUAACUUCAGCUGGCGAGCGUGAGGAUGCUUCCGUGGGUCAAAGCACACCUCAAUCCCACCGGCCAGGUGCUCGUCAUCUCGACCGUUGCCGGGAUGGCCUACUUCAUCGUCGCCGACAAGACCAUCCUUUCCAUGGCAAGGAAUAACUCCUUCGAGGACGCGCCGGACCACCUCAAGAACACCUCCUUCCAGUAAUUAGGCCCUUGAUUAGCCAGUGCCCACUAAACUGUGUACGCAGGCCCGUACGUGUCUUCUGAAACAUAGUAGUAUACUGUUCAGCGAGGCGAUGGUUUGCAGUGCGAAAAGGUGGUGUAAAGCCCUUUUCUGCGAGCAUGCCCUAAUUACCUGAUGAUUUAUGAUGUAUACCAUAAUAAUGUGGCCAUGUUGUCCAACAAUAACAACUAUAGUUUUGAUUUUGUACAACUCUGGUCCAAUUGCACUCGCUCAUCUUACCUUUAACAUGCAUCAGUGCAUUGCAAAAGACCCCCUACCCCUGCCCUGUUCUGCUCCGAAAUGCACGUGAGCAUCAUGCCGCUUCAAUCACACGUUAAAUCUUCUGCUAUGGUUUAUUGGAUGGGUUGUCAAAUAAGUCUCAGUUCUUUUCAAGCUUAUGGGAGGCUUAUGGCGGAAAUUAAGCUCAAGCCCAAAAAAACUCGUUUAGGUGCCAUUAGCUUAUGCCUACCGCGCCCUGUGCCUUGCACGGCGGGCACGCCGUGCCAUGGCCUCAUUGGACGAUAGUGCGUCCCGAACAUUGACACACCAACCAGGGGCGGAUCCAGCGUGGGGUCGUGUCUGGGCGGUCGCCCCGGGUAAAAUUUCUAACCCUAGGGUAUCCCUACUGCUUUUUCUAAUGGCCGCCAUGGGAGGGGGAGAGCUCUCGUAUAGAUCUAUAGGUUCAAUCGAAAGAAGUUACGAGCAGGAAGACAGAAGAUAACGAUUCGCUUGUAAGUUGUAAGAUGGGCCAAUGACCAAGGCCCAACUAGACGGGACUAUGUGAGCCUAUGAUUAUCUGUAAAGUUUUGGCAUUCCCAAUUCUGUCGACAGGAAACCAAAUCAGCAAACAAUGUAUCACGCGAUCACCGCUCAACAAAAAGUAUUGAUGCCGCCUCGCCUAUGUGACGCGGCGCCCUAUGCUGCCGGUCCACAGCCUCGCCGUGGCACUGCCUAGGUCCUUCCCCGACCGAUGGUGCUCGAUGGAGAAAGAGGAAUCCACUUGUUCGCGGAAGGCGGCAACGUCACCACCCCUUUAAAACUGCAAGCGCUGAGCCAAUUGAGACAGCAAACAGCAAGUUCGUUCAUUCUCCCCUAAUCUUCUACUCUCAUUCUUCCCUAAUUUUCUGCUCUCAUUCUCCUAUAUUUCUUUAAUCUCUUGUUACGUUGGCCUAAUUUUUCAAAGUUAAAUGCUGAUUUUUUUAGGGAAAUUUAAUUACAUACCAAAUUGGAUGUUCUAUAUAUGAGCAUAAGAAUUAGGCCAUAAAUGAUUUGUUUGUCGCGUUAUAUAUUUUUCUCCUCGAGAAUAAAGCUACAUUGCAAUAUUGGUUGUAUUGAUCGUCUUGCCUGGAUCCAUACUACCUAGCCCAUUAAUUUUGUUCAUUGUCUUCUCUCAUUGCACCGUGGCUUCAAAAUUAUGUUUUCUCUAAAAGUCCGUCCCGGGUAACUUCAAAUCCUGGAUCCGCCACUGGCACCAACGGAGAGAUUGCACGUCCGCCAGCGCGUUUGGAUGCCAGACGGACCGCACAGCCUCCGGUGAGGCAGCUACAGCUGGCCUAGCAUCGGAUCCAUGCGUCAUUUGGGCGGACGCAAUGGAUUCUCGAUAGAUGGAGUCCGAGCACAGUCGUGCACGGGCAUCCCCUCAGGCGCAGCGGAGCGCAAGCCGGACGGUUAUCUCCUCCUCGAGGCCGCGUGCGAUAAGGUCGAGGUCGACGGAUUUGGAGGUGAAGGACUUGGAUCUGCUGCCCGUCAUGCCGGAGACGAGCUUGGAUGGCGGAGGGGAGUGGAGAAUAGGUGAGUGAAGUGGCUAGGGUUUGGUCCGGCGAGUGGAUAGGGAGGAAUUUUUGUGGAGUCGGGUAGGCCGGCGUGGGCCGGGUCUGACGUGGCGGACGUAGGGCGCCUCGUAUCCCCCCAUAUUUGGGCUGGAUAUGAGGUGCCGGUUAGCCCAGACGUUUGACGACCGUUUGAGGGGUCCGUCUGGAUAAAAAUCAUGACCAGACAGAGACCGGAUGGUCUGUCCAAACAUAUGAGACGGGUUUGAGGCGUCGGGUUGUAGAUGCUCAUAGGAGCGAAACCGGCGGCACCUGCUCUGCUCUGCUCUGUUUCGUUUCUUUUAUCUUACACAAAGGACAAACGCCUCGUGUAGCAAAAUUAUCUAUGUAUUGUGAUCAGAUCAGCACUGUGGUGCCUAACUUUAAAUGGAUCGAGAUCUCCCUUUUCUUGCUAGCUUUAGUUUGGUGGGUAAAGAAAGAAAGACGAGGGAGGGAGCAACAAACAAACAUCGUCCAAUCCUGUGGAUUCCCAUACCACAGUUUUGGAUGCCGCUACCGGAAAGCGUGCUCUGCCCACCAACUCAGUUCUGCACUCCAAGUCCAAACGAGUACCCACGGUUUGCACCCAAAACCGUGCGUGGCCGCCACCUUUUUGCUCGCUAUAAAUACCCGGAUCAACUCCUCGUCCUGGAAGCAUCAAGCAACAGUCAGCCAGCCAACCAGCCCAUCUCAUCUCACUUGAUCGCACCCUUUGUACUGAGCCGUUUCUGCACAAGAUCACGGCGAGGAUGUCGUCGACGGCCACCGUCACCCGCGCCCACCUCGAGAACAAGCUCGCCCUCGCCAGACGCUGCUCCAGAGGUAGUAACCAGGAUCCACUUCUUCAGAGUUCAGUUCAGCCAAGUUGUGUACUGAUAGUCUGACACUAGCAAUGCAUUUCUUUUUCUUAAAUCUUUUCCAGAGGCGACGCUCGCCGGAGCAAAGGCGGCGGCCAUCGCCACGGUCGCGUCUGCGGUCCCAACGGUGAGCUCCUCCGUCCGGGAUUUGUUGAUUUUCAUGCACGUUGGUCUGGUUUUCAUGACUGAACUGUUUAUCGUGCAGCUGGCGAGCGUGCGGAUGCUGCCGUGGGCCAAGGCGAACCUGAACCCCACCGGCCAGGCGCUCAUUGUUUGCACCGUCGCCGGGAUGGCCUACUUCGUCGCCGCCGACAAGACUAUCCUCUCGCUGGCAAGGAAGCACUCGUACGAGAGCGCCCCGGACCACCUCAAGGACACCUCCUUCCAUGGCGCCGCCGCCGCAACUCGUCCCCGUCCGCCGGCAUUCUUCAGGCCUUGAGCUAGUAUUAUCCUGCUAAUGUAUGAUAGCACGCGCUUGUCCGUUGCGCGUAUUCUAAAAAAAAUGUAUGCAUCCUUGUCAGUGUCCCAACGCAAGAAACUGCUGCGCCGGAAUGUAUUAUGUAUGCACAUGCUUUACAUCUGUGUACUGAAUAAAACUGAGGGCUCGAUCCUGGUUUCAGAUAAGCCGUGUACGACAGACUUCAUAUCUCGACGAAGAUGGAAACUGAGCUAGCAGUGAGGCCGUGACUUACAGCACAGAAUUCAGGUGGCCCCACAUGUUAAUCCGAAACUGCAGAGGCUGCCAUGGCCGGAGCCAAGGCCGCGGCAAUCGCCACCGUCACUACCGUAAGUACCCAGCUAGCCAUUCAGCUCUUCGAGGAAAUCCCUCCAGAGUUCCUAGCAUGUCUCAUGAAUGUACGUGAUCCCUAUUAACUUCAGCUGGCGAGCGUGAGGAUGUUGCCGUGGGCCACCAGGGCGCACCUCAACCCGACCGGGCAGGCCCUCAUCAUAUCCACCGUCGCCGGGAUGGCCUACUUCAUCGUCGCCGAUAAGACCAUCCUCUCCAUGGCCAGGAAGCACUCCUUCGAUGACGCACCUGACCACCUCAAGAACACCUCCUUCCACUAAUUAGACUAUAAUAGAUCCAUUAGUAGUGUGCAAUAAACUGCAAACACUUAUCUGAUUAUGAUGUUCAGCCAGCUGAGAAGCGACGACUUAUCUGACUAGUAAUGCGCACAUGCAACACACGUUAAUAGUUAGGCAAUAUAUUAAUUACACACAGAUAUUAGGUAUGAUAUUAUUUAUAUAUUAAUUAUGUGAUUAGUGCAAUAUUUGGUAUGAUAUUAAUUGCACGUUAAACCAGUGGUGGUGCCAGGAUCAAAACCAUGUGAUGUCAAGCUUCACUAAUAAAAAAAAUUAGAUCAUAAACAGGAAUAAAAACAUCAUACUUUAUUACAAACCGUCUAUGGCAGUAGUGCUUUGUGGCGAUGCAUACAUUGACAUGUAUAUGCAUAAUAGCAUCAAUACUAAUAGACUAGAAUACAUCAGUUUCAACAUAAGUUAUGAGACAAUGGUACAAGAAAUCAUCACCUAUUCUAUUGCGCCAAUCAGACUUGAUAUAUUUCAUUGCGGAAAAUGCUCUCUCAACUGUUGCCGUCACCACCGGCAAGAUCAAUGCUAGCUUUACCAAAAAGAAUACUAGAGGAAAGGUAUUGUACUUCUUUGUCUCAACGAGUUUUCUGCAAAGAUCACUAACCCCUUUCAAAUUGGAGUCUUGAAUCAUCAUGAACAUUUUCAAGGAAGUUAUCAAGUUGGACACUAAGAUCUUCAAUCUUGCUUUCACUCCCAAAAUCUUCUGGAUACAAACGAGCCAUUGCUAACACUUUUUCUUUGUCAAAAUUAGCAAACGAAUCAGAAGGAUCCAAAGAAGCCAUCCCAAGAAGCAAGGUUGUGUUGCUUUCACUAAAGCGGUCAUCAAUCUCUACAUGUAACAUAUCAAUAACGGUGUACAUCAGACUUUGGUAGCAAUUCUUAUUUGAUAUGCCAUCAGUCUGAGCCUUCCGCUUUGAUUUCGAUCCUCGGGGUAUAUGCAUAGCAUCCAUGUGAAAAAGUUCAAUAUCUUGUUCAAUGCAAAAAUCAGUAACCUUUUUAAUCAUACCUUCCCAACGUUGGUUUCUCAUGUCAUGUAGCCUUCUUUUGGUUGUGUGAAUAUAUGACACGGCAUUCACAAUGUCCUGAUCCUUCCUUCGCAAAGCAACACUUAGAUAAUUAGUAAUCCCAAGUAUAGCCUUCAUCAAGUGCAUCAUGAAAACAAAGUCAAAUGUUUGAAUAGCAUCCAGAACACCUUGCUUUAAUCCUAUCAAGAGAUUUCCUGGCGUUUUGUGCAUUAUCAUCAACAACUUCAAUUACCGAGGGGGACAUAACAAUCAUAUUCAAGAGAGAGCUGAAAUGAGACCCCCAACGAGUAUCCCCAGCUCGUUUAAGUCCAAGUUCUUGAUUCAAACCUCUACCAGUUUCAAGUUCUCCAUUCUGCAGUGUCGUCUGGACUCUUUUUGCUUGUUUCUCUCUAAGCAUAUCUUUGUUCUUAAAAGAAUUUCCCACUGUGGAGAGAAGAACACUCAUCCACUCAAAAAUCCAUACCACAUCUUCAUGGUUUUUUACAACUGCAACUAGUGUUAGCUGAAGUUGAUGAGCAAAACAAUGAAUGCUAUGAGCAGACCUAGAAUCUCCCAUUACUAAAGUUUUCAAACCAUUCAAAUGCCCUUGCAUAUUACUACCUCCAUCAUAGCCUUGGCCACGAAUUCAAGAAGGGCUAAGGUUAUGUUUUUUAAGCAAUGCAUAAAUAGCUUGUUAGAGAGCAAGAGAAGUUGUUUGAGUAACAUGAGAAAGGCCAAUAACACGCUCCAAUGAAAAUCCCCAAUUGUCAAUGUAUCUUGUAGCAAGAGCCAUUUGUUCCUUGUGAGAUACAUCACGAGAUUCAUCAACCAAUAUAGCAAAGUAUUCAUCUCCCAGAUCUUCUAUGAUUGCCUUCACAGUUUCUAUAGCACAAGCUUUCACAAUAUCUUUCUGGGUAGUAGAAGAAACUAACUUUAAAUUCUGAGGAGCAUUCCUCAAAGCAACAGCAGCCACAUCAGGACAACGUGCAACAUACCACUCAUAAAAAGUUAGAAAAUUCCCCUUCCUCAAAGAAGACUCGCUUUCAUCAUGACCUCGAAAUGGCAAGCUCAAAACAAGAAGCAACCUUGCAAUAUCUAUUGACGCAAUUAGCUGAGUUUGGUACUCUAUAUUGGAUUUCUUUGUUUUCUGUCAAAGACAACUCCAAUGGAUUGCUUCUAGUUCAUUAGAUCAUCCCAUCUCUCCAUGUUCUGAUUAUGAGUACUUGAAGGACCCCCGACAUGAAUAUCCAAUCUCUUUACAUUAUUCCAACUUUUCCACCCCUUUGUUGAAAAUUCAUCUCCACCACCACGGCCUAGACUUUCAUUCUGAAACAUAUAGCAACUAAAUCUGAGAAUGGUUUCAUACUUAAACCAUACUCGUACAUGUAUCUCUCAAAACCAUACUUGAAUCAAUACCCGUUUAAUGCCAUUUUCAGCCCAACCAAAACUAAACCCUCUAUUUUUUUCCACCCAAACCAAUUUAAACCCAAUACAUAAUUAUGGGUUUAAACCCAAUACAUAACUAUGGGUUUGCUUCAAUGUAUAUAUGAUUACACAAAUCGACAUGUUAAGAAGCAAAUGACAUAGAAAAGGCAUAAGUGCAUCUACAACAAUUUAGGAAUAAAGUUAUCGUUGAGAUACGGUCAACACACAGCAAGAGUAAAAAAAACAAUGCCCACAACUAAAAAGCUCACUGACAAGUGUAUUAAAACCAAUUGCUUAGCUAAAGCACAAGCAAACACAUUCGAUUUGCAUGUGGUGUUUCCCCAUAAUACAGAAUUACAUAGUGCAUUGUAGCAUUUACAAGGAUCAAAGGUACUUGUUGUCGAUGCGUCCUUGCUUAUUGCACAUAACACUAGUAGAAAAAGGGUCAAACGUGAAGCACAAUAGUGCCGGUUUGAAUUUCAGUCGGCACUAAUGUGUACAAUAGCACCGGUUCGUGGCGGCGAUCAAUAGCACCGGUUCAUGGCGAACCUUUAGUACCGGUUCAUGCCACGAACCGGUACUAGAGGCUGUGUCAGCCUGCGGUCAGGCUAUGGCCCCACCAUCACCAUUUAGUGCCGGUUCGUACCAUGAACCGGUACUAAUGAGGUUAUGGUAAGCUGUUUUUAGUCCCACCUCGCCAAGAGAGAGGGACUAGGAGCGGUUUAUAAGCCCUGAGUGCAGAGACGAUGAAGAAGAGGCUCAAUGCUCACAUUGCUUAGCUUCAAGCCUUCAGGAAUAUAGUAGAUUGCACGAAGCUAUGCGCAGUGCAGUUCACACUAUUUCGAAAAGCUUGAAGCAAAUUAACGAGCAUUGCAACUCUUUUUUAUUUUUAAUAACUUAUUACAACUCCGGACUUCUUCUGUUAUGGCAAAAACUAAUUGCACGUCGGCAUUUCUUUUUUUUAAACUUUGGUUAUAACUCCAGAAUUUGACCAUCAAGUUUUGCAGAAAAGAAAAAAUAGCAGAAAAUAAAAAAAACUAUAGUUGAAAAGAAAAAACUAUAUAAAAAAACUACUCAGAAAUAAAUAGAAGAAAAUAAAUAUAGCAGAAAAGAAAAAACUACUCAGAAAUAAAUAGAAGCAAAUUAACGAUCAUUGCACCUCUUUNNNNNNNNNNNNNNNNNNNNNNNNNNNNNNNNNNNNNNNNNNNNNNNNNNNNNNNNNNNNNNNNNNNNNNNNNNNNNNNNNNNNNNNNNNNNNNNNNNNNNNNNNNNNNNNNNNNNNNNNNNNNNNNNNNNNNNNNNNNNNNNNNNNNNNNNNNNNNNNNNNNNNNNNNNNNNNNNNNNNNNNNNNNNNNNNNNNNNNNNNNNNNNNNNNNNNNNNNNNNNNNNNNNNNNNNNNNNNNNNNNNNNNNNNNNNNNNNNNNNNNNNNNNNNNNNNNNNNNNNNNNNNNNNNNNNNNNNNNNNNNNNNNNNNNNNNNNNNNNNNNNNNNNNNNNNNNNNNNNNNNNNNNNNNNNNNNNNNNNNNNNNNNNNNNNNNNNNNNNNNNNNNNNNNNNNNNNNNNNNNNNNNNNNNNNNNNNNNNNNNNNNNNNNNNNNNNNNNNNNNNNNNNNNNNNNNNNNNNNNNNNNNNNNNNNNNNNNNNNNNNNNNNNNNNNNNNNNNNNNNNNNNNNNNNNNNNNNNNNNNNNNNNNNNNNNNNNNNNNNNNNNNNNNNNNNNNNNNNNNNNNNNNNNNNNNNNNNNNNNNNNNNNNNNNNNNNNNNNNNNNNNNNNNNNNNNNNNNNNNNNNNNNNNNNNNNNNNNNNNNNNNNNNNNNNNNNNNNNNNNNNNNNNNNNNNNNNNNNNNNNNNNNNNNNNNNNNNNNNNNNNNNNNNNNNNNNNNNNNNNNNNNNNNNNNNNNNNNNNNNNNNNNNNNNNNNNNNNNNACAAAAAACUACGCAGAAAUAAAUAGAAGAAAAUAAAGCAGAAAAGAAAAAAACUAUAUUUGCUAUUUUUCAAUCGUUCACAAAAUGACCGUGAAAUUGAAAAUCAUUACAAAAUGAACUCUGGAAAUGUUGAAUUUUGGCAAACUAAAUAAAUAAAACUACUCACAAAUAAAUAGAACAAAAUAAAUAUGACAGAAAAGUAAAAACUAUACAAAAAACUACGCAGAAAUAAAUAGAAGAAAAUAAAGCAGAAAAGAAAAAAACUAUAAAAAAAUUGGGGCGCUGGCCUGUGGGCCUGAUAGGCCAUAGGCGUGCAAUUACAGGCCUUAAAGGCCCAGCAGACUCACAGGGCAACGCGCAGAGUUUAGCCCACAAGCCUGCUAUAUAGAGGAGUUUGAAGAGGUAGCCGCGUCUGGGUUUAUAAACCAGUGCGGCUGCCCUUCGCCCGGCGAGGUGGGACUAAACUUUGGAGUGGCAGCGCGAGGCCUUUAUUACCGGUUGGUGGCUCCAACCGGUACUAAAGGCCCCCCUUUAGUACCGGUUAGUGGCUCCAACCGGUACUAAAGGCCUUCGUUUCCCACCGCUUGGCGUGGCGAAAAUAGGCCUUUAGUACCGGUUGGAGCCACCAACCGGUACUAAAGGCCCAUCCUAUAUAUAUAUAGCACUUACGAAAAUUUCAGUUACAUCUCCCCACUUCGUCUCCAACCUCUCGCGAGACAUCGCCGCGCGCCACUCGAUCCCGUCGUCGCCACCCGUCGCCCGUCGUCCGUCGUCGUCGUCGUUGUCCCCGCCGCCGCCCAUCGUCGUCGCCAUCUCGCGCCGCCGCCCCGAACGCCGCGCGCCGCUGUCCGUCGUCGUCUCGCCGUGGUUCCGUACGUCUCUUGAUCUCACGUAUACCCGCCGCGCCGUCGUCCGUCGUCGUCGCACCCGGCCCGUACGGUGGCGCCCCCGCCCGUACGUACGCCGCCGCCCCCGCUUGUACGUACAGGGCGGCGGCGUACGGGGCCACACACAUACACACAUACACACACAUAUAUACGUACACACUACACACACAUAUUUUUACUUAUUUUCUGUUUUUUAGAAAAGUUAAUUAGAUGACCGAAUGUUUGAUUAAUGUCGAAUGUUAGAUAGAUAGAAAAUUGUCGAACUAGAGAUUUGAACUAGUUGAAUAAUUAAUAUAACUAGUUUAUUUUUAGUAAGAAAAUUAUUGAACUAGUUUAUUUAGGUAUAUGAGAUUUGAACUAGUUCAAUAAUUAAUAUAACUAGUUUAUUUUUAGNNNNNNNNNNNNNNNNNNNNNNNNNNNNNNNNNNNNNNNNNNNNNNNNNNNNNNNNNNNNNNNNNNNNNNNNNNNNNNNNNNNNNNNNNNNNNNNNNNNNNNNNNNNNNNNNNNNNNNNNNNNNNNNNNNNNNNNNNNNNNNNNNNNNNNNNNNNNNNNNNNNNNNNNNNNNNNNNNNNNNNNNNNNNNNNNNNNNNNNNNNNNNNNNNNNNNNNNNNNNNNNNNNNNNNNNNNNNNNNNNNNNNNNNNNNNNNNNNNNNNNNNNNNNNNNNNNNNNNNNNNNUGUCGAACUAGUUUAUUUAGGUAUAUGAGAUUUGAACUAGUUCAAUAAUUAAUAUAACUAGUUUAUUUUUAGUUCAAUAAUUAUUAGGUAUAUGAGUUUUUCUGUUUAUUUAAUUUUUUAUAUAUUUUGAGUUUAUAUAAAUGUUAGAUUAAUGUCGGAUGUUAGAUGAAUUAGAUAGAAAAGUUAAAUAUAUAGUAAUGUCAAUUGUUAGAGAUGAAUAUAGUUAGAUAUAUUAAUGUCAAAUGUUAGAUGAAUAUAUAUUUGGCUAGAUAUUAAUUAAUGUUAGAUAGUAAUAGGUGUUUAAUAUUUCACCUAUAUGAACAUAGGAAAUGUCAUCUGACGACGAAAAAGAUUUCAUUAUGUGCGAACACUGUGAAGACCAGCGCGGCUUGUGCGACAGAAAUUUCCUUAUUGAUGGUAGGCGCUUCAGCAUCAAGCUGGAUGAGACAUUCGAAGUUGAUACAAUAAGUCACUUUGUCAAUUAUUAUUUGAAUGCAAAACUUAUGCUUCAUUUGCUUCAACUUAUAAUUUUAAAUUUUCACUAUUCUACUAGCGCAUCCCCUGCCAUGCAAAAAUUCUUGUCUUGGAUAACAUAGGUUUUAGUGCUAUAGAUGAUAUGGAGGUAAAGAGAGUUUACUUGAAGACGGAGCAUGGGUAUACUUUCAAUGUCAAAUUAUAUAAUGGAGACACAUACACCCAUUUUGAAUGCAAAACUUGGCAAGCACUAUGCAAGGCUUAUGCAUUUGAGCCUGAUAUGGUUGUCACCUUUGAUAUUCAUCCGGAAGAUGAUAUUGAAGGUAAUAUAGACAUCUGGGUCGAUGUGCAAACGCCUCCAGUUCUACCAUUAUGUGACUUUUUCUCAACCAUGCAUGCAUAUGUUUAUGUCUUUGAUACAGUUUAUUCAAAAAUAGUUGACAACUAAUUUGUAUUGUUAGCUUAUUUCGGUUCAAGCAAACAUGUCCGGCGCUUGGUAGACAGGACCUACUACUGCCCCGGGGCUCAACUAAACUGCGAGGAGAUAAGUCAUUAUGUUUUAUUGCUUGAGGAUCUUAAUACUGUCAAGACAAAAAAAAUUCCUGAACUUAGAAAUAUUAGUACUCAAAACGUGUGACCAAUGGUGAUCGUAUUGAACUACGGUCACAUUUAUAAUCGAAAGAUGGUAAGAUUUUAACUAUUUGUCCUUAAUUAGUGCAUCUUUUGCAUACAUUAUUUUUGAAGCUAAACUUUCAUUGCUUAGUAUAUUAAUUACUAUACGAUGUUCUUCAACAGGGACUUCUGAUGACGGUUGUGCCUCAGUGGAUCGAGACUAAAGGUGACAUGUCAAUGGUUAGCUUACGGCCAAGAUAUCCUACAUUGCACAUGAGUGCAUUCAGGAUUUCUGAAAGCGAAGAAUGCUUAAUAGUGAAAGAUUGGAGCAAAAUUGUUAACGAUCGCAGAGAAGUACUAGGGGGCAGCAAGCAGAAGCGCAACCCAAGAUUAGGAGACAGAUUCAUCUGCAUGCUCCAAUAUGAUGAAUCAGGAAAGCUACACAUGUUCUAUGCUAUUCUACCUGAGAGGGAGAAGCACUAGUUCAUGCUCUUAAUUAGUGUCUCAUGUCCGUGUCUGUACUUCGAUGUUGGUGAUGAUUAUGUUGAACUCGAUGAUAUCUUUGCUUCUAUUACAAAGUGAAUGUUUCCUCUUUAAGCUAGCCAGUGUUGGUGAUGAUUAGAUAGCUAGCGGUAAUGACUAUGAUGAUUAAAUAAUGGUAAUUAGACGACUACGAUGAUUUUUAGCUAGCUAGAGUUUAUUUAUUUAUUAAUAUACUUUGAUGAUGAUGAUGAUGAUGAUGAUGAUGACGACGACUACAACUCAUUAUAACGUAAAACAAUCCUAAAUUAAAUUGAUAACACAAAUUUAAUUAAAAAUACAAAAUAAAACAAAAACCCACAAACAUUUAGUACUGGUUGGUGUUACUGUUGGGGAACGUAGUAAUUUCAAAAAAAUUCCUACGCUCACGCAAGAUCAUAGUGAUGCAUAGCAACGAGAGGGGAGAGUAUGAUCUAUGUACCUUAUAGAUCGAUAACGGAAGCGUUUGGUUGAUGUAGUCGUACGUCUUCACGGCCCGAACGAUCAAGCACCGAAACUGCGGCACCUCCGAGUUCUAGCACACGUUCAGCUCGAUGACGAUCCCCGGACUCCGAUCCAGCAAAGUGUCGGGGAAGAGUUCCGUCAGCACGACGGCGUGGUGACGAUCUUGAUGUACUACUGCAGCAGGGCUUCGCCUAAACUCCGCGACAAUAUUAUCGAGGACUAUGGUGGAAGGGGGCACCGUACACGGCUAAGAAUAUGAUCACGUGGAUCAACUUGUGUGUUCAUGGGGUGCCCUUUGCCUCAGUAUAUAAAGGAUGGAGGAGGAGGAGGCCGGCCAAGGCUUGGCGCAGCCAGGAUGUGGAGUCCUACUAGGACUCCAAGUCCUAGUAGUAGGACUCCAAGUCCUAGUAGGAGUCCACCAAGAGGGGAGGAAGGGAGAAGGAAGUGGAGGAGAAGGAAAGGUGGCCGGCCCCCUUUUCCCUAGUCCAAUUCGGACUAGAGUGGAGGGGGGGCGCAGCUGCCCUUUGGCCCUUUCUCCUCUUCCCACUAAAGCCCAUCGAGGCCCAUUGCUUCUCCCGUAACUACCCGGUACUCGGAAAAAUACCCGAAUCACUCGGAACCUUUCCGAUGUCCGAAUAUAGUCGUCCAAUAUAUCAAUCUUUACGUCUCGACCAUUUCGAGACUCCUCGUCAUGUCCCCGAUCUCAUUCGGGACUCCGAACUCCUUCGGUACAUCAAAACUCAUAAACUCAUAAUAUAACUGUCAUCGAAACCUUAAGCAUGCGGAUAAUUUUGACCGCUGUCUAGUGAUCUACUCUUAGAUCACUAUUGUACUCCCUUGCUUAACACAGUGUAGGGUAUACAAUUGAUCUGGUACACAGCAUGGCAUACUUUAUAGAACCUAUGGCUGAGGCAUAGGGAAUGACUUUCAUUCUAUUUCUAUCUUCUGUCGUGGUCGGGCUUUGAGUCUUACUCAAUUUCACACUUUGCAACACAGGCAAGAACUCUUUCUUUGACUGUUCCAUUUUGAACUACUUCAAAAUCUUGUCAAGGUAUGUACUCAUUGAAAAAACUUAUCAAGCGUCUUGAUCUAUUUCUAUAGAUCUUGAUGCUCAAUAUGUAAGCAGCUUUACCGAGGUCUUUCUUUGAAAAAUUCCUUUCAAACACUCCCUUAUGCUUUGCAGAAUAAUUCUACAUUAUUUCCGAUCAACAAUAUGUCAUUCACAUAUACUUAUCAGAAAUGUUGUAGUUCUCCCACUCACUUUCUUGUAAAUACAGGCUUCAUCGCAAGUCUGUAUAAAACUAUAUGCUUUGAUCAACUUAUCAAAGCGUAUAUUCCAACUCCGAGAUGCUUGCACCAGUCCAUAGAUGGAUCGCUGGAGCUUGCAUAUUUUGUUAGCACCUUUAGGAUUGACAAAACCUUCUGGUUGUAUCAUAUACAGCUCUUCUUUAAUAAAUCUAUUAAGGAAUGCAGUUUUGUUUAUCCAUUUGCCAGAUUUCAUAAAAUGUGGCAAUUGCUAACAUGAUUCGGACAGACUUAAGCAUAGAUACGAGUGAGAAACUCUCAUCGUAGUCAACACCUUGAACUUGUCGAAAACCUUUUGCGACAAUUCUAGCUUUGUAGAUAGUAACACUACUAUCAGCGUCCAUCUUCCUCUUGAAGAUCCAUUUAUUCUCAAUUGCUUGCCGAUCAUCGGGCAAGUCAACCAAAGUCCAUACUUUGUUCUCAUACAUGGAUCCCAUCUCAGAUUUCAUGGCCUCAAGCCAUUUUGCCGAAUCUGGGCUCACCAUCGCUUCUUCAUAGUUCGCAAGUUCGUUAUGGUCUAGUACCAUGACUUCCAGAACAGGAUUACCGUACCACUCUGGUGCGGAUCUCACUCUGGUUUACCUACGAGAUUCGGUAGUAACUUGAUCUGAAGUUACAUGAUCAUCAUUAUUAGCUUCCUCACUAAUUGGUGUAGUAGUCACAAGAACAGAUUUCUGUGAUGAACUACUUUCCAAUAAGGGAGAUGGUACAAUUACCUUAUCAAGUUCUACUUUCCUCCCACUCACUUCUUUCGAGAGAAACUCCUUCUCUGGAAAGGAUCCAUUCUUAGCAACAAAUGUCUUGCCUUCGGAUCUGUGAUAAAAGGUGUACCCAAUAGUCUCCUUUGGGUAUCCUAUGAAGACAUAUUUCUCCGAUUAGGGUUGGAGCUUAUCAGGAUGAAACUUUUUCAUAUAAGCAUCACAAUCCCAAACUUUAAGAAACGACAACUUUGGUUUCUUGCCAAACCACAGUUCAGAUUGUGUCGUCUCAAUAGACUUAAUGGUGCCCUUUUAAACGUGAAUGCAGCUGUCUUUAAUGCAUAACCCCAAAACGAUAGUGGUAGAUCGGUAAGAGACAUCAUAGAUCGCACCACAUCUAAUAAAGUACGGUUAUGAUGUUCGAACACACCAUUAUGCUGUGGUGUUCCAGGUGGCAUGAGUAGUGAAACUAUUUCACAUUGUUUUAACUGAAGACCAAACUCGUAACUCAAAUAUUUGUCUCCGCGAUCAGAUCAUAGAAACUUUAUUUUCUUGUUACAAUGAUUCUCCACUUCACUCUGAAAUUCUUUGAGAUUUUAAAUAUUUCAGACUUGUGUUUCAUUAAGUAGAUAUACCCAUAUCUGCUCAAAUCAUCUGUGAAGGUCAGAAAAUAAUGAUACCCGCCACGAGCCUUAACACUCAUCGGAUCUCAUACAUCAGUAUGUAUUAUUUCCAAUAAGUCAGUUGCUUGCUCCAUAGUUCUGGAGAACGACGUUUUAGUCAUCUUGCCCAUGAGGCACGGUUCGCAAGCAUCAACUGAUUCAUAAUCAAGUGAUUCCAAAAAUCCAUUAGCAUGGAGUUUCUUCAUGCGCUUUAUACCAAUAUGACCUAAACGGCAGUGCCACAAAUAAGUUGCACUAUUAUUAUUAACUUUGCAUCUUUUGGUUUCAAUAUUAUGAUUAUGUGUAUCACUACGAUCGAGAUCCAAUGAACUAUUUUCAUUGGGUGUGUAACCAUAUAAGGUUUUAUUCAUGUAAACAGAACAACAAUUUAUUCUCUUACUUAAAUGAAUAACCGUAUUACAAUAAACAUGAUCAAAUCAUAUUCAUGCUCAACGCAAACACCAAAUAACACUUAUUCAGGUUCAACAGUAAUCCCGAAAGUAUAGGGAGUGUGCGAUGAUGAUCAUAUCAAUCUUGGAACCACUUCCAACACACAUCAUCACUUCACCCUUAACUAGUCUCUGUUUAUUCUGCAACUCCCGUUUCGAGUUACUAAUCUUAGCAACUGAACUAGUAUCAAAUACUGAGGGGUUGCUAUAAACACUAGUAAAGUACACAUCAAUAACAUGUAUAUCAAAUAUACUUAUGUUCACUUUGCCAUCCUUCUUAUCUGCCAAUCACUUGGGGUAGUUCCGCUUCCAGUGACCAGUCCCUUUGCAGUAGAAACACUUAGUCUCAGGCUUAGGACCAGACUUGGGCUUCUUCACUUGAGUAGCAACUUGCUUGUUCUUCUUCUUGAAGUUCCCCUUCUUCCCUCUGCCCUUUUCUUGAAACUAGUGGUCUUGUCUACCAUCAACACUUGAUGUUUUUCUCAAUUUCUACCUUCUUCAAUUUCCGCAUUACGAAGAGCUUGGGAAUCGUUUCCGUUAUCCCUUGCAUAUCAUAGUUCAUCACGAAGUUCUACUAACUUGGUGAUGGUGACUAGAGAAUUCUGUCAAUCACUAUCUUAUCUGGAAGAUUAACUCCCACUUGAUUCAAGCGAUUGUAGUACUCAGACAAUCUGGGCACAUGCUCACUAGUUGAGCGAUUCUCCUCCAUCUUUUAGCUAUAGAACUUGUUGGAGACUUCAUAUCUCUCAACUCGGGUAUUUACUUGAAAUAUUAACUUCAACUCCUGGAACAUCUCAUAUGCUCCAUGACAUUCAAAACGUCUUUGAAGUCCCGAUUCUAAGCCAUUAAGCAUGGUGCACUAAACUAUCAAGUAGUCAUCAUAUUGAGCUAGCCAAACGUUCAUAACGUCUGCAUCUGCUCCUGCAAUAGGUCAGUCACCUAGCGGUGCAUCAAGGACAUAAUUUUUCUGUGCAGCAAUGAGGAUAAACCUCAUAUCACGGAUCCAAUCCGCAUCAUUGCUACUAACAUCUUUCAACACAAUUUUCUCUAGGAACAUAUCAAAAUAAACACAGGGAAGCAACAACGCGAGCUAUUGAUCUACAACAUAAUUUGCAAAAUACUAUCAGGACUAAGUUCAUGAUAAAUUUAAGUUCAAUUAAUCAUAUUACUUAAGAAAUUCCACUUAGAUAGACAUCCCUCUAAUCCUCUAAGUGAUUACGUGAUCCAAAUCAACUAAACCAUGUCCGAUCAUCACGUAAGAUGGAGUAGUUUCAUUGGUGAACAUCGCUAUGUUGAUCAUAUCUGCUAUAUGAUUCACGCUCGACCUUUCGGUCUCCGUGUUCCGAGGCCAUAUCUGUAUAUGCUUGGCUCGUCAAGUAUAACCUGAGUUUUCCCCGUGUGCAACUGUUUUGCACCCGUUGUAUUUGAACGUAGAGCCUAUCACACCCGAUCAUCACAUGGUGUCUCAGCACGAAGAACUUUCGCAACGGUGCAUACUCAGGGAGAACACUUCUUGAUAAUUAGCGAGAGAUCAUCUUAAAAUGCUACCGUCAAUCAAAGCAAGAUAAGAUGCAUAAAAAAUAAACAUCACAUGCAAUCAAUAUAAGUGAUAUGAUAUGGCCAUCAUCAUCUUGUGCUUGUGAUCUCCAUCUCCGAAGCACCGUCGUGAUCACCAUCGUCACCGGCGUGACACCUUGAUCUCCAUCGUAGCAUCGUUGUCGUCUCGCCAAGCUUGUGCUUCCACGACUAUCGCUACCGUUUAGUGAUAAAGUAAAGCAUUACAGCGCGAUUGCAUUGCAUACAAUAAAGCAACAACCAUAUGGCUCCUGCCAGUCGCCGAUAACUCGGUUACAAAACAUGAUCAUCUCAUACAAUAAAAUUUAGCAUCAUGUCUUGACCAUAUCACAUCACAACAUGCCCUGCAAAAACAAGUUAGACGUCCUCUACUUUGUUGUUGCAAGUUUUACGUGGCUGCUACGGGCUUAAGCAAGAACCAAUCUUACCUACGCAUCAAAACCACAAUGAUAAUUUGUCAAGUUGGUGCUGUUUUAACCUUCGCAAGGACCGGGCGUAGCCACACUCGGUUCAACUAAAGUUGGAGAAACUGUCACCCGCAAGCCACCUAUGUGCAAAGCACGUCGGGAGAACCGGUCUCGCGUAAGCGUACGCAUAAUGUCGGUCCGGGCCGCUUCGUCCAACAAUACCGCCGAACCAAAGUAUGACAUGCUGGUAAGCAGUAUGACUUAUAUAGCCCACAACUCACUUGUGUUCUACUCGUGCAUAUAACAUCAACAUAUAAAACCUAGGCUCAGAUGCCACUGUUGGGGAACAUAGUAAUUUCAAAAAAAUUCCUACGCUCACGCAAGAUCAUAGUGAUGCAUAGCAACGAGAGGGGAGAGUAUGAUCUAUGUACCUUAUAGAUCGACAACGGAAGAGUUUGGUUGAUGUAGUCGUACGUCUUCACGGCCCGACCGAUCAAGCAUCGAAACUGCGGCACCUCCGAGUUCUAGCACACAUUCAGCUCGAUGACGAUCCCCGGACUCCGAUCCAGCAAAGUGUCGGGGAAGAGUUCCGUCAGCACGGCGGCGUGGUGACGAUCUUGAUGUACUACUGCAGCAGGGCUUCGCCUAAACUCCGCGACAAUAUUAUCGAGGACUAUGGUGGAAGGGGGCACCGUACACGGCUAAGAAUAUGAUCACGUGGAUCAACUUGUGUGUUCAUGGGGUGCCCUUUGCCUCAGUAUAUAAAGGAUGGAGGAGGAGGAGGCCGGCCAAGGCUUGGCGCAGCCAGGAUGUGGAGUCCUACUAGGACUCCAAGUCCUAGUAGGAGUCCACCAAGAGGGGGGGAAGGGAGAAGGAAGUGGAGGAGAAGGAAAGGUGGCCGGCCCCCUUUUCCCUAGUCCAAUUCGGACUAGAGGGGAGGGGGGCGCAGCUGCCCCUUGGCCCUUUCUCCUCUUCCCACUAAAGCCCAUCAAGGCCCAUUGCUUCUCCCGUAACUACCCGGUACUCCGAAAAAUACCCGAAUCACUCGGAACCUUUCCGAUGUCCGAAUAUAGUCGUCCAAUAUAUCAAUCUUUACAUCUCGACCAUUUCGAGACUCCUCGUCAUGUCCCCGAUAUCAUCCGGGACUCCUAACUCCUUCGGUACAUCAAAACUCAUAAACUCAUAAUAUAACUGUCAUCGAAACCUUAAGCGUGCGGACCCUACGGGUUCGAGAACAAUGUAGACAUGACCGAGACACGUCUCCGGUCAAUAACCAAUAGCGGGACCUGGAUGCCCAUAUUGGUUCCUACAUAUUCUACGAAGAUCUUUAUCGGUUAGACCGCAUAACAACAUACGUUGUUCCCUUUGUCAUUGGUAUGUUACUUGCCCGAGAUUCGAUCGUCGGUAUCUAAUACCUAGUUCAAUCUCGUUACCGGCAAGUCUCUUUACUCGUUCUGUAAUACAUCAUCCCGCAACUAACUCAUUAGUUGCAAUGCUUGCAAGGCUUAAGUGAUGUGCAUUACCGAGAGGGCCCAGAGAUACCUCUCCGACAAUCGAAGUGACAAAUCCUAAUCUCGAAAUACGCCAACCCAACAUGUACCUUUGGAGACACCUAUAGAGCUCCUUUAUAAUCACCCAGUUACGUUGUGACGUUUGGUAGCACACAAAGUGUUCCUACGGUAAACGGGAGUUGCAUAAUCUCAUAGUCAUAGGAACAUGUAUAAGUCAUGAAGAAAGCAAUAGCAACAUACUAAACGAUCGGGUGCUAAGCUAAUGGAAUGGGUCAUGUCAAUCACAUCAUUCUCCUAAUGAUGUGAUCCCGUUAAUCAAAUAACAACUCUUUUGUUUAUGGUUAGGAAACAUAACCAUCUUCGAUUAACGAGCUAGUCAAGUAGAGGCAUACUAGUGACACUUUGUUUGUCUAUGUAUUCACACAAGUAUUAUGUUUCCGGUUAAUACAAUUCUAGCAUGAAUAAUAAACAUUUAUCAUGAUAUAAAGAAAUAAAUAAUAACUUUAUUAUUGCCUCUAGGGCAUAUUUCCUUCAGUUACCAACCGGUACUAAAGGGCUCCCGGCCCCCGGAGCUGGCUCGUGCCACGUGGUUUCCCUUUAGCACCGGUUCGUGCUGAACCGGUACUAAAGGGGGGGGCUUUAGUGCCCACACUUUAGUGCCGAUUAUGGAACCGGCACUAAAAGGCCUUACGAACCGGUGCUAUUGCCCGGUUCUGCACUAGUGUAACCAAUGCCCAGAAACCGGUUUGGGCCCAUAGUUUAUAGACAUUAAUAACCAAAUAGUUUAAACCCAUAACCAACUAUACCCAAAUUGGUUUCUUCACAUACCCAAACCAAAACCAAACUAAAAAAGAUUCAACCCAAUAAAACCUGAACCAAUCAAACCCAAAGUAAAAACCGAACCGUUUCACCCAGUUUUUUAAUAACCAUUCUCAGAUUUAAUAGCAACAAAGACAAAAUGCUGCAUUUUCCUUUGUACUGUACUCCAACAAAAACUUGUGAUCCUUGACCCAAUCUUCAUUAAGACGACGUUGAACUCCACUGAAAUCUGUUUGAAGGAAAACAUGUCCUGUUGGUUGGAACGGGCCUCUCAGGAGGUAUGCUCUUCACACAUACUUUGGCACUGUACUGGAAAAUAGGUGUGCGAUUUGCAGGAUCUGGCGGAAGAUUAGAUGUAUCAACUUUCUCUUUUUCUUUAGCUGGGCGCGGCCUUGCAUUGCUAUUAACUAACACACGUUCCAAAGCGGCUCGAGCAUCAAUAGGAGUCUGUUCUUCCUCAUUUGCAGGUGAUUGCUGCUGUGUGGUAUUUGCAACAUUUGAGUUGGGCUACCACUUCUUCACAGAUUUAUCCAUUUAUCAAACCAAUGACCUGACAAAAUAAAUCUACUACUAAAAAAGGGAAAUAUGCAAUUCUUAUUCUUAAUAAAAAUAAUCUCCUACAUCCUUGAUCUUAAUAUUGCUAGUGCCUAGCCAGCGAAAAACUGGAAAAUAAUGAACUGUAAUAGUAGAAAAGUGGAGGGCCUUGCCUUGUGUAGUUGUGUUGGAUCAGAUACGGACUAGUACAGUAGUAUCGAUCAAUUGAUUCAGAGUUUCAUACGAACAAUUCGUGUGCAGCCUCGGGUGCGCCGCUCGCGGCUCGCUGGACGGCCCAACGUGGUCUUUCUCAUGUCAGACACCAGCCAAAGAUCACCGACACCGGGACAACAAGUCUGAAGGCGAUGCGGUGCGGCGGCCGGUCAUUGGAAAGACAUGCGUGAAGGAGCCAACGAGAUCACGUAAUUUGGGGAUCAACUUAGUUUUUUAACAUCAAUAUAGACACAAGCGCUCAUAUACAUACGCAUACACUUACCUCUAUGAACGCACACACGCACAUCCUACUCCUAUGAGCAUCUCCGAAAGACUGAGCCGUCAUAUCAUCUUGAGAUUUACGAAGUCGCCGCAGGCGCCUCGUCGUCGACGGGAACGUCUACUCCCACUGAAUGCGCAUCGCCAGAAAUCCUGAAAUAAAUCUAGGAAUAAAUGUGAGCACCAGGAUUUAAACCCUGGUGGACUAGGGACACCACAGUCCCUCUAACCAUCCAACCACGGGUUGCCCAGUAGUGCGAUCAGUUAAGGGAUUUCGGAUUUCUUCUUGGGAUAUGGCCCAAUAGUGGCCCAGCUAAUUGUUACACAAGCAGAAAAGUAAGAGAAUAGAUGGGCCUGUGUAGUUAAAUAUUGAUGGUUGCCUGGUUCAACGACGUGGUAUACAGACGUGGGGGUCGAUGUCGUAUGAAAGACUUAUGUAGUCAAUUGACUACACAGUUGUAGCGUGGCUUCGCCACUACGUUAAACACGUCGAACGCUCGUCAUUGGAGCAGUCUAGGUUGUUGGAUUGAUUUAGUUUGAUAGCUAAGAUCAGUUCUUUUAAGUCUUUUUAUAUUGAUAUAGAUAUAAAUUAUACGUGCAAGCACUUGUCUGAUUAUGUACAAUAAUGUACCCGUGUAUCUUCCCAGAGACUAGUUUUUGUACAACUUUGGUUCAAGUGACUUUUUUUUUCAUUUUUGGGAUUACCAUUUGGCAUGUGUCAUAUCAUUGCAAAAGACCGCCGCACUAGUUCGUUCUUUUGAUCCCCUUCUCCUCCCAUGUUCUAUUCCAGAAAUGCACGUUAAAUCUUGGACUCAACAAUAAACCUGAUGUCAGAUUUUUUACUAUAGCAAGUUAAAUGGUUUUUUGUCAAUUUAUGUUUACCAAUGAUGGCAAGUUUAGUCAAAAAAAUACGUCGCAAUUCAUUUUCUCCCAGGAAAUUGUCAUGCUUGCAAACCAAGUUUUCCAUGCUCACGCCAACAUAAAAUUUCUUUGAUUUGUCAUGUUUAAAAUCUGACGUCACAUUUUUAACAUUACCGUAAAUCUUUUGAUACGGUUUAAUGGAAUGGGUUGGAAAAUAAGAAUAUUUUUUUAAACAAAAUAAAGGUAGUUACUGCUAGGCAAACUAUUGUCAAGUCAAAAUAUUGUGACAAACAGACAAAUCCUAAAGAAAAAAAGCUUACCCGUUUUGGAACAAGCUUACUGUGCUAGUGUAGUCCCUGUGGGUAGGUGUUGUCGUGUUGAGGUGUUUGUCACAAGGGAUCGGGACACCUCGACAUUUUUCUUGGUGACGAGUCAGAUAAAUUAACAUGGGUAAAAUAUACAUUGAAAUUCCUAGAGUUGAGUUGGCCUCAAUUUAAGGUUGUAAACUCUGUUAAUUUUACAAUUUUGCUAAAGCACAUUUAAAUGUGCCAUUGCACAUCUAAGUCAUAUGUCAUUGAUCUUACAUUGAGAUUCAUGUGAAUAUUUUUUUUCUCUUUAUGCUUGAUUCACUUACUUAGAUGUGCAAUAAUUAGAGCAUAUCUAGAUGUGCCCUAGACACACCCUUUUAAAUUUUAUAGACCGGACAGUCAAAUAACAAAAUAGAAAAGGCACUCCCUUGUUGACCGUGACUUUCUUUUCUCUCUCGCAAGGUGACUAGGGAAUACUUUCGUCUCCUGAAUCUUCGAUGACGAGUAUGUGGAUUCUUCUUCCCUCUGCCUGCCGCUCCGGCAGCCGGUGGUGGCGAGGAAAAUCCUGGUGCUUCAACUUCGGCUAGUUGAUAGCUUAGGAUUUUAGUCCUCACAGAGAUGGCGCUCGGGCGGAUAGCCACGCUUCUUCUUCGAGUCAAUCUUCUAGGCUAUGAUCCUUCUCAUGUUUGCCCAUCUAAAUGGAUUAGACGAAACUUUGACGUAGAUUCCUGCGAGCUCCUUGGGGCGGCGAGAUUUGGAUUUCUUGCCGUGUGUACGUAUUGGCGAAAGUUUGGUGUCAGGUUAUUUAGAUAGAUUCAAGUGUUCAAUAGCAACAAUUGCGGUCCGUACGCUGGUCUUUAGGGGCAUGUGCACGAAGACUCCCAAAUGUCAUUAACAAGGUCAGGCCGACUCCGGUAUGGGAGCGGCAAAGCGGCACGUCAACGGCUCGUUCUGGCAGCCGCAGUUGUCGUUCGAAGGUCCAGAGGUCUCGAUGUAAAUUUUAUUAUGUUUAGGGUGCCUUGUAUCGGUGGUAAAAAUUUAUAAUACUAUAUGUGAAUACUUUUCACAAAACUAAUAAUGAUGAUGAAUAGGCAAAAUCUUGUUGAGCAAAUAUGAUAGUAAUUCACAGUCUCUAUGAUUGACUAGUUUUUUAACACAGUAUAGACAUAGAUGCUUAUACAUACGCACAUAUAUUCAUCCCAAUGAACACGCGCACACAUACUCUACCUCUAUGAGUAGAGACUGAGCCGGCGCGUAAUUUUGAGAUUGACGAAGUCACAAUAGAUACGUCAAUUUUUUUUGGUUGUUUUCAACUCCUAUCUUUUUUUUUGCGAGGAACCAUAGGGUAUUUUAUUCCAGAGUGAUAGAGUUACAAUCUUCAGCAACUAGCUUGCUAAUACAUGGGGGUGGUUGACCCAACCAACAGGUUGUGCUAUCCCCACAUCUACCAAAAUUAGCUAAACAAUGUGCAACCCUAUUCUGAUCCCGAAGAAUUUUAACAGGAAUAACUACCCUAUCGUUCAAGAACCUUUUGAUCUCCGCCACCAAGUGUCCAUAUGCCGACCUAUCCAAUGAACCAUCCCCAAGCAUCUUGAGAGCCACCGCACAAUCAGACUGAAGAACAAUAGUGGCCUGAGAAUGCUCUAUCGCCAGCUUCAACCCUUCCAUCACAGCUUGCAAUUCUGCCUCGAGAGCUUCAUUGUAGUGAGAUAGUUUGCGAUAGGAUGCGAAGAUAACAGUCCCGGUCAUGUCACGAAGAAUCAUUCCGGAGCCCGCUGACCCGUCCGUAGGGUCAAAAGAGCCAUCCACUGACAACGCCACCUGGUGCACCUGUGGAGGAGGCCAAGGUUUGCGAGGUGCAUAUCUUCCAGAUGGGGGUCUAUGUGUAGGUUCAUAAACCACCGGAGCUUUCCCUUUCAUAAUUUCCUCAACACUGAGCAAGAUUUGUUGGAAGGUGUUAUAGUAACUUGCCAAGAACAAGCAGGAAACCUCGAGUGGAGGGAUAGAUUUACCAUGAGUAAAUUCGUUCCGCAGAUGCCAUAUACGCCAUAGUACCAUAAUGAUUCUGCUCCUGAUCUGCUCGUUUGAUUCCGAUAGGAGGUGGAGCAGCCACUCUGAGCCCGUACACAGGAUAUCUGUUCUGGGGGGAAGUGGCCAGACUAGCCGCAUAGAAUCCCAGAGCAUAGCAGCAUUAGGGCAUACAAGUAACGCAUGAAAUGAGGACUCCUCCUCCCUUUGACAGAGGUUGCAGCAGGCGGAUGUACCAAUGUGUCGACAAAACUUCUCCACAUUUGUUGGAAGUGAUCCCGAAAUGACUUGCCAAGCAAAGUGUUGUUGGGGAACGUAGCAGAAAUUCAAAAUUUUCUACGCAUCACCAAGAUCAAUCUAUGGAGUAAUCUAGCAAUGAGGGGAAGGAGAGUGCAUCUACAUACCCUUGUAGAUCGCUAAGCGGAAGCGUUCAAGUGAACGGGGUUGAUGGAGUCGUACUCGUCGUGAUCCAAAUCACCGAUGAUCCUAGUGCCGAACGGACGGCACCUCCGUGUUCAACACACGUACAGCCCGAUGACGUCUCCUACGCCUUGAUCCAGCAAGGGGAGAAGGAGAGGUUUGGGAAGACUCCAUCUAGCAGCAGCACGACGGCGUGGUGGUGGUGAAGAAGCGCGGGACUCCAGCAGGGCUUCGCCAAGCACUACGAGAGACGAGGAGGGAGAGGGGUAGGGCUGCGCCAACAGGGAGAGCAAAUCACAUGUGUUGGGCAUCCCCAAACCUCAAGUAUAUAUAGGGGAAGGGGAGGGGCUGCGCCUCCACCUAGGGUUCCCUCCCUAGGGGUGGCGGCAGCCCCCAGAUCCCAUCUGGGAGGCGGCCAAGGGGGAGAGAGUGGGGGGCGCACCUAGGGCGGGCCUUAGGGCUCAUCUGCGCCUAGGGUUUGCCCCCUCUCCUCUUGAGGACGCCUUGGGCCUUGGUGGGAGGCGCCCCAGCCCACAUAGGGGCUGGUCCCUUCCCACUAUUGGCCCAUGUAGGCCUCCGGGGCUGGUGGCCCCACCUGGUGGACCCCCGGACCCUCCGGUGGUCCCGGUACACUACCGGUGAUGCCCGGAACACUUCCGGUGGCCAAAACCAUACUUCCUAUAUAUCAAUCUUUACCUCCGGACCAUUCCGGAACUCCUCGUGACAUCCGGGAUCUCAUUCGGGACUCCGAACAACAUUCGGUAACCACGUACAUACUUUCCCUAUAACCCUAGCGUCAUCGAACCUUAAGUGUGUAGACCCUACGGGUUCGGGAAACAUGCAGACAUGACCGAGACACCUCUCCGGUCAAUAACCAACAGCGGUAUCUGGAUACCCAUGUUGGCUCCUACAUGCGCCACGAUGAUCUCAUCGGAUGAACCACGAUGUCAAGGACUUAAUCAAUCCCGUAUACAAUUCCCUUUGUCUAGCGGUACGAUACUUGCCUGAGAUUCGAUCGUCGGUAUCCCGAUACCUUGUUCAAUCUCGUUACCGGCAAGUCUCUUUACUCGUUCCGUAACACAUCAUCCCGUGAUUAACUCCUUGAUCAAAUUGUGCACAUUAUGAUGAUGUCCUACCGAGUGGGCCCAGAGAUACCUCUCCGUUUACACGGAGUGACAAAUCCCAGUCUCGAUUCGUGCCAACCCAACAGACACUUUUGGAGAUACCUGUAGUGUACCUUUAUAGCCACCCAGUUAUGUUGUGACGUUUGGCACACCCAAAGCACUCCUACGGUAUCCGGGAGUUGCACAAUCUCAUGGUCUAAGGAAAUGAUACUUGACAUUAGAAAAGCUUUAGCAUACGAACUACAUGAUCUUGCGCUAGGCUUAGGAUUGGGUCUUGUCCAUCACAUCAUUCUCCUAAUGUUGUGAUCCCGUUAUCAAUGACAUCCAAUGUCCAUGGUCAGGAAACCGUAACCAUCUAUUGAUCAACGAGCUAGUCAACUAGAGGCUUACUAGGGACAUGGUGUUGUCUAUGUAUCCACACAUGUUUCUGAGUUUCCUAUCAAUACAAUUCUAGCAUGGAUAAUAAACUAUUAUCAUGAACAAGGAAAUAUAAUAAUAACCAAUUUAUUAUUGCCUCUAGGGCAUAUUUCCAACAGUCUCCCAAUUGCACUAGAGUCAAUAAUCCAGUUCACAUCGAUAUGUGAUUAACACUCAAGGUCACAUCCCCAUGUGACUAACACCCAAAGAGUUCUGGGUUUGAUCAUGUUAUGCUUGUGAGAGAGGUUUCAGUCAACGGGUCUGCAGCAUUCAGAUCCGUAUGUACUUCGCAAAUUUCUAUGUCAUCUUGUAGAUGCAACUACUACGCUACAUUUGGAGCCAUUUCAAAUAAUUGUUCUACUUGGAGCUAUUCUAAAUUGUUGCUCCAUUAUACCUAUCCGGUAUCUCUACUCAGAGCUAUCCGGAUAGGUGUUAAGCUUGCAUCGACGUAACUCUUUACGUCGAACUCUUUAUCACCUCCAUAACCGAGAAACAUAUCCUUAUUCCUCUAAGGAUAAUUUAGACCGCUAUCUGGUGAUCUACUCGUAGAUCACCUUUGUACCCUCUUGCCAAAUAUGUGGCAAGGCACACAUCAGGUGUGGUACUCAGCAUGGCAUACCGUAUGGAGCCUAUGACAAAAGCAUAGGGGACGACCUUCGUCCUUCCUCUUUCUUCUGCCGUGGACGAGCUUUAAGUCUUAACUUCAUACCUUACAACUCAGGCAAGAACUCCUUCUUUGACUGAUCCAUCUUGAACACCUUCAAGAUCAUGUCAAGGUAUGUGCUCAUUUGAAAGUACCAUUAAGCGUUUUGAUCUAUCCUUAUAGAUCUUGAUGCUCAAUCUUCAAGUAGCUUAAUCCAGGCUUUCCAUCGAAAACACUUUCCAAAUAACCCUAUAUGCUUUCCAGAAAUUCUACGUCAUUUCUGAUCAACAAUAUGUCAACAACAUAUACUCAUCAGAAAUUCUAUAGUGCUCCCACUCACUUCUUUGGAAAUACAAGUUUCUAAUAAACUUUGUAUACACCCAAAAACUUUGAGCAUCUCAUCAAAGCAUACAUUCCAACUCCGAGAUGCUUACUCUAGUCCUUAGAAGGAUUGCUGGAGCUUUGCAUACUUGUUAGCAUCUUUCAGGAUUGACAAAACCUUCCGGUUGUAUCACAUACAACCUUUCCUCAAGAAAAUCGUCGAGGAAACAAUGUUUUGACAUCCUAUCUGCAAGAUUUCAUAAAUAAUGCAGUAAUCGCUAAUAUAAUUCCAACAGACUCUUAGCAUCUCUACGAGUGAGAAAGUCUCAUCGUAGUCAACUCCUUGAACUUGUCGGAAAACAUCUUAACGACAAGUGGAGCUUUCUUAAUGGUGAUACUUAUCAUCAUUGUCCGUCUUCCUUUUAAAAUCCAUAUGUACCUAUCAGCCUUACGACCAUCAAGUAGUUCUUCCAAAGUCUACACUUUGUUUUCAUAUAUGGAUCCUCUCUCGGAUUAUAUGGCCUCGAGCCAUUUUGGAAUCCAGGCCCACCAUCGCUUCUCCAUAGCUCGUAGGUUCAUUGUUGUCUAGCAACAUGACUUCCAAGACAGGAUUAUAUACCAUUCUGAAGUUGUACGCAUCCUUGUAAUCCCACGAGGUUUGGUAGUGACUUGAUCUGAAGUUUCAUGAUCACUAUCAUAAGCUUCCACUUCAAUUGGUGUAGGUGCCGCAGGAACAACUCCCUGUGCCCUGCCACACACUAGUUGAAGAGACGGUUCAAUAACCUCAUCAAGUCUCCACCAUCCUCCCACUCAAUUCUUUCGAGAGAAACUUUUCCUCGGAAAAGGACCCGAUUCUAGAAACAAUCCCUUAUUGCUUUCGGAUCUGAGACAGGAGGUACACCCAACUGUUUUGGGUGUCCUAUGAAGAUGCAUUUAUCCGCUUUGGGUUCGAGCUUGUCAGCCUGAAACUUUUCACAUAAGCGUCGCAGCCCCAAACCUUUUAACAAAUGACAGCUUGGGUUUCUCUAAACCAUAGUUCAUACGGUGUCAUCUCAUCGGAAUUACGUGGUGCCCUAUUUAAAGUGAAUGUGGUUGUCUCUAAUGCCUAACCCAUAAACUAUCGUGGUAAUUCGAUAAGAGACAUCAUGGUAUGCAUCAUAUCCAAUAGGGUGCAGUUAUGAUGUUUGGACACACCAUCAUACUAUGGUGUUUCAGGCUGUAUUAGUUGUGAAACAAUUUCCACAAUGUCUUAAUUCUGCGCCAAACUCGUAAUUCAGAUAUUCAUCUCUAUGAUCAUAUCAUAGAUAUUUUAUCCUCUUGUCACGACGAUCUCUCACCUUCACCCUGAAAUUACUUGAACCUUUCAAUAAUUCAGACUCAUGAUUCAUCAAGUAAAUAUACUCAACAUCUACUCAAAUCAUCUGUGAAGUAAGAACAUAACGAUAUCCACUACACGCCUCAGCACUCAUUGGACUGCACACAUCAAAAUGUAUUACUUCCAACAAGUUGCUUUCUAGUUCCAUUUUACUGAAAACGAGGCUUUCAGUCAUCUUGCCCAUGUGGUAUGAUUUGCAUGUCUCAAGUGAUUCAAAAUCAAGCGAGUCCAAACGGUCCAUUUGCAUGGAAUUUCUUCAUGCAUAUACACCAAUAGACAUGGUUCGCAUGUCUCAAACUUUUCAAAAACGAGUGAGCCCAAAGAUCCAUCAACAUGGAGCUUCUUCAUGCGUUUUAUACCGAUAUGACUUACGUGGCAGUGCCACAAGUAGGUGGUACUAUCAUUACUAACUUAUAUCUUUUGGCAUGAACAUGUGUAUCACUACGAUCGAGAUUCAAUAAACCAUUCAUUUUAGGUGCAAGACCAUUGAAGGUAUUAUUCAAAUAAACAGAGUAACCAUUAUUCUCCUUAAAUGAAUAACCGUAUUGCGAUAGACAUAAUCCAAUCAUGUCUAUGCUCAAUGCAAACACCAAUCUCGAUGGUAGAGGGAGCGUGCGAUGCUUGAUCACAUCAAGCUUUGGAAAAACUUCCAACACAUAUCGCUAGCUCACCUUUAGCUAGUCUCCGUUUACUCCGCAGCCUUUUAUUUCGAGUUUACUAACACUUAGCAACCGAACCGGUAUCCAAUACCAUGGUGCUACUAGGAGUACUAGUAAAGUACACAUUAACACAAUGUAUAUCCAAUAUACUUCUAUCGACCUUGCCAGCCUUCUCAUCUACCAAGUAUCUAGGGUAAUUCUGCUCCAGUGGCUGUUCCCCUUAUUACAGAAGCACUUAGUCUCGGGUUUGGGUUCAACCUUGGGUUUCUUCACUAAAGCAGCAGCUGAAUUUGCCGUUUCAUGAAGUAUCCCUUCUUGCCCUUGCCCUUCUUGAAACUAGUGGUUUAACCAUCAACAAUUGAUGCUCCUUCUUGAUUUCUACUUUUGUGGUGUCAAACAUCGCGAAUAUCUCAAGGAUCAUCAUAUAUGUCCCUGAUAUAUUAUAGUUCAUCACGAAGCCCUAGCAGCUUGGUGGUAAUGAGUUCGGAGAAACAUCACUAUCUCAUCUGGAAGAUCAACUCCCACUUGAUUCAAAUGAUUGUUGUACUCAGACAAUCUGAGCACAAGCUCAACAAUUGAGCUUUUCUCCCUUAGUUUGCAAGCUAAGAAAAUCGUGGAGGUCUUAUACCUCUUGACGUGGGCACGAGCCUGAAAUCCCAAUUUCAGCCCUCGAAACAUCUCAUAUGUUUCGCGACAUUUGAAAACGUCUUCGGUGCCUCAACUCUAAACCGUUUAACUGAACUAUCACGUAGUUAUCAAAAUGUGUAUGUCAGAUGUUCGCAACAUCCACAGACGACGUUCGAGGUUCAGCACACUGAGCGGUGCAUUAAGGACACAAGCCUUCUAUGAAGCAAUGAGGACAAUCCUCAGUUUACGGACCUAGUCCGCAUAAUUGCUACUAUCAACUUUCAACUAAAUUUUCUCCAGGAACAUAUCUAAACAGCAGAACUGAAGCGCGAGCCACGACAUAAUUUGCGAAGACCUUUUGACUAUAUUCAGGAUAAUUAAGUUCAUCUUAUGAACUCCCACUUAGAUAGACAUCCCUCUAGUCAUCUAAGUGAUUACAUGAUCCGAGUCAACUAGGCCGUGUCCAAUCAUCACGUGAGACAGACUAGUCAACAUUGGUGAACAUCUUCAUGUUGAUCGUAUCUUCUAUACGACUCAUGUUCGACCUUUCGGUCUUCUGUGUUCCGAGGCCAUGUCUGUACAUGCUAGGCUCGUCAAGUCAACCUAAGUGUUUGCAUGUGUAAAUCUGUCUUACACCCGUUGUAUGUGAACGUUGGAAUCUAUCACACCCAAUCAUCAUGUGGUGCUUCGAAACAACGAACUGUCACAACGGUGCACAGUUAGGGGGAACACUUUCUUGAAAUUAUUAUGAGGGAUCAUCUUAUUUACUACCGUCAUUCUAAGUAAACAAGAUGCAAAAACAUGAUAAACAUCACAUGUAAUCAAAUAAUAGUGACAUGAUAUGGCCAAUAUCAUAUAGCUCCUUUGAUCUCCAUCUUGGGGCUCCAUGAUCAUCUUAUUACCGGCAUGACACCAUGAUCUCCAUCAUCAUGAUCUCCAUCAUCGUGUCUCCAUGAAGUUGCUCGCCAACUAUUACUUCUACUACUAUGGCUAACACGUUUAGCAAUAAAGUAAAGUAAUUUACAUGGCAUUUCUCAAUGACACGCAGGUCAUACAAAAAAAUAAAGACAACUCCUAUGGCUCCUGCCGGUUGUCAUACUCAUCGACAUGCAAGUCGUGAUUCCUAUUACAAGAACAUGAUCUCAUACAUCACAUAUAUAUCAUUCAUCACAUCCUUUGGCCAUAUCACAUAACACUUGCUGCAAAAACAAGUUAGACGUCCUCUAAUUGUUGUUGCAAGUUUUUACGUGGCUGCUAUAGGUUUCUAGCAAGAACGUUUCUUACCUACGCCAAAACCACAACGUGAAUUGCCAAUUUCUAUUUACCCUUCAUAAGGACCCUGUUCAUCGAAUCCGAUCCAACUAAAGUGGGAGAGACAAACACCCGCCAGCCACCUUAUGCAACUAGUGCAUGUCAGUCGGUGGAACCGGUCUCACGUAAGCGUACGUGUAAGGUUGGUCCGGGCCGCUUCAUCCCACGAUGCCGCCAAAUCAAGAUAAGACUAGUAACGGCAAGAUAAUUGACAAUAUCGACGCCCACAACUACUUUCUGUUCUACUCGUGCAUAGUAACUACGCAUAGAACUAGCUCAUGAUGCCACUGUUGGGGAACAUAGCAGAAAUUCAAAAUUUUCUAUGCAUCACCAAGAUAAAUCUAUGGAGUAAUCUAGCAACGAGGGGAAGGAGAAUGCAUCUACAUACCCUUGUAGAUCGCUAAGCGGAAGCGUUCAAGUGAACGGGGUUGAUGGAGUCGUACUCGUCAUGAUCCAAAUCACCGAUGAUCCUAGUGCCGAACGGACGGCACCUCCGUGUUCAACACACGUACAGCCCGGUGACGUCUCCUACGCCUUGAUCCAGCAAGGGGAGAAGGAGAGGUUGGGGAAGACUCCAUCCAGCAGCAGCACGACAGCAUGGUGGUGGUGAAGGAGCGCGGGACUCCAGCAGGGCUUCACCAAGCACUACGAGAGACGAGGAGGGAGAGGGGUAGGGCUGCGCCAACAGGGAGAGCAAAUCACAUGUGUUGGGCAGACCCAAACCUCAAGUAUAUAUAGGGGAAGGGGAGGGGCUGCGCCCCCACCUAGGGUUCCCUCCCUAGGGGUGGCGGCAGCCCCCAGAUCCCAUCUGGGAGGCGGCCAAGGGGGAGAGAGAGGGGGGCGCACCUAGGGUGGGCCUUAGAGCCCAUCUGCGCCUAGGGUUUGCCCCCUCUCCUCUUGAGGACGCCUUGGGCCUUGGUGGGAGGUGCCCCAGCCCACAUAGGGGCUGGUCCCUUCCCACUAUUGGCCCAUGUAGGCCUCCGGGGCUGGUGGCCCCACCUGGUGGACCCCCGGACCCCUCCGGUGGUCCCGGUACACUACCGGUGAUGCCCGGAACACUUCCGGUGGCCAAAACCAUACUUCCUAUAUAUCAAUCUUUACCUCCGGACCAUUCCGGAACUCCUCGUGAUAUCCGGGAUCUCAUCCGGGACUCUGAACAACAUUCGGUAACCGCAUACAUACUUUCCCUAUAACCCUAGCGUCAUCGAACCUUAAGUGUGUAGACCCUACGGGUUCGGGAAACAUGCAGACAUGACCGAGACACCUCUCCGGUCAAUAACCAACAGCGGUAUCUGGAUACCCAUGUUGGCUCCCACAUGCUCCAUGAUGAUCUCAUCGGAUGAACCACGAUGUCAAGGACUUAAUCAAUCCCGUAUACAAUUCCCUUUGUCUAGCGGUACGAUACUUGCCCGAGAUUCGAUCGUCGGUAUCCCGAUACCUUGUUCAAUCUCGUUACCGGCAAGUCUCUUUACUCAUUCCGUAACACAUCAUCCCGUGAUCAACUCCUUGAUCACAUUGUGCACAUUAUGAUGAUGUCCUACCGAGUGGGCCCAGAGAUACCUCUCUGUUUACACGGAGUGACAAAUCCCAGUCUCGAUUCGUGCCAACCCAACAGACACUUUCGGAGAUACCUGUAGUGUACCUUUAUAGCCACCCAGUUAUGUUGUGACGUUUGGCACACCCAAAGCACUCCUACAGUAUCCGGGAGUUGCACAAUCUCAUGGUCUAAGGAAAUGAUACUUGAAAUUAGAAAAGCUUUAUCAUACGAACUACAUGAUCUUGUGCUAGGCUUAGGAUUGGGUCUUGUCCAUCACAUCAUUCUCCUAAUGAUGUGAUCCCGUUAUCAACGACAUCCAAUGUCCAUGGUCAGGAAACCGUAACCAUCUAUUGAUCAACGAGCUAGUCAACUAGAGGCUUACUAGGGACAUGGUGUUGUCUAUGUAUCCACACAUGUAUCUGAGUUUCCUAUCAAUACAAUUCUAGCAUGGAUAAUAAACGAUUAUCAUGAAUAAGGAAAUAUAAUAAUAACCAAUUUAUUAUUGCCUCUAGGGCAUAUUUCCAACAAGUGUCCCAUCUUGGGGGGGCAUCCGCAGACCAGACAAGCUUCCACAACGGUCGGUCACCAUUAGGGUUAGAGCUCGACGCACCCGGACUGAGAUGAUCUGUUAUUGAAGACAUUGCAAAGUGGUAGGCACUCUUGACAGUAAACUGCCCCAAUCUGUCCCAAGGCCACGAUACAAAGUCCUCCUGUUGGCGCGGGGAAGUGCGGAUCAUCAGUAUUGCAUCUACAUCAGCCUAGCAGAAGAACUGUUGUAGCAAGUUUAACUUCCAGUUGCCGCGAUCAUCAAGAAAAUCCUGGACUCUAUUGAGGCGACAAUUGCCUCUUGGCAAGAUAGGAGUAAAUGGGGGACCCCUAGGGAUCCACGGGUCCCUCCACGUUCUGAUGCUAGCCCCAUUGCCCACUCGCUAGAGUAUUCCUUUCUUCACCAAUUCUGGUCCAUGCUCAAUGCCCUUCCACACCGCCGAGGAGUUCGACGGAAAAACUGUAUCCACCAAGUUCCCGUUAGGGUAAUACUUGGCUCGGAGUAGUCGGGCACAUAACGAUUCUGGAUUAGUGAGAAGCCUCCAGGCUUGUUUAGCCAGAAGAGCCUGAUUGUAAGCGCGCAUAUUCCUAAAACCAACGCCUCCUUGAGAUUUAGGGAGAGUCAAACGCUCCCAAGCAACCCAUGCCAUCUUUUUCUUUCCGUUUUCCACCCCCACUAGUAUUGCCUCAUCAUCUUUGUUAACUCAUCACAAACCGACAUGGGAAGUUUGAAUAUACUCAUAACAUAAACUGGGAUGGCUUGGGCCACCGCUUUUAUAAGCACCUCCUUACUUGCAAAAGACGAGUAUCGUUCACUCCAAUUCACCAAGCACUUACUCAAUUUAGACUGCAAAGAUUCAAAACGUCCGUUAUGCAUGCGCCCCUCUGGAACCGGGAGCCCCAAAUACUUUGGUUCAAACUCCUGUUGAGUAACAUUCAGAAUUUGUUUCACUUCCACCACAACUUGAUUUGGACAAUUGUCAGCAAAUAGGAUGGAGCACUUUGAGGGAUUGAUAAUUUGACCCGUAGCUGAAGCAUAAGUACUCAAAACAUCCUUGACAAUCAUCGCCAAAUCCGUAGUAGCACGGAAGAAUAGAAGGGAAUCGUCUGCAAACAAUAAGUGUGAUAUAGCAGGGGCUCUCCUACUAAUUUUGAUAGCCUCAAGUCCUCUAUCUUGGACUGCCUCAUGUAAUAAGGAAGACAAGGAGUCAGCCACAAAGAGGAACAGGAAGGGUGAUAUGGGGUCACCUUGACGUAAACCACACGAAGGAGAGAACUGCUCCAGUAGCCGGCCAUUAAACUUGACAGAAUACUUGACCGAUCUGACACACUCCAUUACUAGAUCAACCCACCGUGGGGAGAAGCCCCACUUCAAAAGAGCACGCUCCAGGUAGUCCCAAUCAACACGGUCAUAAGCCUUCGACAGGUCCAGCUUAUACGCACAAAAAUCAUUAUUUCCUGAAGAAGUUUGGAUAUGGUGGAUACACUCAAAAGCAAUCAUCGAAUUAUCUGAGAUUAAGCGUCCCGGGAUGAACACGCUUUGAUUUUCUGAAAUGAGAUCCACAAGGCACGGUCUGAGCCUAUUCACCAUACAUUUUGAGACUAUCUUGUAAAUCACAUUGCACAGAGAAAUAGGACGGAAAUCCUUCAAUGUCACCGGGUGUUGAACUUUGGGGAUCAGUACAAUACACAUAUCAUUGACCCCUUCUGGCAUAUGGCCUGUGACAAAAAACAGUCGAACCGCGGCUAUGAUUUCCUCUUUCAAGCAACCCCAGUUCCUCUGAUAAAACCGGGACGGGAACCCAUCCGGACCCGGCGCCUUUAAGGGUCCGAUUUGGAACAAAGCAUCAGAUAUUUCAUCAUCAUAAAAAGGCACGAGGAGACGGUCAUUCAUCUCAUUCGUAACCCUCGGCACAAGAACAUCUAGAACAACAUCCGGAGUUACAGUAGGAUCUUUCGUAUAUACCUCCUUGAAGUACGAGGCGGCCAUACGCUCCAUCUCCGAGGGGGAGUUACACCACGAGCCGUCACGUUUCAUUAGCCUCCUUAUGUUAUUCCUCCUAGCACGCCAAACUGCCUGCCGGUGAAAGUAGUUUGUAUUGCAGUCCCCCUCCUUCAACCAAACAAUACGACUCCUUUGCAGCCACAUCAUCUCCUCCCGGUAAAGUAGCUCAUCCAACUUUUCCAUUUUUUGUUUGAUCAAGAGACGGUCCGAAUUGUUUAGCUGUAAGUUUUCCAGUUCCUUCCGAAGAUCCUCAAUUUGUUUCACCACUUGGCCAAAAUUUUCUUUACUCCACUUCCAAAGAUCAGCCAUAACAGACUUCAGGGAUGUAGCCAUGUUCCCCAAGUCGCCCACAGGCCGAGACCGAUCCCAUGCCUUUGAAAUUAUCUCUGGCAGUUUUUUAUCACGUUCCCACAUGAUCUCAUAUUUAGGCAACCCCUUCCGGCGGCGAUCUUCAGUAUCAUCUAGGCAAAGUAUAAUGGGACAAUGGUCCGACCGAGGGGAAACCAGGUGCUGCCCCCUCGAGAACGGAAACAACUCCCUCCAAUCAUCAGACGCACUUGCUCGAUCUAACCGAACUCGAACGUUGCCAUGUCCAAGCUGGCCGUUAUCAUAUGUAUAUGGAGCUCCUGAGAACCCCAAGUCAAUCAAUUCGCACACAAAGAGAGUGUCUCUAAAUGCCUCCAUCUGGCUCUCUCCUCUACUGGUUCUCGAGAAGUGUUCAUGUUGCCAAAGAGCUUCAUUAAAAUCACCACAAACAACCCAAGGUAGGUCUGAGACCCCUUUCAAUCUGACUAGGUGAUCCCACAUGCGCUGCCGAUGUUCCACACGUGGUUCCCCAUAGACAAAGGUGGACCUCCAAGUUUUCCCGGAACCUUGAUCCUCAACAUUCACAUCGAUGUAUCUUUUACAGGAAUCCAGCACUGUCACCCAGAGGGAUUCAUCCCAAAACAGCUCUAGUCCACCGCCUCGGCCCUCACAAUCCACCCCGCAGAAUCCUUUGAGACCUAAUUUCCACUUCAUUCUUUCAACUUUAACACUUGUCUGUCUUGUUUCAGCGAGAAAGACCAAGCUUGGGGAAUGGGCUUUUACAAGAGCCCCAACUUCACGAACUGUCCGGCGGUUCCCCGCCCCCGGCAGUUCCAAAAGAGGUGACUCAUUGGGACUGGCGGCGCUCCUCCUGGGAGCCCGCCAAAAUUUUCUCUGAGUUUGAGGUCUCACCAUCUCGUUUUGCAUGUUUACUACCGGAACUAUUAGUAGGCGAUUCCGGUUCACCAUCAUCUUUCCCGUCUGUAAGCAACAGUACUUCCCUGUGCGCAGCAGAGGGUGUAGUUGUCCCAAGUGUUUCUGUACCUCCAUCCAUGUUGAGGCGCUUACGAGAAGACCUAUCCAAUUCCAUAUCACGAGACAGGGAAGUUUUUAUAGGGCUAGAUGCCGUAUCCUUCAGCUCUCCAUCCAUCCUGACUUCUCCCUUGCCUACAGCAGACUUAGGAACCGGUGGUUCAGUGUACAUCUUCUUCUCUCCCCUCCUUGCUUCCCAGUCCGAGCGAGCUUGUGCCGGGGGGUCAGCAUAGAGGUAAUCACCAAACUUGAGAUCCUUCUCAGCAAACACACCAUUACCACACUCCUUAUGCCCAUGGCCAAUGAUACCACACGCGCUACAGAAUCUUGCCAGCUUUUCAUAUCUUACUGCAUAAACCUUACGUGCUUCUCCCUUGACAAUGCUCACAAAUUUGGUGAGCGGCUUCCUGAUGUCAUGUUUCACUCUGACCCGAACGUAAUCCCCUCUGGAGUUACCAUUAAGCCUGGUUUCAAGGACCUCACCCGCAGAACGGAGCAACUUGGUAAUCAGAUCAUGUCUGCAAUACCCAUCUGGUAGCUUAUGGAUCUGGAGCCAGAUAGGCAUGUAAUCUAUUGGCACCUCUUCAGUGUUUGUGAACCCAUCAUAUGGCACUAACAGAACCGCCAUGUUGCGGAACAGCCACGGUCCUUGUCCCAUGAUGCGAUCCCAAUCACCAAGACAAUAAACUUGAACCACAAACAGAUUAGGGCCAAUUGGCCGGAAGCGAACCAACUGGGAACAAUUCCACGCCGCCCGCAUGUCUUUGUAGAAGGCCGAUUGGCUGAAAUUUUUCAUGGUCUGAACCCUAGCUAGGGCAACCCAACGAAUCUCCUCCAGCAGCUCUGGAGCUUCCUCUUCAACUACAACGUCAUCAAACUCCUCCUCAUGGAGAUCCAACUUGUCGAAGAAGUCACCGAGAUCAUCAUCUCUCCCUUGGGACCCGAGGUUCGUUGAAAACGCAUCUGAUGUCGCCGCCAUGGUGCCUCUUAGUAUAUAGUUAUUGUCUAAAUUUUGAGGACAUGUUUUGAUCGAUGAAUAUACGAUUUUAACCAAAAGUCACUUCACUACCAUGUGCCCGAAAAACAAACUUGAAGAAGAAGCUCCGCCAUCUGUGCGAGCGCUCCACUUGUGAGGACUAAAAAAUCGGAACUACACUACUAACCGGAGCAGAGGCACUGGGAUUCCCCUUCCCGCCACCAACCACCAGCAACAGGCCGAGGAGAGGUGAAUCCACGGACUCGUUGAUGAAAUCUGGAGGGAAGAGUUUACCGUAGCCCUCUAGGAUUAAGAAAGGAAACCAAGAGAACUAACAUUGUGCUUAUUUUGGCAAGUGGUGUUGUGGCGAAUGGUCGAUGGACUCCCUACCAUAGUUUUGGAUAACCUGCGUGCCCUGCCUUUUGGUGUGUGGAUUCCCGUGGCCUCCCCUGCCUCGUCCACCAACACAUUUCGGCACUCCAAGUCCGAGCGAGUGAGCAGAGCAGAGCACCCACCGUUUGGAUCCCAAAACCGUGCGUGGCCGACACCUUUUUGCUCGCUAUAAAUACAUGGCUAGCUCCUCGUCCCGGAAGCAUCAAGCAACAGCCAGCCAGCCAGCCCAUCUCAUCUCAUCUCGCUCCAUCGCACUCUUUCUACUGAGCUGUAUCUGUCGAAGAAGAUCACGGCGAAGAUUGUUGGAUCCAGACCCUGAAACACAACUCGAUCAGGUGGAAAAUUGGUGGAAAUCCCUCUCUGUAAUCUCCAGCAGAGUCCCUGACGAACAAGUUCAGAGAACAGAAGAAAACAGAAAACGGGAGACAGUAGUUUGCGACGCCUCAACCUCGCGUCCUUUUCGCUUCUAUCCUUUUAUUCCUUAGUAACAAACUGGAAGCCCACGAUCCGUUAUACCCGCGCCAUCCCACGGCCAGUUUGUGGUCAUCACUCUACCGAUUACAGAGGAGAAGAUAACUGAAUAAAACUAACACCUGAAGCUAUUAAGCCGCAGCACGAACAGAGCGCACUUCUGGCUAUUAUUCAGCAUAUUCAGAAAACUGAAAAAACAUCUACGUGACUACUUCCAGUACACCGAGAUUACUUCUAACAUUUUACCCCCUUAAACUUGGUGCACUGGCUUCAAAUCCUGCAUGCCAAUGUUCUUCUUCAUUUCCUGAAAGAGAGACUUUGGGAGAGGUUUAGUCAGGAUGUCUGCAUGCUGUUCUUCAGACCACAGAAAAUACACAAAAAAUGGACAAAAGAAGAAAGGGCCACGUCCCCAAACGACGACAUAAAUGGACCCAUGUGAAAAGAAACACGAGAACAAACUGACACAAAAUAAAACGGGACAAUAGGGCGCGGGAGAAAAAAUAACGAGCUGACACAGGUGAGACAUCACUACAUCUCAUCUAAAUGAUAUUUAGCAAAUCCGCAAGAAAAGAAAAUCUAGUUACACUAUCCUCUGGCUACACACAGCCAAUCAAAAUAAACAAAAAAUAAGGAAUAAAAAGACAUGUGGCCUUCCAUAAAAUGUUGCAACCCAAAAAAUUUACCCAAUACAUAAAAAUUAGAAAUGCCCCACUAAAAAAAGCCAUAUUGGGCCUCACUGCUUCACAGGAGACAGACAAAUAACAGGACACAAUGACAGCGAGCACCACGACUCAGAAGCACAUAUAGCUAACAACAUAUGAGUUAUACGAGACAUUGUUAACUCUCCUCAAGAUGAGACCUAGCAAAAGCAAUCCGAAACGAAAACACCCAGAUCGCGCAUUGCAAACGCCCGAACAAAAGACGCUCAUCGCGAUAGAGUACACAUGCGACAAAACAACCCAUGAUUAAAAUUUGCACGACAUUUAAAGCAAACAGAUGACGUAGUGAAAAGGUUCAAGAAUUUAAAAUAACUAAAUAAAGUAAAUAAUAAAUAAAUGAGAAAACAGAAAAUAUAAAUAAAAGAACAGAAAUCAGGAAUUUAAAAUAGUUCAUAAUUUGAAACAAAUGAUGAAAUAAUAAAGAGACAAAAUAAAAGGAACGAAGCUGCAACAUAUAGAAACACGAAAAGACAACAGCCCAUGAGAAGACGUGAGAAGAAAAACAGCCCAUACGAGCCUGGCGUACGUUUUUUUUAACACAGUAUAGACGCAAGUGCUCAUAUAAACGCGCAUACACUCAUCCCUAUGAACGCACACACGCACACCCUACCCCUAUGAGUACCUCCGAGAGACUGAGCCGGCAUAUCAUCUUGAGAUUUUACGAAGUCACCGUAGGCGCCUCGAAGUCGACGGAAACGUCUCCUCCCACUGAAAGCGUAUCGCCGGAAUUCCUGAAAUAAAUCCAGGAUAAAUGCGAGCAUCAGGAUUUGAACCCUGGUGGGUUGAGGAUACCACUGUCUACCUAAUCAUUUUAACCAGAGGUUGGUUCGCCUGGCGUAGGUAUUUUUGACCACCGAGGGACAUACCGUGAAGCGAAGGACAAGAACGAGCGGGAGCUGCCCAGGUAGAUUUUUUUUUACGGGAGCUGAACACGAAUCGUGAUGCUUUUCAUCGAACGGCUUAAAAGUUGGAUGUGAGACAAUAAUUCACAUUUAGAUGUGAAAUAGCAAAUCUGGUAAUUAAAAUAUAUUUUUGACCAACCAAACCACGCGGAACAUAUCCGGACAGUUGGGAUAUAUUUUGCUGCACGAAGUGGCCGUAGACUAGGCUGGCAAACGAGUAAUAAGUUCAUCAAGCCCGCAAAAAAAAGGCUGUGCAUCGAACUAUGUCAAAAACAAAGUUUACCAUCAAACCGACAAGUGGGCCCCAGACCAGCAAAUCCAUGGAGAAAUGCCCUACGCUUUGUGUAUAGAAUCAGACGGAGAAGGGCUAGUCCAGCGGGGACACAGUGAUGCCGCCGGUUUCACCCGCAAACUGGGAGGGCCGCUCAAAAUCUAGGGGUUGUUUGGUUGGAGACUCAAAUUGCCACACCUAAGGUUAGUCACUAGCCACAAGUGUGGCUUGCCAUAAUGUGUGGCAAAAUCAGAUUGUUUGGUUGGUAGCCAUGCCUUAGGUUAGGUGUGGCAGACAUUGGUGGAAAAAGGGCCUUUGGUCGCGGUUCGCAACUGCCAUUAGUCGCGGUUGCGCAACCGCGACCAAAUAGGCGCGAUUAAAGGCCCCCCCCCCUUUAGUCGCGGUUGCUUAAGAACCGCGACUAAAGGCCCGUCCACGUGGGCGCCAGGCGGCCGUCGGGGCGGAGGACCUUUAGUCGCGGUUCUUCCGGCCAACCGCGACUAAAAGCCGCCGCAGGUUUAGNNNNNNNNNNNNNNNNNNNNNNNNNNNNNNNNNNNNNNNNNNNNNNNNNNNNNNNNNNNNNNNNNNNNNNNNNNNNNNNNNNNNNNNNNNNNNNNNNNNNNNNNNNNNNNNNNNNNNNNNNNNNNNNNNNNNNNNNNNNNNNNNNNNNNNNNNNNNNNNNNNNNNNNNNNNNNNNNNNNNNNNNNNNNNNNNNNNNNNNNNNNNNNNNNNNNNNNNNNNNNNNNNNNNNNNNNNNNNNNNNNNNNNNNNNNNNNNNNNNNNNNNNNNNNNNNNNNNNNNNNNNNNUGUUUUCUGUUUAAUUUGUAUUGUUUUAUUUCUUUUGUGCUUUAUUUUAAUUUUGAAGGAGUUUCACAUAUUCUACGGUACUACAUACAUGCAUAUGAAUGUACAAUUUCAAACAAAUUUGAAAUUAGAACCAAAAAGAAUUCAAGAGGAAUAUACAAUAUAUAUUCAAUAUCAUCGGAUGACCAUAUACAAUUUUGAACAAGUUUCCAUACAUAAUUUAAUGCAUAUAAAGUUCUACGUCCUCGUAAUGGUGUUCUCCUUUAGGAUGGAGGACUUCCCUCCUGAACCAUCCAGCUAGUUCCUCUUGAAGUGGUCGGAAGCGAGCUUCUGGACUAAGCAUCAUCCGGAGGUUAUUCCUCUGAGCAUUGGUAUCACUCGGAACCCGCCGCUCAGAGGUGUAUCUCCGGAUCAUCUCACAGACAUAGUAUUCACAUAGAUUGGUCCCCGCUGGCUGAAUAUCCCCACCAUUCUUAGCCUUUGACCUUUUAAAUUCUAGCUCUUUUUUGAAUUCACCGACCUUUGUAUCUACGAACCGUCUCCAAACCCUACGAGGCAAAGAAAAUUAAAUGAACAAGAGAGUUAUUAGUUACUUGAUAUUAGGAAAUGAACGAAAUAGGCCGAUCGAUAUAGAGCGCAAAUGAAUGAAAAUAAUUACUUCUGCAGCAUUCUUCUCAUGCCGCCCCAAAGCUUUGGAUCCAUAUUCAGAGAGUCGUGGACGAGACAUUCUGAGGUGUCAACUUUAAUUACUAGCAGAAUCCAGUGGAACCUGCGGACACGAUACAUGCACAGUACGUCAUGCAUAACUCAUCGAUUAGCCGGCCACAUACCAUGCAUGGAGUAAACAAAAGAGAAUGUGCUCAAGACAGAUCUGCCUCCAUGUCGGCGGGGUGAUGAUCCAACACAUAUCCAUUAACGAUGUGUGGGUCAAUGAACCCAACAUCAUGGAUGUUCCUUACUCUGCAUUCCUUAAUCUUCAUUCUGCAUGUAUAAUAGCGGACACAACAAUAUAGUUAGGACAUAUAUAUAGUGCAGGCAAUAUGAACGAGAUGGGGUAGAAAUAAAUCACUUACAGAACGUAGCAACUGAUGAUAGAUUUGUCGAGCUCGCGCAGAUUGAAAAGCUGGAACAAUUCACUCAGAUGAAUUUGUACAUAGUAAUGUUUGAAGUGAUGCUCAUAUCUAACUUCCGCAUAAAUAUAUUCUUUGGCAUUUUUAUUUUUUAUGUAACCCUUGUACCAUUUCAGCAGACCUUUCAUUUGUGGAGGUAGAUCCUCUUCCUGCGCAGGCUCGACGAGAGGCCCAUUCUUCACAUAUGUAAUUACUACCUCCUUCACUGGCGCCUCAUCAAGGCCUAACAGUUCACGAAGAGUAAUACCUAAGUUGGCCGCUUGUUCUCUGGCACUCGUUACAGUCAAUCCAUGUGCUGUCGCAGCUGCUAUGAUAUCGGGGUCAUCCGGACCGGCGGCUUUCACUAUAAGCAGGGCAAUCGAUUGUUUACUUUGUUCCCCGAGCUGGGCAACUCGUUGUUGGAAAUAUGCCCUAGAGGCAAUAAUAAAUUGAUUAUUAUUAUAUUUCCUUGUUCAUGAUAAUCGUUUAUUAUCCAUGCUAGAAUUGUAUUGAUAGGAAACUCAGAUACAUGUGUGGAUACAUAGACAACACCAUGUCCCUAGUAAGCCUCUAGUUGACUAGCUCGUUAAUCAAUAGAUGGUUACGGUUUCCUGACCAUGGACAUUGGAUGUCGUUGUUAACGGGAUCACAUCAUUAGGAGAAUGAUGUGAUGGACAAAGACCCAAUCCUAAGCCUAGCACAAGAUCAUGUAGUUCGUAUGCUAAAGCUUUUCUAAUGUCAAGUAUCAUUUCCUUAGACCAUGAGAUUGUGCAACUCCCGGAUGCCGUAGGAGUGCUUUGGGUGUGCCAAACGUCACAACGUAACUGGGUGGCUAUAAAGGUACACUACGGGUAUCUCUGAAAGUGUCUGUUGGGUUGGCACGAAUCGAGAUUGGGAUUUUGUCACUCCGUGUAAACGGAGAGGUAUCUCUGGGCCCACUCGGUAGGACAUCAUCAUAAUGUGCACAAUGUGACCAAGGGGUUGAUCACGGGAUGAUGUGUUACGUAACGAGUAAAGAGACUUGCCGGUAACGAGAUUGAACAAGGUAUCGGUAUACCGACGAUCGAAUCUCGGGCAAGUACCAUACCGCUAGACAAAGGGAAUUGUAUACGGGAUCGAUUGAGUCCUUGACAUCGUGGUUCAUCCGAUGAGAUCAUCGUGGAACAUGUGGGAGCCAACAUGGGUAUCCAGAUCCCGCUGUUGGUUAUUGACCGGAGAACAUCUCGGUCAUGUCUGCAUGUCUCCCGAACCCGUAGGGUCUACACACUUAAGGUUCGAUGACGCUAGGGUUAUAAAGGAAGCUUGUAUGUGGUUACCGAAUGUUGUUCGGAGUCCCGGAUGAGAUCCCGGACGUCACGAGGAGUUCCGGAAUGGUCCGGAGGUAAAGAUUUAUAUAUAGGAAGUCCUGUUUCGGCCAUCGGGACAAGUUUCGGGGUCAUCGGUAUUGUACCGGGACCACCGGAAGGGUCCCGGGGGCCCACCGGGUGGGGCCACCUGCCCCGGGGGGCCACAUGGGCUGUAGGGGGUGCGCCUAGAGGCCCAUGCGCCAAGAUAUAGGAAAAAGGGGAGAGUCCUAAAGGGGGAAGGCACCUCCGAGGUGCCUUGGGGAGGAUGGACUCCUCCCCCCCUCUUGGCCGCACCCCUUUCUUGGAGUAGGGGGCAAGGCUGCGCCUUUCCCCUCUCCCCUGCCCCUAUAUAUAGUGGAGGGGAGGGAGGGCAUCCAUACCUGAGCCCUUGGCGCCUCCCUCCCUCCCGUAACACCUCCUCCUCUCCCGUAGGUGCUUGGCGAAGCCCUGCAGGAUUGCCACGCUCCUCCAUCACCACCACGCCGUUGUGCUGCUGCUGGAUGGAGUCUUCCUCAACCUCUCCCUCUCUCCUUGCUGGAUCAAGGCAUGGGAGACAUCGUCGAGCUGUACGUGUGUUGAACGCGGAGGUGCCGUCCGUUCGGCACUAGGAUCAUCGGUGAUCUGAAUCACGACGAGUACGACUCCAUCAACCUCGUUCACUUGAACGCUUCCGCUUAGCGAUCUACAAGGGUAUGUAGAUGCACUCUCCUUUCCCCUCGUUGCUAGUUUCUCCAUAGAUAGAUCUUGGUGAUACGUAGGAAAAUUUUGAAUUUCUGCUACGUUCCCCAACAGUGGCAUCAUGAGCUAGGUCUAUUGCGUAGAUUCUUUGCACGAGUAGAAUACAAAGUAGUUGUGGGCGUCGAUAUUGUUCAAUAUGCUUGCCGUUACUAGUCUUAUCUUGAUUCGGCGGCAUCGUGGGAUGAAGCGGCCCGGACCAACCUUACACGUACGCUUACGUGAGACCGGUUCCACCGACAAACAUGCACUAGUUGCAUAAGGUGGCUGGCGGGUGUCUGUCUCUCCCACUUUAGUCGGAUCGGAUUCGAUGAAAAGGGUCCUUAUGAAGGGUAAAUAGCAAUUGGCAUAUCACGUUGUGGUUCAUGCGUAGGUAAGAAACGUUCUUGCUAGAAACCCAUAGCAGCCACGUAAAACAUGCAAACAACAAUUAGAGGACGUCUAACUUGUUUUUGCAGGGUAUGCUAUGUGAUGUGAUAUGGCCAAAAAGGAUGUGAUGAAUGAUAUAUGUGAUGUAUGAGAUUGAUCAUGUUCUUGUAAUAGGAAUCACGACUUGCAUGUCAAUGAGUAUGACAACCGGCAGGAGCCAUAGGAGUUGUCUUUAUUUAUUUGUGACCUGCGUGUCAACUUAAACGUCAUGUAAUUACUUUACUUUAUUGCUAACCGUUAGCCAUAGUAGUAGAAGUAAUAGUUGGCGAGGCAACUUCAUGAAGACACGAUGAUGGAGAUCAUGAUGAUGGAGAUCAUGGUGUCAUGCCGGUGACGAUGAUGAUCAUGGAGCCCCGAAGAUGGAGAUCAAAAGGAGCAAAGUGAUGAUGGCCAUAUCAUGUCACUAUUUGAUUGCAUGUGAUGUUUAUCAUGUUUAUACAUCUUACUUGCUUAGAACGACGGUAGUAAAUAAGAUGAUCCCUUACAACAAUUUCAAGAAGUGUUCUCCCCUAACUGUGCACCGUUGCGACAGUUCGCUGUUUCAAAACAUCACGUGAUGAUCGGGUGUUUUAUUCAGACGUUCAAAUACAACGGGUGUUGACGAGCCUAGCAUGUACAGACAUGGCCUCGGAACACAUGCAAAACACUUAGGGUUAACUUGACGAGCCUAGCAUGUACAGACAUGGCCUCGGAACACGGAGACCGAAAGGUCGAACAUGAGUCGUAUAGAAGAUACGAUCAACAUGAAGAUGUUCACCGAUGAUGACUAGUCCGUCUCAUGUGAUGAUCGGACACGGCCUAGUUUGACUCGGAUCAUGUAAUCACUUAGAUGACUAGAGGGAUGUCUAUCUGAGUGGGAGUUCAUAAGAUGAACUUAAUUAUCCUGAACAUAGUCAAAAGGUUUUUGCAAAUUAUGUCGUAGCUCACGCUAUAGUUCUACUGUUUAGAUAUGUUCCUAGAGAAAAAUUAGUUGAAAGUUGAUAGUAGCAAUUAUGCGGACUAGGUCCGUAAACUGAGGAUUGUCCUCAUUGCUUCAUAGAAAGCUUAUGUCCUUAAUGCACCGCUCAGUGUGCUGAACCCCAAACGUCGUUUGUACAUGUUUUGAUAACUACGUGAUAGUUCAGUGAAACGGUUUAGAGUUGAGGCACCAAAGACAUUUUUCGAAAUGUCGCGGAACAUACGAGAUGUUUCGAGGGCUGAAAUUGGGAUUUCAGGCUCGUGCCCACGUCAAGAGGUAUGAGACCUCCGACGAUUUUCUUAACCUGCAAACUAAGGAGAAAAGCUCAAUUGUUGAGCUUGUGCUCAGAUUGUCUGAGUACAACAAUCAUUUGAAUCGAGUGGGAGUUGAUCUUCCAGAUAAGACAGUGAUGGUUCUCCAAAGUCAUUGCCACCAAGUUGUUAGAGCUUCGUGAUGAACUAUAACAUAUCAGGGAUAGAUAUGAUGAUCCUUGAGGUAUUCGCGAUGUUUGACACCGCGAAAGUAGAAAUCAAGAAGGAGCAUCAAUUGUUGAUGGUUGGUGAAACCACUAGUUUCAAGAAGGGCAAGGGCAAGAAGGGAUACUUCAUGAAACGGCAAAUCAGCUGCUGCUCUAGUGAAGAAACCCAAGGUAAAACCCAAACCCGAGACUAAGUGCUUCUGUAAUAAGGGGAACAACCACUAGAGCAGAAUUACCCUAGAUACUUGGUAGAUAAGAAGGCUGGCAAGGUCGAUAGAAGUAUAUUGGAUAUACAUUGUGUUAAUGUGUACUUUGCUAGUACUCCUAGUAGCACCAGGGUAUUAGAUACCGGUUCGGUUGCUAAGUGUUAGUAACUCGAAACAAAAGGCUACAGAAUAAACGGAGACUAGCUAAAGGUGAGCUGACGAUAUGUGUUGGAAGUUUUUCCAAGCUUGAUAUGAUCAAGCAUCGCACGCUCCCUCUACCAAAGAGAUUGGUGUUAAACCUAAAUAAUUGUUAUUUGGUGUUUGCGUUGAGCAUAGACAUGAUUGGAUUACGUCUAUCGCAAUACGGUUAUUCAUUUAAGGAGAAUAAUGGUUACUCUAUUUAUUUGAAUAAUACCUUCAAUGGUCUUACACCUAAAAUGAAUGGUUUAUUAAAUCUCGAUCGUAGUGAUACACAUGUUCAUGCCAAAAGAUAGUAAUGAUAGUACCACCUACUUGUGGCACUGCCACGUAAGUCAUAUCAGUAUAAAACGCAUGAAGAAGCUCCAUGUUGAUGGAUCUUUGGACUCACUCGUUUUUGAAAAGUUUGAGACAUGCGAACCAUGUCUAUUGGUGUAUAUGCAUGAAGAAACUCCAUGCAAAUGGAUCAUUCGGACUCACUUGAUUUUGGAUCACUUGAGAUAUGCAAAUCAUACCACAUAGGCAAGAUGACUGAAAAGCCUCGGUUUCAGUAAAAUGGAACAAGAUAGCAACUUGUUGGAAGCAACACAUUUUGAUGUGUGCAGUCCAAUGAGUGCUGAGGCAUGCAGUGAAUAUCGUUAUGUUCUUACUUCACAGAUGAUUCGAGUAGAUGUUGAGUAUAUUUACUUGAUGAAUCACGAGUCUGAAUUAUUGAAAGGUUCAAGUAAUUUCAGUGUGAAGUUGAAAGAUCAUCGUGACAAGAGGAUAAAAGAUCUAUGAGAUGAUCAUAGAGAUGAAUAUCUGAAUUAUGAGUUUUGGCACACAAUUAAGACAUUGUGGAAAUUGUUUCACAAUUAAUACCGCCUGGAACACCAUAGUGUGAUGGUGUGUCCAAACGUCAUAGUUGCACCCUAUUGGAUAUGGUGCAUACCAUGAUGUCUCUUGUCGAGUUACCACUAUCGUUCAUGGGUUAGGCAUUAGAGACAACCACAUUCACUUUAAAUAGGGCACCACAUAAUUCCGUUGAGACGACGCCGUUUGGAGAAACCUAAGUUGUCGUUUCUUAAAGGUUUGGGGCUGUGACGCUUAUGUGAAAAAGUUUCAGGAUUGAUAAGCUCGAACCCAAAGCGGAUAAAAUACAUCUUCAUAGGACACCCAAAACAGUUGGGUAUACCUCCUAAUUCAGAUCCGAAAGCAAUAUGAAUUGUUUCUAGAAUCGGGUCCUUUCUCGAGGAAAGGUUCUCUCGAAAGAGUUGAGUGGGUGGAUGGUGGAGACUUGAUGAGGUUAUUGAACCAUCACUUCAACCAGUGUGUAGCAGGGCACAGGAAGUUGUUCCCGUGGCACCUACACCAAUUGAAGUGGAAGCUUAUGAUAUUGAUCAUGAAGUUUCGGAUCAAAUCACUGCCGUACCUCGUAGGGUGACAAGGAUACGUACUACUUCAGAGUGGUACGGUAAUCCUGUCUUGGAAGUCAUGUUGCUAGACAACAAUGAACCUACGAGCUAUGGAGAAGCGAUGGUGGGCCCGGAUUCCGAUAAAUGGCUCAAGGCCAUAAAACCCGAGAGAGGAUCCAUGUAUGAAAACAAAGUGUAGACUUUGGAAGAACUACUUGAUGGUCGUAAGGCUGUUAGGUACAUAUGGAUUUUGAAAGGAAGACAGACAAUGAUGGUAAGUGUCACCAUUGAGAAAGCUCGACUUGUCGUUAAGAUGUUUUUCGACAAGUUCAAGGAGUUGAUUGCGAUGAGACUUUCUCACUCGUAGCGAUGCUAAGAGUCUGUUGGAAUUAUAUUAGCAAUUACUGCAUUAUUUAUGAAAUCUUGCAGAUAGGAUGUCAAAAUAUUGUUUCCUCGACGAUUCUUGAGGAAAGGUUGUAUGUGAUACAACCGGAAGGUUUUGUCUAUCCUGAAAUAUGCUAAUAAGUAUGCAAAGCUCCAGCAAUCCUUCUAAGGACUGGAGUGAGCAUCUCGGAGUUGGAAUGUAUGCUUUGAUGAUGAUCAAAGAUUUUGGGUGUAUACAAAGUUUAUGAGAAACUUGUAUUUCCAAAGAAGUGAGUGGGAGCACUAUAGAAUUUCUGAUGAGUAUAUGUUGUUGACAUAUUAAUGAUCAGAAAUGACGUAGAAUUUCUGGAAAGCAUAUAGGGUUAUUUGGAAAGUGUUUUCAAUGGAAAACCUGGAUUAAGCUACUUGAACAUUGAGCAUCAAGAUCUAUAAGGAUAGAUCAAAACGCUUAAUAGUACUUUCAAAUGAGCACAUGCCUUGACGUGAUCUUGAAGGUGUUCAAGAUGGAUAAGUCAAAGAAGGAGUUCUUGCCUGAGUUGUAAGGUAUGAAGUUAAGACUUAAAGCUCGACCAUGGCAGAAUAGAGAGAAAGGAACGAAGGUCGUCCCCUAUGCUUAAGACAUAGGCUCUACAGUAUGAUAUGCUGUGUACCGCACCUGAAGUGUGCUUUACCAUGAGUCAGUCAAGGGGUACAAGAGUGAUCCAAGAAUGGAUCACGGGACAGCGGUCAAAGUUAUCCUUAGUAACUAGUGGACUAAGGAAUUUUCUCGAUUAUGGAGGUGGUAAAGGGGUUCGUCGUAAACGGUUACGUCGAUGCAAGCUUAACACCUAUCCGGAUAGCUCUGAGUAGAGAUACCGGAUACGUAUAAUGGAGCAACAAUUUAGAAUAUCUCCAAGUAGAACAGUUAUUUGGAAUAGCUCUAAAUAGAACGUGGUAGCUGCAUCUAGGAGAUGACAUAGAGAUUUGUAAAGCACACACGGAUCUGAAAGGUUCAGACCCGUUGACUAUAACCUCUCUCACAAGCAUAACAUGAUCAAACCCAGAACUCAUCGAGUGUUAAUCACAUGGUAAAUGUGAACUAGAUUAUUGACUCUAGUAAAUUCUUUGGGUGUUAGUCACAUAGGGAUGUGACCUUGAGUGUUAAUCACAUAUCGAUGUGAACUAGAUUAUUGACUCUAGUGCAAGUGGGAGACUGUUGGAAAUAUGCCCUAGAGGCAAUAAUAAAUUGAUUAUUAUUAUAUUUCCUUGUUCAUGAUAAUCGUUUAUUAUCCAUGCUAGAAUUGUAUUGAUAGGAAACUCAGAUACAUGUGUGGAUACAUAGACAACACCAUGUCCCUAGUAAGCCUCUAGUUGACUAGCUCGUUAAUCAAUAGAUGGUUACGGUUUCCUGACCAUGGACAUUGGAUGUCGUUGUUAACGGGAUCACAUCAUUAGGAGAAUGAUGUGAUGGACAAAGACCCAAUCCUAAGCCUAGCACAAGAUCAUGUAGUUCGUAUGCUAAAGCUUUUCUAAUGUCAAGUAUCAUUUCCUUAGACCAUGAGAUUGUGCAACUCCCGGAUGCCGUAGGAGUGCUUUGGGUGUGCCAAACGUCACAACGUAACUGGGUGGCUAUAAAGGUACACUACGGGUAUCUCUGAAAGUGUCUGUUGGGUUGGCACGAAUCGAGAUUGGGAUUUUGUCACUCCGUGUAAACGGAGAGGUAUCUCUGGGCCCACUCGGUAGGACAUCAUCAUAAUGUGCACAAUGUGACCAAGGGGUUGAUCACGGGAUGAUGUGUUACGUAACGAGUAAAGAGACUUGCCGGUAACGAGAUUGAACAAGGUAUCGGUAUACCGACGAUCGAAUCUCGGGCAAGUACCAUACCGCUAGACAAAGGGAAUUGUAUACGGGAUCGAUUGAGUCCUUGACAUCGUGGUUCAUCCGAUGAGAUCAUCGUGGAACAUGUGGGAGCCAACAUGGGUAUCCAGAUCCCGCUGUUGGUUAUUGACCGGAGAACAUCUCGGUCAUGUCUGCAUGUCUCCCGAACCCGUAGGGUCUACACACUUAAGGUUCGAUGACGCUAGGGUUAUAAAGGAAGCUUGUAUGUGGUUACCGAAUGUUGUUAGGAGUCCCGGAUGAGAUCCCGGACGUCACGAGGAGUUCCGGAAUGGUCCGGAGGUAAAGAUUUAUAUAUAGGAAGUCCUGUUUCGGCCAUCGGGACAAGUUUCGGGGUCAUCGGUAUUGUACCGGGACCACCGGAAGGGUCCCGGGGGCCCACCGGGUGGGGCCACCUGCCCCGGGGGGCCACAUGGGCUGUAGGUGGUGCGCCUUGGCCUACAUGGGCCAAGGGCACCAGCCCCUAGAGGCCCAUGCGCCAAGAUAUAGGAAAAAGGGGAGAGUCCUAAAGGGGGAAGGCACCUCCGAGGUGCCUUGGGGAGGAUGGACUCCUCCCCCCCUCUUGGCCGCACCCCUUUCUUGGAGUAGGGGGCAAGGCUGCGCCUUUCCCCUCUCCCCUGCCCCUAUAUAUAGUGGAGGGGAGGGAGGGCAUCCAUACCUGAGCCCUUGGCGCCUCCCUCCCUCCCGUAACACCUCCUCCUCUCCCGUAGGUGCUUGGCGAAGCCCUGCAGGAUUGCCACGCUCCUCCAUCACCACCACGCCGUUGUGCUACUGCUGGAUGGAGUCUUCCUCAACCUCUCCCUCUCUCCUUGCUGGAUCAAGGCGUGGGAGACAUCGUCGAGCUGUACGUGUGUUGAACGCGGAGGUGCCGUCCGUUCGGCACUAGGAUCAUCGGUGAUCUGAAUCACGACGAGUACGACUCCAUCAACCUCGUUCACUUGAACGCUUCCGCUUAGCGAUCUACAAGGGUAUGUAGAUGCACUCUCCUUUCCCCUCGUUGCUAGUUUCUCCAUAGAUAGAUAUUGGUGAUACGUAGGAAAAUUUUGAAUUUCUGCUACGUCCCCCAACACUCGUUUCCCGCUUUUUUUACUUUCUAAUUCCGUUUUCUCGGCCUCCUCCAAGGCUUUGUUCUCCUGGUUCUCCGCCCGCUCUUUCUUCUCCUUCAACAUGAGUGCCUGCCUACGAAGUUCACGUGCAUAGUCGUCAGGCAGAUUCUUCGCGGCUUGGGACGGUGUGCUCAAAAAUGACUUAGCCCACUUCUUUUGAUCAUCAGAAAAUACUGGCUUGGGCUCGGGCUCUCUUUUCUUCUUGCAGUCCGCCUUCCAUUUCUCAUGAUCAGCAGCCGCGGCCGCGGCAGUUUCCUCGGCACUACGUUCCCAAGGCCUUGUGGGGAGAGGCUUCAGUGAUGGCUCCGGUACCUUUGUGGUCUUAGGUACAUAAGGGUCCGGGUUAAUAAUCCAGGACUGCUUCUGCUUCUUUGCCGGAGGUGGAUUGGGGGGCGGCGUCUGAUCACCCGCCGGACGAGGACUGGGGGGCGGCGUCUGAUCACCCGCCUGACGUUGUGGACUGGGGGGCGUCAGCUGGCGUGACGGAGGUGUAGGUGAACCGCCACCACCACCACCACCACCACCACCGCCACCGCCACCACCACCACCGUAGGGGGGUGGACUUGUUGUCCUUGGCGCCUCGCCUGGAAACUUGAUAAACUUCUUUUGCCAUAGAAUGAAAUGGCGCUUGACAUCUCCAAGUCUUUUCUCCCCUUCAGGUGUAGCAAUGUCAAUCUUCAGGUCCUCAAACCCUUGGACUAUGUCCUCCACCGUGACACGAGCAUAGCCAUCUUGAAUGGGGUUGUUGUGGUGGAGUGCUCCAGGUAACACAUGGUAAAGCACUGCCGAUGGCUACCUUCAUGGACAUGUUCCCGAUAGGAUAAUACAAAUGACAUUCUUUCAUCUCCUUUAUAUCGUCCACGGGGUAGCGAGGAGGCUCCGGUGCAGUAAUUUCGACCACCAGAGGCUUCGGUGCAGUAAUUUCGAUCGUCGGUGCAUCUGCACCAGCCGGUGGGGCCUUCGUGGAAGCCACGCUGCUUCUCCGUUGCUGGCUUCCGAGAUCCGCUGGAUGAUCUUCAUGCUGCGCCCGAGCUGCAUCUCUUUCGGCUACUAGUACACUCACGGUUUUCUUCAUCACAUCCAUUUCCGAUGCCAACCGUGCCACAACAUCUGCUUGCUGAUCCAUCUUUCUCUUCCAGCUUCUGUAACCGUACGGGUCAUCGUUCUGGGUGAACCCUAUUUUCCACGGAAUGUGCCCCAUGCCUCGUACACGUCCUCCGUGUUCAGGAUUCCCGAGGGGUUUUGUCAGCGCGUCGUUCUCUCUGUUGAACUUGAUCUUCCCCUCUUGAGCAUCCCUCAUUGCGUCAAUAAGGGCUUGGGUGGGUUUAAUUAUUUUGCCCCGGUAAACACACUCCCCUGUCUCCGGGUUCAGCGUUCCCCCAUGCCCGUACCACCAGCUUUUGGCCCUUGGGUCCCAUCCCUCCGUACCUGGACGGAUUCCUCGCGCCCUCAGCUCGUUCUCCAUCUUCUCCCACCUAGGCUCCCAAAGGCGAUACCCUCCUGGCCCCAUAAUAUGAUUGUACUCCUUCUUAGCCGCAUUUUCCUUAUUUUUUUCGAUAUUUGAAUGAACUGCUCCGAUUUCUUUUGCUUCACAAAUUCUGGCCAAUCAUGUUUCAGUUUCUCAUAUUGUCCUUUGAAAUCCGGAGUCUUGUUCUGCUUGAAAAAGUCAUGGGCUAGAUUUUGCUUGAAUUUCCGGAAUGCGUCGGCCAUCUUAUGAAGAGUGAACUGUUUGACUAGCCUCCUCCUCUCCUUGUUUUCCUCAAUCUUGUUACCCUCCUCAUCGAAUUUGUUGUAUUCCGGAGGUAGAACGAAAUGUUCCAUAAGCUUCUUGAAGCAAUCUUUUUUUGUUCUCUUAUCGACAAAAGUGAAACCAGCAAUUCGUGCCUUCUUUGGCUUAUUCCACUCCUGGACGGUGAUCGAGACGUUGUCUCUAACAACGGCUCCGCAUUGGUUGACAAACUUGGUGGCGUUCUUGCGGGGCUCCAGCGGCCUGUCGGUUGCACUGUCGACAACCUCGAUGGUGCAUGUUUCUCCUUGUUUCAUCGUCUUGGUUGCGCCACGCUUUGACGACGUACUCGAUUGUUUCGACGAUCCGGCCGAGGGCUAAAAUAAGAAAGAGAGUCGCGCGCGUUAGUACACACAUAUUUAUUCAAAUCAGUUAGUUUGUAUCACCAGAGGCUCAAUGUAUAUAUAUACCUCGGCGCCGGAGGUGGUUGCUACUUCCAUUUGAAGAUCGUCGUUUAUCGACGUUUGUUCGGCAUCAUCUUGCUGACGGCGCCCUUCAUCUUCACCGUCAAGGUUCAGAUAAGAAGAGAUAUCAUCUUCUUCUUGUCCGGUCGGCACAUAUAGAAUAUCGCCGUUUAUGAUGCUGAACAUAUGUGCUUCACCGUCCGGAUCAUAGUUGUCCAUAAUCGGGUCAGCUCUAUCGUCCACCAUUAUGUCAGUCCUGAAAACAUGUAGUAAAAACAAAUUAAUUAAGUGAAGAAGGGGGGCGGUGGCGGUGGCGGUGGCGAAAGGGCGGUGGCAAAAGGAGGGGGCGAGGAAGGGGUGGGAGAGGGUGUCGCGGUAGAGCGCGAGACGGGGCGGCAGACGACGGCGUCACGGAGAGGGAGGCGAGGACAACACACAUGUAUAACCCUCGCCGCCCCCUCUCGAUCCCAACAAAAAAACACCGCGGGCAUCGCCGCCCCCCUCGCCGCCCCCUCUCCGUAUAUGCGCGGGGUCGUGUACAUUUUUUUAAAGCGGGAUCGUUGUACAUUGACGCGCGGGGUCGUUGUAUAUAUUGAUUAUCAAGUUUUACUUUUUUUGUUGUUAAUUAUCAAGUUUUAUAUACGUUUUUUUUGUUAAUUAUCAAAUUUUACGGUUUUUUUUGUUAAUUAUCAAGUUUUAAGUUAUUUUACCGUUUUUGUUAAACUAAUUAACUAGUUAAAAUUAAAAAGAACAAAAAAAAGAAAAAAAAGAAAAAAAUCCGGUGGCUCGCGGCGCCCCUCUCUCUCUCCACGAUCUCGCUCUCUGUCUGAGAGAGGCGCGCGCAUGCGCGCACGGCAGUAUCGAGGCCGGCCGGCGGCGUUNNNNNNNNNNNNNNNNNNNNNNNNNNNNNNNNNNNNNNNNNNNNNNNNNNNNNNNNNNNNNNNNNNNNNNNNNNNNNNNNNNNNNNNNNNNNNNNNNNNNNNNNNNNNNNNNNNNNNNNNNNNNNNNNNNNNNNNNNNNNNNNNNNNNNNNNNNNNNNNNNNNNNNNNNNNNNNNNNNNNNNNNNNNNNNNNNNNNNNNNNNNNNNNNNNNNNNNNNNNNNNNNNNNNNNNNNNNNNNNNNNNNNNNNNNNNNNNNNNNNNNNNNNNNNNNNNNNNNNNNNNNNNNNNNNNNNNNNNNNNNNNNNNNNNNNNNNNNNNNNNNNNNNNNNNNNNNNNNNNNNNNNNNNNNNNNNNNNNNNNNNNNNNNNNNNNNNNNNNNNNNNNNNNNNNNNNNNNNNNNNNNNNNNNNNNNNNNNNNNNNNNNNNNNNNNNNNNNNNNNNNNNNNNNNNNNNNNNNNNNNNNNNNNNNNNNNNNNNNNNNNNNNNNNNNNNNNNNNNNNNNNNNNNNNNNNNNNNNNNNNNNNNNNNNNNNNNNNNNNNNNNNNNNNNNNNNNNNNNNNNNNNNNNNNNNNNNNNNNNNNNNNNNNNNNNNNNNNNNNNNNNNNNNNNNNNNNNNNNNNNNNNNNNNNNNNNNNNNNNNNNNNNNNNNNNNNNNNNNNNNNNNNNNNNNNNNNNNNNNNNNNNNNNNNNNNNNNNNNNNNNNNNNNNNNNNNNNNNNNNNNNNNNNNNNNNNNNNNNNNNNNNNNNNNNNNNNNNNNNNNNNNNNNNNNNNNNNNNNNNNNNNNNNNNNNNNNNNNNNNNNNNCAGCGCGGCGGGCGACGGCGGGCGGCGUCGAGGGCGAGGGCGACGGCGGCAGGCCUUCGGCGCGGCAGAGAAUCGGAGAAGACGAGAAAUGGAGGCGAUGGUUCGGGCCCUUGUAUUUAUAGCCCCCCCCUUUAGUCGCGGUUGGGGAGGCGACCCGCGACUAAAGGGUAACCUUUAGUCGCGGUUGGCCAGACCAACCGCGACUAAAGGGUUUUUUGGCGGGUUUUUGCAUUCCCGCGCGCAACGACCUUUAGUCGCGGUUGGCCAGGCCAACCGCGACUAAAGGUAUUUUUCAAAAUACUUUUUCUUUUUCAAAAUCUUAAAAAUACAAAUAAUAUAUCAAAAAAUUCAGAAAAAUAAAACUAAUUCAAUUCAAUAUGUUAAAAACACAAAUAUUAUAUCAAAAAAUUCAGAAAAAUAAGACUAAUUCAAUUCAAAAUUCUAAAAAUACAAAUAAUAUAUCAAAAAAUUAAGAAAAAUAAAACUAAUUCAAUUCGAAAUGUUAAAAAUACAAAUAAUAUAUCAAAAAAUUCAGAAAAAUAAAACUAAGUCAAUUCAAAAUUUUAUACGCCUAGGCAGGAGUACGACAGCGACGACAGCAGCGACGACGACGGCGGCAACUUAGAAGGCGACGACUACCAGUAUAACGGCGGCGGCUAUGAAGACUACGAGUAUGCAUAUUAUACGCCUAGGCAGGAGUAUGACUAAAUCACUCCAAAUUUCAUGUAUCAUCAGUGGUAUCUCGAAUCAUUCGAAAAUGGACACCAAACACAUCACAGGUAAUAUAAUUCACAUGAUCCAUUCAACAAAGUUUGGUACAAUAAAUUAUUACACAUCAUUUCUUCCCUUGUGUCCCUGCUUGCUUACGAUUGUGCCGUAUCCAUGGAGCAUCCUCAUCAUUUAACUUAAUGCUUGGGUCGGUGUUCACUUUGAAGGGCGGAAUUUCAGCAAACAUAUUAUAAUCUUCUGACAUGUCUGUCUUGUCCUCCACUCCCACGAUGUUUCUUUUCCCUGAAAGAACAAUGUGGCGCUUUGGAUCAUCGCAUGAUGUACUGAUCGUUUUCUUAUCUUUCCGUUUCCUCGGUUUGCUACUCAUGUCCUUCACAUAGAAAACCUGAGCGACAUCUUUCGCUAGGACGAAUGGUUCGUCAAGGUAACCAAGAUUGUUGAAAUCCACCAUUGUCAUUCCGUAUUGCUGGUCCACCUUUACCCCACCUCCUGUUAGCUUGAACCAUUUGCACCGGAACAAAGGGACCUUAAAGGAGGGUCCAUAGUCAAGUUCCCAUAUCUCCUCUAUGUAACCAUAAUAUGUGACCUUUUGCCCAUUCUCGGUUGCUGCAUCAAAGCGGACACCACUGUUUUUGUUGGUGCUCUUUUUAUCUUGGGCGAUCGUGUAAAAUGUAUUCCCAUUUAUCUCGUACCCUUGGAAAGUCGUUAUAGUCGAAGAUGGUGUCUUGGCCAACAUGUACAGCUGAUCUACAACAUCAUUGUCAUUCAUUAAAUGUUUUCUCAACCAACUGCCGAAAGUCUCCAUGUGGGCCUUCCUAAUCCAGGAUUCAGGCUUCCCCGGGUUGUCCGAGCGUAAAAUAUUCUUGUGUUUCUCAAAGUACGGAGCCACCAAGCUAGAAUUGGUCAGUACAGUGUGGUGUGCUUCAGUCAGAGAAUGGCCGUCCAUACAUAUCGUUGAUUUCCUUCCGAUCGUGCCUUUUCCACUUAGUCUCCCCUCGUGCCGCGAUCGAGGAAGACCAAUCGGCUUAAGGUCAGGAACAAAGUCAACACAAAACUCAAUUACCUCCUCAUUUCCAUAGCCCUUGGCGAUGCUUCCUUCUGGCCUAGGAUGGUUACGAACAUAUUUCUUUAAUACUCCCAUGAACCUCUCGAAGGGGAACAUAUUGUGUAGAAAUACAGGAUCGAGAAUGAAAAUCUCUUCGACUAGGUGAACCAAGAGGUGCGUCAUAAUAUUGAAGAAGGAUGGAGGGAACACCAACUCGAAACUGACAAGACAUUGGAUCACAUCGUUCUGUAACCGUGGUAGAACUUCUGGAUUGAUUACCUUCUGAGAGAUUGCAUUGAGGAAUAUACAUAGCUUCACAAUGGCUACUCGAACAUUUUCCGGCAGGAGCCCCCUCAAAGCAAUCGGAAGCAAUUGCGUCAUAAUCACGUGGCAGUCGUGAGACUUCAGGUUUUGGAACUUUUUCUCCGCCAUGUUCAUUAUUCCCUUUAUAUUGGACGAGAAUCCAGACGGGACCUUCAUACUGCUCAGGCAUUCAAAAAAGAUGACCUUCUCUUCUUUGGUCAGAGCGUAGCUGACAUGACCUUGAAACCAUUCCGGAUGCCGGUCAUCAGGGUCUUUCAAACGUUGCUGGUCCUGCCGUGCUUCCUUUGUAUCAUUUGUCUUCCCAUACACGCCCAAGAAGCUUAGGAGGUUCACGCAAAUAUUCUUCGUAACGUGCAUCACGUCGAUUGCAGAGCGGACUUCUAGGACUUUCCAAUAUUCUAGCUCCCAGAAUAUAGAUUUCUUCUUCCACAUGGCUGCGUGCCCGUCAGCUCCCUUCGGAACUGAUUGUCCGCCAGGACCCUUUCCAAAGAUGACUUUCAAAUCCUUGACCAUAUCAAAUACCUCAGCACCAGUGCGUUCUGCAGGCUUCGGCCGGUGAUCUGCCUUGCCGUUGUAAUGCUUGCCUUUCUUUCUUACUGGAUGAAUUUUCGGAAGAAAUCGACGAUGCCCAAGGUACACGUUCUUCUUACAAUUUGGCAAAUGUACACUUUCAGUCUCAUGUAAGCAGUGCGUGCAUGCAUUGUAUCCCUUAUUUGACAGUCCCGAAAGGUUACUAAGAGCAGGCCAAUCGUUGAUGGUUACGAAAAGCAACGCUCGUAGGUCAAAUUCUUCUUCUUUGUGCUCAUCCCACACACGGACACCAGGUCUGCCCCACAGCUGUAAAAGUUCAUCAACUAAUGGCCUUAGGUACACAUCGAUGUCGUUGCCGGGUUGCUUCAGACCUUGGAUGAGCACUGGCAUCAUAAUGAACUUCCGCUUCAUGCACAACCAAGGAGGAAGGUUGUAGAUGCAUAGAGUCACGGGCCAGGUGCUAUGCACUACUAGGAAAAGGGCUAUAGAUGGAAAUGACACUAAUGGCGCACCAGACAUGUGGUGCGCCAUUAGUAUAUACUAAUGGCGCACCACCUUCUGAUGCGCCAUUAGUGUUAAAACUACUAAUGGCGCACCCUGCCUACGGUGCGCCAUUAGUAUCACCAUUAUUUUUUUUGAACUAGUGCGCCUGUCCAAACGUACUAAUGGCGCACCGUGGGUGUGGUGCGCCAUUACUAGUUAAACUAGUAAUGGCGCACCAUGCCACGNNNNNNNNNNNNNNNNNNNNNNNNNNNNNNNNNNNNNNNNNNNNNNNNNNNNNNNNNNNNNNNNNNNNNNNNNNNNNNNNNNNNNNNNNNNNNNNNNNNNNNNNNNNNNNNNNNNNNNNNNNNNNNGGAUCGCCUUUUCAGUUUAAAAAAAAUAAAGCAAAAUGAUAAAAAUGUCAAAAAAAUAAAAGAAAAUAAGUUUCGCAUGUGAUAUGUGGCCUAGUUGUUGGGAAAAUUUGCAAAUAUGAAUUUUGACUUCAUUUGCAAAAUCUCGCGAGAAUUUGUAAAAAUGGGCAUAACUUUUGCAUACUAACUCGGAUGAAAAAGUUUUUUAUAUGGAAAAUCAUCUACUCGAAAAGUUACAUCCAAAAUCCUCAAAAACCUAACAGAAAAAAAGAUACGGGGCUUUUAAGAUCUAGAGAGGCAAAAAAAAUCAAAAAAAUUCAAACUUACUAAUGGCGCACCUGCCCAUGGUGCGCCAUUAGUAUCUUCCCGCCUUCAAAAUUCAAAAUAAAUCAAAAAAAUAAAAAAUUUUACUAAUGGCGCACCUGACCAUGGUGCGCCAUUAGUAUCUUCCCGCCUUCAAAAUUCAAAAUAAAUCAAAAAAAUAAAAAAAAAUUACUAAUGGCGCACCUGCCCGUGGUGCGCCAUUAGUAUCUUCCCGCCUUCAAAAUUUAAAAUAAAUCAAAAAAAAUAAAAAAAAAUUACUAAUGGCGCACCUGCCGGCGGUGCGCCAUUAGUAUGCCGUAUAUAUGGCUGGUCCUCUCCUCCUCUCUUCAUUUCAUCUUCCCUUCUCUCCUCCACCAUACUUCUCCUCUCCGGUGACCUCCUCCUCCUCUCCNNNNNNNNNNNNNNNNNNNNNNNNNNNNNNNNNNNNNNNNNNNNNNNNNNNNNNNNNNNNNNNNNNNNNNNNNNNNNNNNNNNNNNNNNNNNNNNNNNNNNNNNNNNNNNNNNNNNNNNNNNNNNNNNNNNNNNNNNNNNNNNNNNNNNNNNNNNNNNNNNNNNNNNNNNNNNNNNNNNNNNNNNNNNNNNNNNNNNNNNNNNNNNNNNNNNNNNNNNNNNNNNNNNNNNNNNNNNNNNNNNNNNNNNNNNNNNNNNNNNNNNNNNNNNNNNNNNNNNNNNNNNNNNNNNNNNNNNNNNNNNNNNNNNNNNNNNNNNNNNNNNNNNNNNNNNNNNNNNNNNNNNNNNNNNNNNNNNNNNNNNNNNNNNNNNNNNNNNNNNNNNNNNNNNNNNNNNNNNNNNNNNNNNNNNNNNNNNNNNNNNNNNNNNNNNNNNNNNNNNNNNNNNNNNNNNNNNNNNNNNNNNNNNNNNNNNNNNNNNNNNNNNNNNNNNNNNNNNNNNNNNNNNNNNNNNNNNNNNNNNNNNNNNNNNNNNNNNNNNNNNNNNNNNNNNNNNNNNNNNNNNNNNNNNNNNNNNNNNNNNNNNNNNNNNNNCUCCUCCUCCUCCUCUCCGGUGAGCUCCUCUCCGGCAAAAGACCAUGGCAACAAGAUCCAAAAACAGGAACAAAAUUUGAGAAUAUUGUCGUGCCAAGAAACAAGCAAAAAAAAACGAGCAAAAAAUGGGCAAAAAAUCACGAUCCAGAUCUAGAUUCAAAAUGGCGCAUCACAGGAAAGUGCGCCAUUAGUAUGCCGCGGUUACUAAUGGCGCAUCCAGUUGUGGUGCGCCAUUAGUAUCCAAAGCACCUGGCCCCUGGGAGGCAUACUAAUGGCGCACCGUGGCCUAUACUAAUGGCGCACCACUGGUGCGCCAUUAGUAAAAAUUACUAAUGGCGUGCUGUUAGUGGCGCACCACAGAUGCGCCAUUAAUGGCCAUAUUAGGUGCGCCAUUAGUAGGUGUUUUUCUAGUAGUGAUGGCUGGAGCUCUGCUCGCCAAAAGGAUUCAUGCCAUCUGUACUUAGACCAAAUCUUAUGUUCCUUGCGUCAGCUGCAAAAUCUUUGAACUCUCUGUCGAUCUUUCUCCAUUGCGUUCCAUCUGCGGUGUGUCUCAACUCCCCGUCCGACUUACGGUCCUCUUUGUGCCAUCGCAACAACUUGGCAUGCUCUUUGUUCCUGAACAGACGUUUCAACCGUGGUAUUGUAGGAGCAUACCACAUCACCUUGGCGGGAACCCUCUUCCUGGGUUUCUCGCCCCCAACAUCGUCACCAGGGUCAUCGCCUCUGAUCUUAUAACGCAAUGCAGUGCAUACCGUGCAUUCAUUCAAAUUCUCGUAUUCACCGCGGUAGAGGAUGCAGUCGUUGAUGCAUGCAUGUAUCUUCAGAACCUCUAAACCUAGAGGGCAGACAACCUUCUUUGCUUCGUACGUACUGGCGGGCAACUCGUUAUUCUUUGGAAACAUAUUCUUCAACAUUUUCAGCAAGUUUUCAAAUGCCGAGUCAGCUACACCUGCCUGUGCCUUCCAUUUCAGCAAAUCCAGUGUGCAGCCCAGCUUUUUCAGACCAUCAUCGCAUCCGGGGUACAACGACUUUCUGAAAUCCUAUAACAUGCGAUCCAAAUUCUCCCUCUCCUUUUCAGUUUCGCAGCGUCUCCGUGCAUCAGCAAUGGUCCGACCAAGAUCAUCAACGGUCUCAUCACGUGCCUCUUCUUCACCUUCACCUUCCCCUUCACCUUCCCCUUCACCUUCAGCAUCCUCCAUGAAAGUAUCACCGAAAUGAGCAAGAUAGCUUUCAUCGAUGAAAUCAUCCCCUUCUUCAUCUUCUUCCAUUAUAACCCCUCUUUCUCCAUGCUUGGUCCAACAAUUAUAGCUUGGCAUGAAACCGUGCCGAAGCAGGUGCAGGUGAACUUCUCUUGAGGAAGAGUAACCCUUCUGAUUCUUACAGUCAACACAUGGACAGAUAACAAAACCCUUCUGCUUGUUCGCAUUAGCCACUACGAGGAAAUCUUUCAAACUCGUAGUGAACUCGCGGGAGAGUCGGUUACCGUACAUCCAUUGCCGAUUCAUCUGCAUUAUUAUAAUAUAAAAUAUAUAAUUAACCAUCAUGCAUUUGUUAAACUAACUAGCUAUAAACAAUAGAAAUUAAACAAUGAACAACACACAUGCAUAUUUUAUCAAUGACACACAUGCAUGAAAGGUUCAAGUUGCUAACCGCGAUCGAGGAGGAAAAAAAAUGAGGAACCUCAAGUGUGGCUCCAACACUUCAUAUCAUGUUUGUUUCACGCUCUUGGGGCAUUUCAUCAAACACCUUGUGUGCAUAAGAGGAACCAAAAGCAAACCUACACCCCCUUGUGAAGCUUGUGAAGAGAAGUGGCACCAAAUGGCUAAGUGAGUGUGCUGAACUGGUAUAUAUAGGGGAGGAGCUUUAGUCGCGGUUGGCCUGGCCAACCGCGACUAAAGGCCUUUGGGCACCUUUAGUCGCGGUUGGCCUGGCCAACCGCGACUAAAGCCCCUCACGUGCACCAGCUGGCCACCGAGCGCCCUGGGCCCAGGCCUUUGGUCGCGGUUCGUCUGCCGAACCGCGACUAAAGACUUCAUUAGUCAUGGUUCCUACAGUUUCGCGACUAAUGGGGCUGGACGGAAGCCUCUUUUUCUACCAGUGAGAUUUUGUGUCAUGUGUAUUUGGAUUGCUUCCACACAUGUUUGGCAAAAAAAACUGUGGCUUAUGUUUGGUUUCUUGCCACAUCUGGUUAGAAUCACCUUAGUGCUAGAGUGGUGAGAUUAUGCCAUUUUUGUUACAAACCAAUCAGAUUACAACAUGCUCUAGUAAAUGUAAGAAGAUUUUGUACAUUACUAAUAGCCACAAAAAAUAACAUGGAUCAUUUUCCGUUAAAUACCAUCUGUGCAAAAUAAGUCACAGCCACAAUUUAGUAUCAAGAUACAAAAUAAGAUAGAUGCAUGCAAGUUCCAGCCAUCAUUCAUAAAGUCAUGAAGUAACAGUCCUAACCAUAGCACAAGUUCCAGCCACCUUACAUUAAAGUGUUUCGCUACACAUCAACAGAUCAAUAGGUGUAGCACAAGUUCAACUCCCAAAAGCAGCGAGCAGACACAUCACAAUCUCCUAAAUACCAAAAGUUGCCAUCUUCUAAACAUCACACGUGAGCAACUAGCAAACCACACAGGUUGCUAUCUCCUAAACAUCAUCUUUGUCAAAGAACUUCCAAACCCAAGUUUCAAAAGUUUUGUCACUUGCACAACAUAACCAACCACGCAAACCUUCAUUGUUCUUGCUAGACAAGUGCAUACCAAUAGUAAUUCUUUGAUCCAUGGUAAUUGGGAGUACCUCCAACCUGUGCCAUAAACUAGCAUAUGGGUCAAUAACUUGGGGCAUUUGAGGAGCAGGGGCAGCAAGAGAUUGCUGGAGUGACUUCAAUGUAGAGUUGAUUUCUUCAGCGGACUCCGCGAAAGACUCUUGAUUUUUUGUCGCUUCUUACUAGGCGACCUGCUACCUCUUGGGCGCUUCGUACCAACUCGGCUACUGCUAGAUGAGGAAUUAUCAGCACGUACAUGAACUGGAGGUCUUUUAAGACCAUAUGUUGUUGGCAAAGUGUCAGAAUCCUCCUCAAGAGGGCCCUCAUAUAGUCAUAUUGUGGAUAGCAAUUAAGGUCAUACAACCCUUCAUCAUUAUCCGAGUCAUGAGAAUCAAUUGUGCAUGUAUGCUGGUCCAUGGCUAAAGAACCAUCAGCACUAGUGCCUGUGAAUAGCUCUUGCAUCUCGUAGAUGCAAGAGAGGCAAAACCAAGCAGCUGCUAGACUAGGAAAUCCUGCAGAUCACGGAAGAAGGCUGCUAUUUUUCUCUUGAAAAAACAAGAACGCCCAGAUCUGCAUGUUUGAGAUGAAUAGUAGGUGAUGAGAUAGACGAGAUGGCGGAGAUUACUAUUGCGGUGGUGAGGAUUUUUACCAGGGAAGAGAAGGUCAAUUGUAGCGGCGAGCUCCUCCUCAGUUGGAUCGGUCAGGAGAGAGAAGGGCUCUCAUCCAUGGCGGUCAAGAUUGUGUGAAGCAGAGUUUCGGGGGAGGAAACAGGGAAGCGAUGACUUUAUUAAUCAGGCCCGCGGGGAUUUUCACGGCUUCUUUGGCGCGCCACGGCGAGUAUGGCGGGCAAAUCGAGCGCCACACAUUUGGCGAAUUUUUCUGCGGCAAAGGCCCUGUGGCGCUGUGGCGAGUCUAACCUUGAUGGAGAACCAAACGCCUGCCUACGAAGUCGUGGCACGCCUCACCUUAGGCGUGGAGAGCUGAGGCUCUGAACCAAACAGCCUCCUAAUCUUCCCGCGGACCGACGCGCCGACGACAACGAGUGAAACCGGCGGCGCUUGUGAUCAAAUCAGCACCGUUGUGCCUAACUUUAGAUCGACCGAGAUCUCCUUUUUCUUGCUAGCUAGCUUUGGCACGCAAAAAAGGACGAGGGAGGACCGGAGGAUACCUCCAACAAACAACAUCAAAUCCUGUGGUCUGUGGAUUUCCAACCAUAGUUUUGGAUAACCUGCCGCUCCCGGAAAGAAAGCGUGCAGUGGCACCCCCUGCCUUUCCCACCAACUCAGUUCACCACUCCAAUCCAAGUCCAAACGAGUCAGCAGAGUACCCACGGUUUGCACCCAAAACCGUGCGUGGCCGCCACCUUUUUGCUCCCUAUAAAUACAUGGCUAGCUCCUCGUCCUCGAAGCAUCAAGCAACAGCCAGCCAGCCAGCCCAUCUCUUCUCACUCGAUCAUCGCACUCUUUGUGCUGAGCCGUUUCUGUACAGGAUCACGGCGAAGAUGUCGACGACGGCCACCGUCGCCCGCGCCCACCUUGAGAACAAGCUCGCCCUCGCCAAACGCUGCUCCAGAGGUACGUAGGAAUCAGGAUCCACUUCUUCAGAGUUCAGUUCAGUUCAGCCAAGUUGUGUGCUGAUAGUCUGACACUAGCAAUGCAUUUCUCUUUUUAAAAUCUUCCCCAGAGGCGACGCUCGCCGGAGCCAAGGCGGCGGCCGUCGCCGCGGUCGCGUCUGCGGUGCCAACGGUGAGCUCAUCCGUCCAACGGUAGUUGCUGAUUUUCAUGCACGUUGGACUCUGAUUUUCGUGACUGUUAUACUCAUGCAGCCGGCGAGCGUGCGGAUGCUGCCGUGGGCCAAGGCGAACCUGAACCCCACCGGCCAGGCGCUCAUCGUCUGCACCGUCGCCGGGAUGGCCUACUUCAUCGCCGCCGACAAGGCCAUCCUCUCGCUGGCGAGGAGGCACUCGUACGAGAGCGCCCCCGACCACCUCAAGGACACCUCCUUCCAUGGUGGUGCCGCCGCAGCUCGUCCCCGUCCGCCGGCAUUCUUCAGGCCUUGAGCUAGUAUUAUCCUGCUUGUGCCGUUGCGCGUAUUCUAGAAAAAAUGUAUGCAUCAUUGUCAGUGUCCCAAGAAACCGCUGCCGCAUGAAUAUCUGACGCCGAAAUGUAUGUAUAUCCGUGUACUGAAUGAAACAGAGGGCUCGAUCCUGGUUUCAUAUAUGCUGUGUACGACAGACUUCAGAAGUUCAGAUAUCGACGAAGAAGAUGGGAUCAUAUAAUAUAAGCUGUGUAUUCCCAUCCAUUGCAGCUUAUGCGACUGCUGAAACUUGAUCUUGAUUAACAUUCCUACGUCGAUCCCAAACUGCAGAGGCCGCCAUGGCGGGAGCCAAGGCCGCGGUCGUCGCCACCGUCGCUGCCGCAGUCUCCAUAGUUUUUUUUUAAGAUCCAGCAAAUUGCUGACUUCAAUUAGAUUAAGCAGAAAACAGCAGAAAAACAACAUGAAAAGGAUCCAAAGAUCAAAGAGAAAAGAAAAACGGCAAUCCUAUUGGCCGCCGAACAACACUACCCUUACAAGACGGAACGCCAUCCACUCACAGCAGGACAACGCAGCUCAGACUCUGGCGGAGAACUACAAAAAGCAAAGAAAUAUUGGCAUCACGGAAGAUCACCGAACGGACCACUUGUCGCUCGUCAUUGUACACCACCGGUGCCCCGCACCGCAGCUUCGACUUCACAUCAACAAGCAGCCGAGGUAGUCUCAAGGAUACGCCGGAGAAGAGCCGACUACCACGACCAAUGCCACGCCUCCGACAAUGCUCACCACCGUUAUCGUUGCCACAGAAGCCAAACCGCCCCAUUGCCGGACGGACACGACCGAGCAGCACAAACAACCUCCCCCACCUAUCACUGGUCCCUCUGGCCGGUAAGGAGCUCCUGGAACGAUGCCCCAAGAGGUGCGAUGCACGUCGCCGUCAUCGUCCGGUUCUAGGGGAUCAAGGGUUUCCCUCGAGCAUCCUUGCGUAGUGGAGCGAGCAGGAACGCCUCAGCGACGCCUUCAAAAAGGAAACGGCGCCCGCAGGCGUCGCAGUCGCUUGCCCCAGCCCAAGGGCCGGCAGCAAAGUCUUCACCCGGCGCUGCACCUCCAACCACCAAACCCGAGCCAGACCAUCACCACAGACACACGGUCGGCGGCCGCCGGCCCCACGCGCCCAACGUCCGCCGCAACCACCUUCAAAACUGGACGCCGGGGCCUAGGUCUUCAUCGCUGCCGCCGGUCCACGCCAGAUAGAGCCGCCGGCCCCAUGCACCCGACGGUCGUCACGGCCUCCUCGCAGAACAGGACGCCGAGGCCCGAUCUGCUUCGCACCGCCAUGGAGCCCAACUAGCCGACGGCCGCCGGUGCACAGAGCCGUCUACAGCCCACGCGGCGCCGAGAAGCUGGCUCCCGCCUGACCCAUCUCCUCUGCCGCAGCAUCGAGCAAGAGCCCGUCCGACGGCAGCCCUCUUCAGAUCCAGCAGGGGCUCGCCCGCGACCCGCGCGACCACCACAUGCCCCAGACCGCAGCCAUCCCCGCCUCGCCGCUCCAUUAGUAUAUCUCACGGUGCGCCAUUACUAACAAUUUUUUUCAUUUUUUUUAGAAUUUUUUUUCAUUUUUUUUUCAAUUUUUUUUUGUUUUUUUCUUAAUCUCGAGUCAAUCUUAAUCUCAGGUCAAAUCGCACUCUAUGGUCAAACUUCCCGAAAGGUCACCCAUCGUCACACUACUCCAGCCCGAGCACGCUUAACUUUGCAGUUCUAUCCAACCCCAGCACCAGCUCACUUCACGAGCACUUGUUGAUACAUAUAUCAUAUCAAUCCUAUUAAACCGUGUUGAUGUCUAGGACUUUGUUCAUGUUCAUGAGUGUGAUGAAAUUUUGAAAAAAUAUUUCAAACUUCCGGUCAUAUUACGUAUCAUAUUUUGAAAAAAAUUCCAAUAUUUUUUUGAAACCAAUUUUUUUCUGUUACUAGUGGCGCACCUAGCAAAUGGUGCGCCACUAGUAAGUUUGAAUGUUCUUUCAUUUUCCCCCCCUCUAGAUCUUAAAAGCCCCGUAUCUUUCAUUCUGUCAGGGUUUGGGGGAUUUUGAAGAUGUUGAAAGGGGUUCCCCAGUUCAAUUCGUAUGUAACUUUUCGAGUAGAUGAUUUUUUAUAUAAAAAACUUUUUAAUCUGAGUUCGUAUGCAAAAGUUAUGCCCAUUUUACUAAUUUUCCCAACAACUAGACCACAUAUCACAUGGGAAAAUUAUUUUCUUUUUUUACAUUUCCAGCAUUUUCUUUUAUUUUUUAAAAAAUUGAAAAGACGGUCCAUGGGGGGGUGCAUUUAGCACCAGGGUUACUAAUGGCGCACCUGAUGUGUGGUGCGCCAAUAGUAAUUUUGAAAAAAAGAUGUUAGUAAUGGCGCAACAGUGGAUGAUGACCCACAAGUAUAGGGGUUCUAUCAUAGUCCUUUCGAUAAGUAAGAGUGUCGAACCCAAUGAGGAGCAGAAGGAAAUGAUAAGCGGUUUCCAGCAAGGUAUUCUCUGCAAGUACUGAAAUAAGUGCUAACAGAUAGUUUUGUGAUAGGAUAAUUUGUAAAGAGCAACAAGUAACAAAAGUAAAUAAAGUGCAGUAAGAUGGCCCUAUCCUUUUUGUAGCAAAGGACAGGUCUGGACAAACUCUUAUAUGAUGUAAAGCGCUCCCGAGGACACAUGAGAAUAUCGUCGAGCUAGUUUUCAUCACGUUCAUAUGAUUCGCGUUCGGUACUUUGAUAAUUUGGUAUGUGGGUGGACCGGUGCUUGGGUACUGCCCUUACUUGGACAAGUAUCCCACUUAUGAUUAACCUCUAUUGCAAGCAUCCGCAACUAUAACAAAAGUAUUAAGGUAAACCUAACCAUAGCAUGAAACAUAUGGAUCCAAAUCAGCCCCUUACGAAGUAACACAUAAACUAGGGUUUAAACUUCUGUCACUCUAGCAACUCAUCAUCUACUUAUUACUUCCCAAUGCCUUCCUCUAGGCCCAAAUAAUGGUGAAGUGUCAUGUAGUCAACGUUCACAUAACACCACUAGAGGAGAGAUAACAUACAUCUCAUGAAAAUAUCGAACGAAUACCAAAUUCACAUGACUACUAAUAGCAAGACUUCUCCCAUGUCCUCAGGAACAAAAGUAACUACUCACAAAGCAUAAACAUGUUCAUAAUCAGAGGGGUAUUAAUAUGCAUAUAGGAUCUGAACAUAUGAUCUUCCACCAAUUAAACAAACUAGCAUCAACUACAAAGAGUAAUUAACACUACUAGCAACCUACUAGCACCAAUCCCGGACUUGGAGACAAGAAUUGGAUACAAGAGAUGAACUAGGGUUUUGAGAGGAGAUAGUGCUGAUGAAGAUGUUGAUGGAGAUUGCCCUCUCCCGAUGAGAGGAGCGUUGGUGAUGACGAUGGCGAUGAUUUCCCCCCUCCGGGAGGGAAGUCUCCCCGGCAGAACAACUCCGCCAGAGCCCUAGAUUGGUUCUGCCAAGGUUCCGUCUCGUGGCGGCGGAGUUUCGUCCGAGAAGAUGGCUUAUGAUUUUUUUUCCCAUCGAAAGACUCCAUAUAGCAGAAGAUGGCCACCGGAGGGCCACCAGGGGGCCCACGAGGUAGGGGGCGCGCCUAGGGGGGUAGGGCGCGCCCCCACCCUCGUGGGCAGGGUGUGGCCCCCCUGGUGAGGUUCUUGCUUUCAGUAUUUUUUAUAUAUUUAGAAAACGUAUUCCGUGAAGUUUCAGGACUUUUGGAGUUGUGCAGAAUAUGUCUCUAAUAUUUGCUCCUUUUCCAGCCCAGAAUCCCAGCUGCCGGCAUUCUCCCUCUUUAUGUAAACCUUGUAAAAUAAGAGAGAAUAGACAUAAGUAUUGUGACAUAAUGUGUAAUAACAGCCCAUAAUGCAAUAAAUAUCGAUAUAAAAGCAUGAUGCAAAAUGGACGUAUCAACUCCCCCAAGCUUAGACCUCGCUUGUCCUCGGAAAAUAUGUCCACAUGUUUAGAGAUAGAGGUGUCGAUAAAAAUAAAAUACGGACAUGAGGGCAUCAUGAUCAUUCUUAGAACAACAACUUAUAUAAUUCUUGUCAUAUAAUCUCUUAUGCUAGAGUAAUAAUUCAAUCACAAUAUCAAGUAUGAAUCGUAAACUUCAUUGAAAACUAACAAACUACAAUCUCAGUCAUUGAAGCAAUUGCAAUUUAUCAUAACAUAGGAAAGAGUCAAUGUAUAAGAGCUUUUCAGCAAGUCGACAUACUCAACUAUCAUAUAGUCUUUCACAAUUGCUGGCACUCAUGCAAUACUUAUGGGUAUGGAGUUUUAAUCGGACACAGAGAAAGAUAGGGGCUGAUAGUUUUGCCUCCCAACAUUUUAACUCAAGGGUAGUGUCAACAGUAAUAGUUCAUGAAAAUUCACAUCCAAUUAGCCAUAUAUACCAGGAUCUUUCCAACAUAUGGUGCUUGCCAAAGGAUAAAAUGUAAAAAGGAAGGGUGAAGAUCACCAUGACUCUUAUGCAAUGUAGGAGAUAAAAGUAAAAGAUAGGCCCUUCGCAGAGGGAAGCAGAGGUUGUCAUGCGCUUUUAUGGUUAGAUGCACAAAAUCUUAAUGCGAAAGAACAUCACUUUAUAUUGCCACUUGUGAUAUGGACCUUUAUUAUGCAGUCUGUCGCUUUUAUUACUUCCAUAUCACACGAUCAUAUAAAGCUUAUUUCCUCCACACCAAUCAAUCAUACAUAUUUAGAGAGCAAUUUUUAUUGCUUUGCACCGAUGACAACUUACUUAAAGAAUCUUAUUCAAUCCAUAGGUAGAUAUGGUGGACUCUUAUGGCAAGACUGGUUUAAGGGUAUUUGGAAGCACAAGUAGUAUCUCUACUUGGUGCAAUGAAUUUGGCUAGUAUGAGGGGGAAAAGCAAGCUCAUCAUGUUGGAAGAUCCAAGACAAUAUAAUUCAUCUCAGAUGUAAGACAACAUAACCCAUUACGUUGUCUUCCUUGUCCAAUGUCAACUCUUUAGCAUGUCAUAUUUUAACGAGUGCUCACAAUCAUAAAAGAUGUCCAAGUAGUAUAUCUAUAUGUGAAGACCUCUCUUUCAUUAUUACUUCCUAUUAAUUGCAACGAUGACCAAAAGUGUGUUUGUCAACCCUCAACAACUUUUAUUCAUCAUACUCUUUCUAUGUGAUCUCAUUACUCUCCAUAAGACUCACAUGAUCUCUUCGUUUCUUUUUAUUUCUUUCUCUUUUCUUUUAUUCACUUAAGAUCAUGGUAAAAUAAUCAAGCCCUUGACUCAACACUAAUCUUUAUUAUAUAGCUCACGGACUCGAUUACAUAGAAGGAUAAUAAAGCAAAACUCACAACUAGAUCAUACUAAGAACUUUUAUUCUACUAGAUCAAGAUAUUACCAAAAGGAUCGAACUAAGAAAAAAACGGUAAAGAUAAAAGUGAUGGUGAUACGAUAUCAUGGCACUCCCCCAAGCUUGGCAGUUGCCAAGUGGAGUGCCCACACUAGAUAAUCAAUUCUUCUUUGUUGGUGAAGAAGGUGAGGAUGUUGAUGACGGAUAGUCGCACAUUGAGCGCAUGAGGUCUUCUAACUUGCGGAUAAUGCCUUUGAGUGCGAUGAUGUGCUCCUUCAAGAAAACAUUUUCACGUGUGAGAUACUUAUUUUGUAUACGAGCUAACUCAAUCAUCUUGAAAGCUUCGCUUUUUGUUGGGGUAAGAAGAUUGUGAUUCAGUUGAAGGGUGCCUUCUGUUGCCGGAACUUGGUCCUCCAUGGCCUUAUUGAUCCCUUCAUCCUUGUUGAUCUCCAUGGGUUCUUCUCUCUUCAGCUCUAUCUUCAUUAGCCAAGCAUCGUUGCCCUCAUGGUUGGAGGAGGAGGGAGAUGAUAUAGUGCCUGGCCUUGACAACCCUGACAAAAAACAGCUCGAAACAAAGACAGGAGAUUUUUGCGUGAUACAGGAGUCAAAACCUCCGGGAGAUUAUAUAAUGAAUUUUCACCGACCAAAAUACGUGUCAUGUACGAAAACAGAGUCCGGAGAGCACACGAGGUGCCCACGAGGUAGGGGGCGCGCCCAGUAGGGUAGGGUGCGCCCUCCACCCUCGUGGAGCCCUCGUGUCCUUCCCGGACUGCUGCUUAUUUUUCUAUUUUUCUAAACAUUCCAAAACGGAGAAAUAUUGCCUUAAAACUGUUUUGGAGUCGGUUUACUUACCGUACCACAUACCUAUUCCUUUUCGGAGUCUGAAAUGUUCCGGAAAGUGUCCCUUAUGUAUUCCUCCGGGGUUAUGGUUUCAAUAACAUUGGUUUCAACAUUUAUGGGAUUACCUGAGAUAUAAUGUUUGAUUCUUUGACCGUUCACCACCUUUGGAUUUGUGCCUUCGAAGUUGUUGAUUUUCAUGGCACCGGAACGGUAGACCUCCUCGAUAACGUAAGGGCCUUCCCAGUUAGAGAGAAGUUUUCCUGCAAAAAAUCUUAAACAAGAGUUGUAUAUCAAUACAUAAUCACUGAUACGUCUCCAACGUAUCUAUAAUUUUUGAUUGCUCCAUGCUAUAUUAUCUACUGUAUUGGACGUUAUUGGGCUUUAUUAUCCAAUUUUAUAUUAUUUUUGGGACUAACCUAUUAACCGGAGGCCCAGCCCAGAAUUGCUGUUUUUUUGCCUGUUUUAGGGUUUCGAAGAAAAGGAAUAUCAAACGGAGUCCAAACGGAAUGAAACCUUCGGGAACGUGAUUUUCUCACCGAAUACAACUCAGGAGACUUGGACCCUACGUCAAGGCACGUAACAGGAGGCCACGAGGUAGGGGCGCGCGCCCUACCCUACCAGGCGCGCCCCCACCCUCGUGGGCCCCCUGUUGCUCCACCGACGUACUUCUUCCUCCUAUAUAUACCCACGUACCCCCAAACGAUCAGAUACGGAGCCAAAACCCUAAUUCCAUCACCGCAACUUUCUGUAUCCACGAGAUCCCAUCUUGGGGCCUAUUCCGGAGCUCCGCCGGAGGGGGAAUCGAUCACGGAGGGCUUCUACAUCAACACCAUAGCCUCUCCGAUGAAGUGUGAGUAGUUUACUUCAGACCUACGGGUCUAUAGUUAGUAGCUAGAUGGCUUCUUCUCUCUUUUUGGAUCUCAAUACAAUGUUCUCCCCCUCUCUUGUGGAGAUCUAUUCGAUGUAAUCUUCUUUUGCGGUGUGUUUGUUGAGAUCGAUGAAUUGUGGGUUUACGAUCAAGUCUAUCUAUGAAUAAUAUUUGAAUCUUCUCUGAAUUCUUUUAUGUAUGAUUGGUUAUCUUUGCAAGUCUCUUCGAAUUAUCAGUUUGGUUUGGCCUACUAGAUUGAUCUUUCUUGCAAUGGGAGAAGUGCUUAGCUUUGCCUUCAAUCUUGCGGUGUCCUUUCCGGUGACAAUAAGGGCAGCAAGGCACGUAUUGUAUUGUUGCCAUCGAAGAUAACAGGAUGGGGUUUUCUUCAUAUUGCAUGAGUCUAUCCCUCUACAUCGUGUCAUCUUGCUUAAGGCGUUACUCUGUUUUUACUUAAUACUCUAGAUGCAUGCUGGAUAGCGGUCGAUGAGUGGAGUAAUAGUAGUAGAUGCAGGCAGGAGUCAGUCUACUUGUCUCGGACGUGAUGCCUAUAUACAUGAUCAUACCUAGAUAUUCUCAUAACUAUGCUCAAUUAUGUCAAUUGCUCAACAGUAAUUUGUUCACCCACCGUAGAAUACUUAUGCUCUCGAGAGAAUCCACUAGUGAAACCUAUGGCCCCCGGGUCUAUCUUUAUCAUAUCAAUCUCCUACUACUUAGUUAUUUACUUUGCUAUUUACUUUGCCUUUAUUUUACUUUGCAUCUUUAUCAUAAAAAAUACCAAAAAUAUUAUCUUAUCAUAUCUAUCAGAUCUCACUCUCGUAAGUGGCCCUAUAGGGAUUGACAACCCCUAUUUGCGUUGGUUGCGAGGAUUUAUUUGUUUUGUGCAUGUACGAGGGACUUGCGCGUAGCCUCCUACUAUAUUGAUACCUUGGUUCUCAAAAACUGAGGGAAAUACUUACGCUACUUUGCUGCAUCAUCCCUUCCUCUUCGGGGAAAACCAACGCAGUGCUAAAAGAGGUAGCAAGAAGGAUUUCUGGCGUCGUUGCCGGGGAGGUCUACGCAAGAGUCAACAUACCAAGUACCCAUCACAUACCCUUAUCUCCCGCAUUACAUUAUUUGCCAUUUGCCUCUCGUUUUCCUCUCCCCCCACUUCACCCUUGCCAUUUUAUUCGCCCUCUCUCUAUCCUCCCUCUCUAUUUGCCUUCUUUUGCCCGCUUGCUUUCUGUUUGCUUGUGUGUUAGUUUGCUUGCUUGUUGCGAUGGCUCUACCUAAAUUUGGUGACCUUCAGCUUAAAAGGUUAGAAGAAAUCGAAAAUAAUGUUAGGAGUUUCAUGGUUUUGCAAUUUGAACAUAAUAGUUUCUUCAGAAACGAGCUUAAAGAACAGAAAAGUUUUAUGAAUAAAGAGCUCGAUGAUAUGUCUAAGAAUUCGAUGGUUUAAGAUCCCAACUUGCUCAUCUUGAGAAAUUAACUACUGAAAUUUCGGAUAAACAGGCUACCCUAGUUAAUAAGAUGGCCGCUAAACCAAGUUUCUAUGAAAAUAAUGAUGAAGAUCUAAAAGUUCUUGAUGUGUCCCCUAUUAAAUCUUUGUUUUGCAAUAUGAAUCUUGAUAAUGAUGGGACUGAAUAUGAUCCACCUUUACCUAGUAGGCGUUCCAAGAAUUCUGAAUCUUUUGAUCUUGAUGCUAAAUUUGAUAAAAGGUGAAAAUUGCUCUUUGAUUGAUUGUAUUUCCUUGUUACAAUCCGUGCUAAAUGCUCCUCACGCUUAUAGUCAAAAUAAAGCGUUUACUAAACAUAUCGUUGAUGCCUUGAUGCAAUCUUAUGAAGAAAAACUUGAAUUGGAAAUUUCUAUCCCUAGAAAACUUUAUGAUGAGUGGAAUCAACUAUUAAAAUUAAAAUUGAAGAUCAUGAAUGCUAUGCUUUAUGUGAUUUGGGUGCUAGUGUUUUCACGAUUCCAAAGACUUUGUGUGAUUUGUUAGGUUUCCGUGAUUUUGAUGAUUGCUCUUUAAACUUGCACCUUGUGGAUUCCACUAUCAAGAAACCUAUGGGAAGAAUUAAUGAUGUUCUUAUUGUUGCAAAUAGGAAUUAUGUGCCCAUAAAUUUUAUUGUUCUUGACAUAGAUUGUAAUCCUUCAUGUCCUAUUAUUCUUGGUAGACCUUUCCUUAGAACAAUUGGUGCAAUUGUUGAUAUGAAGGAAGGAAAUAUUAGAUUCCAAUUUUCAUUAAGGAAAGGCAUGGAACACUUUCCUAGAAAGAAAAUUAAAUUACCUUUUGAAUCUAUUAUGAGAGUCACUUAUGGAAUGCCUACCAAAGAUGGCAAUACCUAGAUCUAUUCUUGCUUGUUAUGCUUAGCUAGGGGCGUUAAACGAUAGCGCUUGUUGGGAGGAAACCCAAUUUUAUUUUUAUUCCUUGCUUUUUUUCCUAUUUAGUAAUAAAUAAAUUAUCUAGCCUCUGUUUUGGUUGUAUUUUUUGUGUUUAAUUAGUGUUUGUGCCAAGGAGAACCAUUGGGAAGACUUGGGGAAAGUCUUGUUGAACUUGCUGUAAAAAACAGAAACUUUACCACUCACUAGAAUUGCUGUCAUUUUUAUUUGGAGAGUGAUAUUUAGUUAAUUAUUUUUGCAGAUGAUUAAUAGAUAAAUUCCUCACGUCCAGCAAUUUAUUUUAGAAUUUUUGGGGGUUCCAGAUCUUGCGCUAGCUACAGAUUACUACAGACUAUUCUGUUUUUGACAGAUUCUGUUUUUCGUAUGUUUGUUUGCUUAUUUUGAUGAAUCUAUGGCUAGUAAAAUAGUUUAUAAAUCAUAGAGAAGUUGGAAUACAGUAGGUAUAACACCAAUAUAAAUAAAGAAUGAGUUCUUUACAGUACCUUGAAGUGGUCUUUUGUUUUCUUUCGCUAACGGAACUCACGAGAUUUUCUACUUUAAGUUUUGUGUUGUGAAGUUUUCAAGUUUUGGGUAAAGAUUUGAUGGAUUAUGGAACAAGGAGUGGCAAAGCCUAAGCUUGGGGAUGCCCAUGGCACCCCCAAGAUAAUCUAAGGACACCUAAAAGCCAAAGCUUGGGGAUGCCCCGGAAGGCAUCCCCUCUUUCGUCUACUUCUAUCGGUAACUUUACUUGGAGCUAUAUUUUUAUUUACCACAUGCUAUGUGUUUUGCUUGGAGCGUCUUGUAUUAUUUGAGUAUUUAUUUGUUUGUUUACCAAAUCAUCCUUGCUGUAAACACCUUUUGAGAGAGCCAUACAUGAUUUGGAAUUUGUUAGAAUACUCUAUGUUCUUCGCUUAUAUCUUUUGAGUUAUAUAAUUUUGCUCUAGUGCUUCACUUAUAUCUUUUAGAGCACGGUGGUGGAUUUGUUUUAUAGAAACUAUUGAUCUCUCAUGCUCCACUCAGAUUAUUUUGAGAGUCUUAAAUAGCAUGGUAAUUUUCUUAAAAGCCUAAUAUGCUUGGUAUGCAAGAUUAAUAAUAAAAUUUUCUUAUGAGUGUGUUGAAUACUAUGAUAAGUUUGAUACUUGAUAAUUGUUUUGAGAUAUGGAGAUGGUGAUACUAAAGUCAUGCUAGUUGAGUAGUUGUGAAUUUGAGAAAUACUUGUGUUGAAGUUUGUGAUUCCCGUAGCAUGCACGUAUGGUGAACCAUUAUGUGAUGAAGUCGGAGCAUGAUUUAUUUAUUGAUUGUCUUCCUUAUGAGUGGCGGUCGGGGACGAGCGAUGGUCUUUUCCUACCAAUCUAUCCCCCUAGGAGCAUGUGCGUAAUACUUUGCUUUGAUAACUUGUAGAUUUUUGAAAUAAGUAUAUGAGUUCUUUAUGGAUAAUGUUGAGUCCAUGGAUUAUAUGCACUCUCACCCUUCCACCUUUGCUAGCCUCUCUAAUACCGUGCACCUUUCGCCGGUAUCAUACACCCACCAUAUACCUUCCUCCAAACAGCCACCAUACCUACCUAUUAUGGCAUUUCCAUAGCCAUUCCAAGAUAUAUUGCCAUGCAACUUUCCACCGUUAUGUUUAUUAUGACACACUCCAUCAUUGUCAUAUUGCUUAGCAUGAUCAUGUAGUUGACAUAGUAUUUGUGGCAAAGCCACCAUUCAUAAUUCUUUCAUACUUGUCACUCAUGCAUCAUUGCAUAUCCUGGUACACCACCGGAUGCAUUCACAUAGAGUCAUAUUUUGUUCUAAGUAUCGAGUUGUAAGAAAAAUAAAAGUGUGAUGAUCAUCAUUAUUAGAGCAUUGUCCCAGUGAGGAAAGGAUGAUGGAGACUAUGAUUCCCCCACAAGUCGGGAUGAGACUCCAUACAAAAAAAGGAGAAAGAAAAGAGGCCAUGAAAAAAACAGAAAAGGCCCAAAUAAAAAAAUGAGAGAAAAAGAGAGAAGGGACAAUGUUACUAUCCUUUUACCACACUUGUGCUUCAAAGUAGCACCAUGAUCUUCAUAGUAGAGAGUAUCUCAUGUUAUCACUUUCAUAUACUAGUGGGAAUCUUUCAUUAUAGAACUUGGCUUGUAUAUUCCAAUGAUGGGCUUCCUCAAAUUGCCCUAGGUCUUCAUGAGCAAGCAAGUUGGAUGCACACCCACUCAGUUUCUUUUUGAGCUUUCAUAUACUUAUAGCUCUAGUGCAUCCGUUGCAUGGCAACCCCUACUCACUCACAUUGAUAUCUAUUGAUGGGCAUCUCCAUAGCCCUUUGAUACGCCUAGUUGAUGUGAGACUAUCUUCUCCUUUUUGUCUUCUCCACAACCACCACUCUAUUCCACCUAUAGUGCUAUAUCCAUGGCUCACGCUCAUGUAUUGCGUGAAAAUUGAAAAAGUUUUGAGAAUGUCAAAAGUAUGAAACAAUUGUUUGGCUUGUCAUCGAGGUUGUGCAUGAUUUAAAUAUUUUGUGUGGUGAAGAUAGAGCAUAGCCAGACUAUAUGAUUUUGUAGGGAUAACUUUCUUUAGCCAUGUUAUUUUGAGAAGACAUAAUUGCUUUGUUAGUAUGCUUGAAGUAUUAUUAUUUUCUAUGUCAAUAUGAACUUUUGUCUUGAAUCUUUCGGAUCUGAAUAUGCAUACCACAAUUAAGAAGAAUUACAUUAAAAUCAUGCCAAGUAGCACUCCGCAUCAAAAAUUCUGUUUUUAUCAUUUACCUACUCGAGGACGAGCAGGAAUUAAGGUUGGGGAUGGUUGAUAUGUCUCCAACGUAUCUAUAAUUUUUGAUUGCUCCAUGCUAUAUUAUCUACUGUUUUGGACAUUAUUGGGCUUUAUUAUCCACUUUUAUAUUAUUUUUGAGACUAACCUAUUAACCGGAGGCCGAGCCCAAAAUUGUUGUUUUUUGCCUGUUUUAGGGUUUCGAAGAAAAGGAAUAUCAAACAGAGUCCAAACAGAAUGAAACCUUCGGGAACGUGAUUUUCUCACCGAAUACAACUCAGGAGACUUGGACCCUACGUCAAGGCAUGUAACAGGAGGCCACGAGGUAGGGGGCGCGCCCUACCCUACCAGGCGCGCCCCCACCCUCGUGGGCCCCCUGUUGCUCCACCGACGUACUUCUUCCUCCUAUAUAUACCCACGUACCCCCAAACGAUCAGAUACGGAGCCAAAACCCUAAGUCCACCACCGCAACUUUCUGUAUCCACGAGAUCCCAUCUUGGGGCCUGUUCUGGAGCUCCGUCGGAGGGGGCAUCGAUCACGGAGGGCUUCUACAUCAACACCAUAGCCUCUCCGAUGAAGUGUGAGUAGUUUACUUCAAACCUACGGGUCCAUAGUUAGUAUCUAGAUGGCUUUUUCUCUCUUUUUGGAUCUCAAUACAAUGUUCUCCCCUCUCUUGUGGAGAUCUAUUCGAUGUAAUCUUCUUUUUGCGGUGUGUUUGUUGAGACCGAUGAAUUGUGGGUUUAUGAUCAAGUCUAUCUAUGAAUAAUAUUUGAAUCUUCUCUAAAUUCUUUUAUGUAUGAUUGGUUAUCUUUGCAAGUCUCUUCGAAUUAUCAGUUUGGUUUUGCCUACUAGAUUGAUCUUUCUUGCAAUGGGAGAAGUGUUUAGCUUUGGUUCAAUCUUGCGGUGUCCUUUCCCGGUGACAGUAAGGGCAGCAAGGCACGUAUUGUAUUGUUGCCAUCGAGGAUAACAAGAUGGGGUUUUCUUCAUAUUGCAUGAUUCUAUCCCUCUACAUCAUGUCAUCUUGCUUAAGGCGUUACUCUAUUUUUACUUAAUACUCUAGAUGCAUGCUGGAUAGCGGUCGACGAGUGGAGUAAUAGUAGUAGAUGCAGGCAGGAGUUGGUCUACUUGUCUCGGACGUGAUGCCUAUAUACAUGAUCAUACCUAGAUAUUCUCAUAACUAUGCUCAAUUCUGUCAAUUGCUCAAUAGUAAUUUGUUCACCCACCGUAGAAUACUUAUGCUCUCGAGAGAAGCCACUAGUGAAACUUAUGGCCCCCGCGUCUAUCUUUCUCAUAUCAAUCUCCUGCUACUUAGUUAUUUACUUUGCCUUUAUUUUACUUUGCAUCUUUAUCAUAAAAAAGACCAAAAAUAUUAUCUUAUCAUAUCUAUCAUAUCUCACUCUCGUAAGUGGCCCUAUAGGGAUUGACAACCCCUAUUUGCAUUGGUUGCGAGGAUUUAUUUGUUUUGUGCAGGUACGAUGGACUUGCGCAUAGCCUCCUAUUGGAUUGAUACCUUGGUUCUCAAAAACCGAGGGAAAUACCUACGCUACUUUGUUGCAUCAUCCCUUCCUCUUUGGGGAAUACCAACACAGUGCUAAAAGAGGUAGCAAUCACCUACAUUAAACUCACGCUUUUGUAUCCUUUUGUCGUGCCAUCUUUUAAGUUUUUCUUUAAACAACUUGGCAUUUUCGUAGGCUUGUGUUCUCCAUUCAUCAAGUGAGCUAAUAUCAAAUAAUCUCUUCUCACCGGCAAGUUUAAAAUCAUAAUUAAGUUCUUUAAUAUCCCAAUAAGCCUUAUGUUCUAGUUCGAGAGGUAAGUGGCAUGCUUUUCCAUAGACCAUUUUAUACGGAGACAUACCCAUAGGAUUUUUAUAUGCAGUUCUAUAGGCCCAUAAUGCAUCAUCAAGUUUCUUGGACCAAUUCUUUCUAGACCUAUUAACAGUCUUUUGCAAAAUUAAUUUGAGUUCUCUAUUACUCAAUUCUACUUGACCACUAGACUGAGGGUGAUAAGGAGAUGCAAUUCUAUGAUUAACAUCAUAUUUAGCAAGCAUUUUACGGAAAGCGCCAUGAAUAAAAUGUGAACCACCAUCAGUCAUUAAAUAUCUAGGGACUCCAAAUCUUGGAAAAAUAACUUCUUUAAGCAUUUUAAUAGAAGAAUUAUGAUCAGCACUACUAGUUGGAAUAGCUUCUACCCACUUAGUAACGUAAUCAAUAGCAACUAAAAUAUGUGUAUAACCAUUAGAGGAAGGAAAAGGUCCCAUAUAGUCAAAGCCCCAAACAUCAAAUGGUUCAAUAACAAGUGAAUAGUUCAUAGGCAUUUCUUGACAUUCAUCACAAGAUAAGACAAACUUAUGGGCAUCCUUGAAGAGAGUAGGCCAAUAAAAACCAGAUUGUAGUACCUUAUGUGCAGUUCUAUCUCCAGCAUGGUGUCCUCCAUAAGCUUCGGAGUGACACUUGCAUAGGAUCUGUUCCUGCUCAUGCUCAGGUACACAACGUCUAAUAACACCAUCUACUCCUUCUUUAUAAAGAUGUGGGUCAUCCCAAAACUAAUGUCUCAAAUCAUAGAAGAACUUUUUCUUUUUCUGGUAUGUGAAACUAGGUGGUAUAAACUUAGCAACAAUGUAAUUAGCAUAAUUAGCAUACCAUGGAGCAGUAUGAGAAGCAUUUAUGACAUUUAGUUGCUCAUCAGGAAAGCUAUCAUCAAUAGGAAGUGGGUCAUCAAGCACAUCUUCUAACCUAGACAAGUUGUCUGCAACAGGGUUCUCAGCUCCUUUUCUAUCAACAAUAUGUAAAUCAAAUUCUUGUAGCAAGAGAACCCAUCUAAUAAGUCUAGGUUUAGCAUCUUUCUUUUCCAUGAGAUAUUUAAUAGCAGCAUGAUCAGUGUGAAUAGUUACUUUAGAAUCAACAAUAUAAGGUCUGAACUUAAUUAUCACAAGCAAAUACAACUGCUAAGAAUUCUUUUUUAGUGGUACAUAAUUUCUUUGAGCAUUGUCAACGGUUUUACUAGCAUAUUGAAUAACAUUUAGUUUCUUAUCAACUCUUUGUCCUAGAACAUCACCUACAGCAUAAUCACUAGCAUCACACAUAAUUUCAAAGGGUAAAUUCCAAUCAGGUGGCUGAACAAUAGGUGUAGAAAUCAAUGCUUUCUUAAGUAUUUCAAAUGCUUCUACACAAUCAUCAUCAAAGACAAAUGGUAUAUCUUUUUGUAAUAAAUUAGUCAGAGGCCGAGAAAUUUUUGAGAAGUCCUUAAUGAACCUCCUAUAAAAACCGGCAUGACCAAGGAAACUUCUUAUACCUUUGAUGUCCUUGGGACAUGGCAUCUUUUGAAUAGCAUCAACCUUGGCUUUAUCAACUUCAAUACCUCUUUCAGAAACUUUAUGACCCAAGACAAUACCUUCGUUCACCAUAAAGUGGCACUUUUCCCAAUUCAAGACAAGAUUAGUUUCUUCACAUGUCUACAAAACUCGAUCAAGGUUGCUCAAGCAAUCAUCAAAAGAAGAUCCAUAGACCGAAAAGUCGUCCAUGAAAACCUCACAAAUCUUUUCACAAAAGUCAGAGAAUAUAGCCAUCAUGCAUCUUUGAAAGGUAGUAGGUGCAUUACAUAAACCAAAAGGCAUACGUCUAUAAGCAAAAGUACCAAAAGGGCAUGUAAAAGUAGUCUUUGAUUGAUCUUUGGCCGACACAGGUAUUUGAGAGAAACCAAAAUAACCAUCCAGAAAGCAAAAAUGUGUAUGUUUGGACAAUCUUUCUAGCAUUUGAUCGACAAAAGGUAAGGGGUAAUGAUCCUUUUUAGUAGCCUUAUUUAAUUUGCAGAAAUCAAUUACCAUCCUAUAACCUGUAAUAAUUCUUUGAGGAAUCAAUUCAUCUUUAUCAUUAGGAACAACAGUAAUACCUCCCUUCUUAGGGACACAAUGGACAGGGCUUACCCACUAACUAUCAGCAACGGGAUAAAUUAUACCUGCCUCAAGGAGCUUUAGUAUCUCCUUUCUUACCACUUCUUUCAUUUUAGGAUUUAGCCGGCGUUGAUGAUCAUGAACUGGUUUAGCAUCUUCUUCCAAAUUAAUUUUAUGUUGACAUACAGUGGGACUAAUGCCCUUAAGAUCAUCAAGAGUAUACCCAAUAGCAGCAUGGUGCUUCUUCAGAGUUUUCAAUAAUCUCUCUUCUUCAUGCUCUGAAAGGUUAUCACUAAUAAUAAUAGGAUAUAUCUUUUGCUCAUCAAGAUAAGCAUAUUUAAGAGUAUCAGGUAACGGUUAAAGCUCAAAUACGGGAUCACCCUUGGGUGGAGGAGGAUCCUCUAGGAUUUCAACAGGUAAAUUGUUUUUCAAAAUAGGUUCCUGUUUAAAGAAUACUUCAUAUAAUUCCCUUCUUUCAUUCAUAAACAUAUGAUUUUCAUGGUCUAGCAAAUAUUGUUCUAAAGGAUUAGUAGGAGGUAAGGCAAUAGAAGCAAGACCAAUAAUUUCAUCCUUACUAGGUAAUUCUUCUUCACGGUGUUGUCUACUAAAUUUAGAAAAAUUAAAUUCAUUAUCCAUAUCAUCUAAACCGAUAGUAACAACAUCUCUUUUGCAAUCUAUGGUAGCAUUAAUGGUAUUGAAGAAGGGUCUACCAAAUAUAAUGGGACAAAAGCUAUCUUGUGGGGAACCAAGAACAAGAAAAUCAGCAGGAUAUUUAGUUUUCCCACACAAGACUUCAACAUCUCUAACAAUUCCCAUUGGUGAAAUAGUAUCUCUAUUGGCAAGUUUAAUUGUGACAUCAAUAUCUUCUAUUUCAGCAGGUGCAAUCUCAUGCAUAACUUCUUGGUAUAAGGAAUAAGGUAUUGCGCUAGCACUGGCACCCAUAUCACAUAAGCCAUGAUAACAAUGAUCUCCUAUUUUAACAGAAAUAACAGGCAUGCCUACCAUAGGUAUAGGUUUAUCUUUAUCACGGGGUUUAGCAAUUCUAGCAGUUUCAUCACAGAAAUAAAUAACAUGCCCAUCAAUAUUAUCAGACAAGAGAUCUUUAACGAUAGCAAUAUUAGGCUCAACUUUAACUUGCUCAGGAGGUGUAUAUGUUUUAAUAUUGCUUUUAUGAACUACAGUUGAAUCUUUAGCAUGAUCCUUUAUCCUAAUAGGGAAAGGUGGUUUCUCAACAUAAGAAGUAGGAACAAUAGGAUCAUUAUAAGUGAUAGUCUUUUCUUCAACUUUAAUAGGUGCAACUACUUUUACUUCUAUGGGAGGAUGACAUUUAAACCACUUCUCCUUGGGGAGAUCAACAUAGGCAGCAAAAGAUUCACAGAGAGAAGCUACUAUCUCAGAAUCAAGUCCAUAUUUAGUGCUAAAUUUACGAAAAAUAUCGGUAUCCAUAAAAGAUUUAACACAAUCAAAAGUAGGUGUCAUACCUGACUCCUUACCAUUGUUGAGGUCCCAAUCUUCAGAGAUGCGUUUAAUUCUUUCCAAUAAAUCUCAUUUGAAUUCAAUAGUCUUCAUCAUAAAAGAGCCAGCACAAGAAGUAUCAAGCAUGGUGCGAUUGUUACCAGAAAGUUGAGCAUAAUUUUUUUGAAUAAUCACUUCUCUUGAGAGCUCAUGAUUGGGGCAUGAAUAUAACAUUGAUUUAAGCCUCCCCCAAGCUUGAGCGAUGCUUUCUCCUUCGCAAGGCCAAAAAUUAUAUAUAUAAUUGCGAUCACGAUGAACAAGAUGCAUAGGAUAAAACUUCUGAUGAAAUUCCAAUUUCAAUCGUUUGUAAUUCCAAGACCUCAUAUCAUCACAUAGCCUAUACCAUGUUGAUGCAUCUCCCCUCAAAGAUAAAGGGAAUACCUUAUUCUUAACAACAUCUUCGGGUAUACCUGCAAGCUUAAAUAAUCCACAAACUUCAUCCACAUAUAUGAGAUGUUCAUCAGGAUGUUUUGUUCCAUCUCCUAAAAAAGGAUUAGCUAGCAGCUUUUCUAUCAUACCUGCAGGAACUUCAAAGCAAGCAUUUUCAUUUUCAUUUUCAUUUUCAGUAGGUUCAGUAGGUUGAGGAGCAACUAUUUGCUCUACUGGUCGGGGUAAGGUACCCCGAACAAGCCCCUCAGAGGAUUACGUUCCAUGGUGACAAGUGAUAGUAAAUUUCAGCACACUAUAUAAAUUUUUCCUUACCAAAUUCCACCUACCAAAGGCGCUUCACUCCCCGGCAACGGCGCCAGAAAAGAGUCUUGAUGACCCACAAGUAUAGGGGAUCUAUCAUAGUCCUUUCGAUAAGUAAGAGUGUCGAACCCAACGAGGAGCAGAAGGAAAUGAUAAGCGGUUUCCAGCAAGGUAUUCUCUGCAAGUACUGAAAUAAGUGGUAACAGAUAGUUUUGUGAUAGGAUAAUUUGUAAAGAGCAACAAGUAACAAAAGUAAAUAAAGUGCAGCAAGGUGGCCCAAUCCUUUUUGUAGCAAAGGACAAGUCUGUACAAACUCUUAUAUGAUGUAAAGCGCUCCCGAGGACACAUGGGAAUAUCGUCGAGCUAGUUUUCAUCACGUUCAUAUGAUUCGCGUUCGGUACUUUUAUAAUUUGGUAUGUGGGUGGACCGGUGCUUGGGUACUGCCCUUACUUGGACAAGUAUCCUACUUAUGAUUAACCUCUAUUGCAAGCAUCCGCAACUACAACAAAAGUAUUAAGGUAAACCUAACCAUAGCAUGAAACAUAUGGAUCCAAAUCGGCCCCUUACGAAGCAACGCAUAAACUAGGGUUUAAGCUUCUGUCACUCUAGCAACCCAUCAUCUACUUAUUACUUCCCAAUGCCUUUCUCUAGGCCCAAAUAAUGGUGAAGUGUCAUGUAGUCAAUGUUCACAUAACACCACUAGAGGAGAGACAACAUACAUCUCAUCAAAAUAUCGAACAAAUACCAAAUUCACAUGACUACUAAUAGCAAGACUUCUCCCAUGUCCUCAGGAACAAAAGUAACUACUCACAAAGCAUAAACAUGUUCAUAAUCAGAGGGGUAUUAAUAUGCAUAUAGGAUCUGAACAUAUGAUCUUCCACCAAUUAAACCAACUAGCAUCAACUACAAGGAGUAACUAACACUACUAGCAACCUACUAGCACCAAUCCCGGACUUGGAGACAAGAAUUGGAUACAAGAGAUGAACUAGAAUUUUGAGAGGGGAUGGUGCUGAUGAAGAUGUUGAUGGAGAUUGCCCUCUCCCGAUGAGAGGAGCGUUGGUGAUGACGAUGGCGAUGAUUUCCCCCUCCGGGAGGGAAGUCUCCCCGGCAGAACAGCUCCACCAGAGCCCUAGGUUGGUUCCGCCUCGUGGCGGCGGAUUUUCGUCCGAGAAGAUGGUUUAUGAUUUUUUUUUUCUCAUCUAAAUACUCCAUAUAGCAGAAGAUGGCCACCGGAGGGCCACCAGGGGGCCCACGAGGUAGGGGGCGCGCCCAGGGGGGUAGGGCACGCCACCCACCCUCGUGGGCAGGGUGUGGCCCCCUGGUGAAGUUCUUGCUCUCAGUAUUUUUUAUAUAUUUGGAAAAUAUCUUCCGUGAAGUUUCAUGACUUUUGGAGUUGUGUAGAAUAGGUCUCUAAUAUUUACUCCUUUUCCAGCCCAGAAUCCCAGCUGUCGGCAUUCUCCCUCUUUAUGUAAACCUUGUAAAAUAAGAGAGAAUGGGCAUAAGUAUUGUGACAUAAUGUGUAAUAACAGCCCAUAAUGCAAUAAAUAUCGAUACAAAAGCAUGAUGCAAAAUGGACGUAUCAGUGGACAGUGCGCCAUUACUAGUUUUAACUAGUAAUGGCGUACUAUCCCAUGGUGCGCCAUUACUAACAAUUGUUUUUUAUUUUUAUUUUCAAAACUACUAAUGGCGCACGGUGGGUGUGGAGCGCCAUUACUAUGUCAACUAGUAAUGGUGCACUAUCCCAUGGUGCGUCAUUACUAACAAUUUUUUUCAAAACUACUAAUGGCGCACCACACACCAGGUGCGCCAUCAGUAAUAUGUCAAUAAUGGCGCACCUGUAUCUGGUGUGCCACUCCUAUAUAGCAGUGGCGCACCACAUACAUGGUGCGCCAUUAAUGUCCAUAUCAUCUAUAGCCAUUUUCCUAGUAGUGAGAGGAGCUCUCCCAUCGCGCCCAACUCACCAGAUCUGCAGCCUCUCCGACACAGCCAAGCUACGCCGUCCUACGCGCGCCUCCCCGCGCUCGAAUGCGGCUGCCCCAGCCCGUGCACGCACCAGCGCGGGAGCAGCGCCCUGGAUCCCGCCGAGAUGGGCAGCCCGCGCUGCUGGAGCUCAGAUGGGAGGAGGAAGUGCCCCGCCGCCGCCGAGCCGCGCGGGUUUGCCCAGCGACAUCUGCCAGCGGCGGCGAGGGGAAGAUGACCGAUGGAUCUACGCAAGCGGCGGCUAGGUUUUCGCCUCCCUGGCCGCCCACGGGAGCGACCCAGGAGCGUUUCCUGAAAUAUAGUCCACUCCCUUGAAUUACUAAGCCAAUUUUCCCAUAGUCUCCAUACUAAGUAGCCAUGCAGUUCUUCGACGAAAUCCUUCCACGGUUCAUAGCACAUAACCCCACCGGGCAGGCGCUCAUCAUCUCCACCGUCGUCGACCAUCCUCUCCAUGGCCAGGAAGCACUCCUUCCAGGACGUGCCAGAGCACCUCAACAACACCUCCUUCCACUAAGAUCAUCUCCAGCCGUGCCCCCAACAGGCCCUCCCGAGGCGUUUAUGCUGCGCCGGCGCCCAAAAUUCGGCCCACUCGCGCCCCUAGUAGCCCGUUUUUCGCCGGCUCGGGCUGAAACUGGUGUCGGCGGACCCAAACCGAACCCGGCGCGCUAGGGCGCACCUGGGGGCGCCGGCACAAGCGAAAAGGGGCAUGGGGCCGCUCUGUCUGCGAGUCGAGAGCCUCUUCCCACUGUUUCUUCCCGCCCUCGCCCCCACUUCCCUCUCAUUCUCUCCUUUCCUCCCGCCAAUCUCCCUCCCGCUCGCCUCCCAGCCGCCGCCAUGCCGCCGAAGAAGUACGUGAUCCCCCGCGCUGCGACCACCGCGUCUGCCUCCAUCGCCCAACCGAAGCAAAGGAGGCCUAGGGCGCCGUCGUCCAAGCCACCGGGCAUGACAAACACCGAGUGGAGGGAGGAAGUUCAGCGACGGGAGGCUGACACCGCCAACCGUCGGAACAGGGCAAUUGCCAAGAAGGCCCGUGACAACGCGGUGCGUGCCACUACAGCUACGGCGGACCAAGCCGAGGCCGAGGCGAAUCGCGUGGGGAUGACGAAUCCACCCGGCGGCCACGCCCAGUACGCACCCUGAAGCUAGCAAAGCGUCGGCUCUCCGUCCGGCUUCUCAUCGUCGCCGCAGCCAUGGCGAUGCACGCCGUCGCCAGGCUACGCUGACGGGGACGCGCACGGCGGGUUCAACCCCAACGUCACCUUCCCCCAUGGACACCCGGCCCAGCGCACGCCCCCGCCCCCCUUCACCAGCGUGCAGUACCCUCCAUACAACUACUCGCUGCCAGCUUAUGCGUGCUCCCCGAUGCCCCCUCUCCGCCGUGGCGCGCUGCCCUUCUCACAAGCUUCCACGUCGCACCUCGGCGACACCGACGAGACCGAUGCUGACAUGGACGACAUCAUCGCGGCAGGCUCGGCCGCGGCCGCCGCGUCCCUCGGGUUCGUGACCCCGGAAGACACGGUGGAUCUUAGCGACGGCAUGGACGGCAGUCUCGGCUACAGCGAGGAGGAGCCGGAGGAGGACGAGGAGGAGGAGGAACCGGCGACCGUUCCAGCGAGGAGGCGCAAGAAGAAGAGGGGGGCGGCCAGGACCGGCCAGCCGCGCAUCAAGUGGGCGUCCAAGGAGUAGGAAUGCCUCACCGAAGCGUGGAAAGUCGUCUGCCUCGACCCGACCACCGACACAAACCAGAGCAUCGAGACGUACUGGGAGCGCAUUAAGGCCGAGUUCGACGAGCACAAGCUCGUCGAUCCUUACUUCAAAGGCGUCUAGAUGCAGCGCGGGGCGAAGGCAAUGGCGAACCAUUGGGGGCUCAUCCAGGCGGCGUGCAAAAAAUGGCAUGGGGUCGUCAAGAAGGUCGCGGCUCGCCCGGAGAGCGGCACCAAUGUUGAGGAUUAGGUAUGGCACGCCGGUCUCCCGCUUCUCUUCGUCGUGUGCGCCCGCCAACUGUUUGUUCCUUCGCACAGCUGGUGCGCAUGUUCGCCUUGUAUCGCCUAGGCAACCGCGACCAAGAGUUCAAGUACAUCCACGUUUACAAGCGCAUUGACAAGUGCGAGAAGUGGGUAGAAGUCCAGCGCACCCUCGACAAGGCCAAGGAGACCUACAAGUCGGAUGCGCCAACGUCGGGCGCGUCAGAGGGGCGGCCGGACGGCAACAAACGGGCCAAGAAGGCGAAACACGCCGACGCGGCUACCGCGCGAGUGCAGGAGUCCAUCGAGCAUUACCUCGCCGACGCACAGGCUCGGGCCGUCCUGUGUGAAGAGAAGACCGCGGCGCGGUGGUCGGCGUUGAUGACGAGCAGCGCCGUCAAGCUCGACCUACUCCGGACCAACAUCGCCGCGAAGAAGAGGAACACCGACCUGGCUUUCCUGCUGGGCGGGGCGGACAUGCUCCAGAGCAAAGACGAGGCGGCCAAGACAUGGUACUUGGCAGAGUGUGGUCUCAUCCUGAACCAGCUGCCGUCGACGGCGCCGCCAACUCCCACGCCCAUGCCGCCACCGCCGCCAAGCUCGAGCGAUGAUGCCUACACGACUCCCUGCAGUACAGAAGCCAUGCCGACACCGCCCAACACAGAAGAAGCUCCGACCCCACCAAGCCCGCGCACGACCCCGCCAAGCCCGCGCACGCCAACUACGCCGACGCCGGAGGCCGACCUCGCCGUCUGAUGCGCUGCACGCGCACUCUUUCUUUUGUAAGCUGAACUUUUCAUUUGAUCGCCGAACUAUGGCCACAUGAUCGCCGUCUAUUUUGUGAGCGGGAAUGACUAAGUUUGAAUUUGCCGCGGGUUGGGGCGUCUGGGGGCAUGGCUGGGAGCUAGGUCACCCCCGGGGACCGAUCUAGCGCCGGUUCGCCCCAUGCCGCUCUUUUUUGACGCCUUGGGGGCUGAACCGCUGGAGAUUCUCUAAGUAGCCUAUAAUAGUGUAACACCCAUGAUGUGGCUAUAUCUCCCACGUGUCGGAGCACGACUUAGAGGCAUAACUGCAUAGUAGGCAUGUCGCAAGAGGGGUAAUCUUUACACAUCCCAUGUACUGAAUAAGAAAGGGAUAAAGAGUUGGCUUACAAUCGCCACUUCACACAAUACAUAAAUAUAGCAUUACAUCAUCCAGAAUACAAUCAAGGUCCGACUACGGAACCAAAUAAAGAAAGACAACCCCAAAUGCAUAGAUCCCCGAUCGCCCCAACUAGGCUCCUCUACUGAUCACCGGAAAGGAAACAUAAUAACGUCCUGAAUCCUCGUCGAACUCUCACUUGAGUUUGAUCGCGUCCCCUGCACUGGCAUCGUCGGCACCUGCAUCUAGUUUUUGGAAGUAAUCUGUGAGUUACGGGGACUCAGCAAUCUCACACCCUCGCGAUCAAGUCUAUUUAAGCUUAUGGGUAGGAAAAGGUAGUGAGGUGGAUCUGCAGCAAGCACUAGCAUAUAUAGUGGCUAACUUACGCAAAUGAGAGCGAGAAGAGAAGCAAAGCACGGUCGAUAAGCUAUCAUGAUCAAGAAGUGAUCCUGAAACUACUUACGUUCAAGCAUAACACGAGACCGUGUUCUCUUCCCGGACUCCGCCAAAAAGAGACCAUCACGGCUACACAUGCAGUUGAUUCAUUUUAAUUAAGUUAAGUGCUAGGUUUUCUACAACCGGAUAUUAACAAAUUCCCAUCCGCCCAUAACCGCGGGCACGGCUUUCGAAAGUUCAAAACCCUGCAGGGGUGUCCCAACUUAGCCCAUCACAAGCUCUCACGGUCAAUGAAGAAUAUUCCUUCUCCCAGGAAGACCCGAUCAGACUCGGAAUUCCGGUUACAAGACAUUUCGACAAUGGUAAAACAAGUCCAGCAAAAGCACCCGCUGUGCUGACAAAUCCCGAUAGGAGCUGCACAUAUCCCGUUCAUAGGGCACACCGGAUAAGCUAAGCGUACAGGAGCCAACGUAACCCAAGUUUCCAAGGGACGCCCCCGCACGGUGCUCUAGUUUGGACCAACACUCAGAGGAGCACUGCCCGGGGGUUUAAAAUAAAGAUGACCCUUGAGUCCGCGAAACCCAAGGGAAAAAGGCUUAGGUGGCAAAUGGUAAAACCAAAGUUGGGCCUUGCUGGAGGAGUUUUAUUCAAGGUGAACUGUCAAGGGGUUCCCAUUAUAACCCAACCGCGUAAGGAACGCAAAAUCAAGGAACAUAACACCGGUAUGACGGAAAACUAGGGCGACAAGAGUGGAUCAAAACACCAGGCAAAAGGCCGAGCCUUCCACCCUUUACCAAGUAUAUAGAUGCAUUAAAGUAAACAAGAUAUAAUAAUGAUAUCCCAACAAUAACCAUGUUCCAACAUGGAACAAACUCCAUCUUCACCUGCAACUAGCAACGCUAUAAGAGGGGCUGAGCAAAGCGGUAACAUAGCCAAACAACGGUUUGCUAGGAAAGGUGGGAUAGAGGCUUGAUAUAGCAAUAUGGGAGGCAUGAUAUAGCAAGUGGUAGGUAUCUUGACAUAGCAAAAGAGCGAACAACUAGCAAGCAAAGAUAGAAGUGAUUUCGAGGGUAUGGUCAUCUUGCCUGCAAAGUUCUCCGAGUUGACGUAAGCUUGAUCCUCGUAAGCGUACUCAACUGGUUCCUCAAUCACGUAUUCGUCUCCCGACUCUACCCAAAGCAAGAACACAAGCAAAGGAAACGACAAUCAACCACGGUGCAAUGCGCAAGCAACAAGAUGCAAAACAUGGCAUGAUAUGCGGGAUGUGAUAUGCAAUGCAUACGCGUGCUCUGGAAGUAAAAGAUUGAUCAAGGCAUCAACUUGGAAAACCAAGUGCGCCGCUGGAAAGAUGAGUUGAUUUCGGUCGAAAUCGAUAUAAAGAUCACCGGAAUCGGAUGCACGGUUUGCAAAUGGCAAGCAAAACAAGAAUGGCACAAUUCUGCGAUUAACAGCACGAUGCCAUCUAAAAUGCAACAAGAAACUAAUAUGUUGCACUCCAACAUAGCAACAAAGCACAUGGCAGUGAUCUACUCAAGAUGCUUGACAAAAGAUGAACACUGAGCUACGGCUAAAUCACACCAGAGCAGGUUCAAACAAGCAUGGCAAAUGUGCAAAAGAUAUCAGCUUCACAAACUUAGUGAAAAUACUAACAUGCCAGGAAUUAACAUCAGGAAGCAAUGUUUAUAGCAAGCAAACAACAUGCUACAGGAACAGAACAUAGAAAAAAAGACAUGGCAUGAAUCUACUCAAAGCAUAGAACAAAAGUCCAUUACUGACCAUGAGCCAAAGGGGCACAGAAAAUAUGAUGGCACCCAUGUAAACAUAGUAAGUUUCGUUAACAGAUUCAGACUUAGCAGAAAACAGAGCAUGGCAAAACAGAGUUAUGAAGGCCUCUUUGCGAGCUCGACUCACUCACCACAAGGCAUUUCAUGACAAACUAAGCAAACUACCAGCAAGAAGACAUGAUCAUUAAGCUAACCAAAGCAAGAACAAGUUUAUAGCAUGCUUGGAUCAACUACAACAACCUUGGCAAAAUUAAUUAAUACGUAAACAAUCUACCAGGAACAUUUUGUAGCAAAAGUAGAGCAAGAUUAAGUCAUGCUAGGGCACUCCAUAAAUGCAAACACGGGCAUGGAUGGAUAUAGCACAAUCAUAUGUACAAAUCAUCCUUACUGAACAUACUCAAAAGAAGCAUGGAUCUCACUGUAGCAACAUGAAUACAUGGCAUAAAAAUAACAGCAGGAAAAUGACAGUGAAAUUCUAAGUCCCUGAAAUCAGCAAUAUCAUGAGAGCUACUUUGCAUGCUUGUGCUCGUCACCACAAUGAUCACAAAAAUACAUGGCAUACACCCCUAUAAAGAUGGCAUGGCAUAACUCAAAACACAUGUAGAGCACAUGUUCAUAUGCAGCACACAACAAUUGUAGCAAAAAUGACAAAACCUCAUACUCUGCUAAGAAACAACAUCUAACAUUUUACAGCACUCUUGCAUCAGUCAUUUGGGCAUCAAGAUGGACUCAAACAAGCAGACCACAAUGGAACAAAAUGAAGAGCACAUCAUGAUGAAUACUUUGAUAUAUCAUGCAUGCAAAAUGGAGUUAUGGAUGAGAAGUUAUGGCACGUUGAAUAGGGCUUCAGAAUGCAAAAUAAAAUGACUAAGGAAAUCUGGAGAGUCAACCUGCUCAGAUCUAGGGUUCGGGCACGGAAUCCGAGGUUUGUCGGGAUCUCGCCGGAGUUGCAUCGCGGUGGCCCGAGUUUGCCAGAGAAGAGGAAGGAGAGGACGGGGAGGUUGGAUCCGGCNNNNNNNNNNNNNNNNNNNNNNNNNNNNNNNNNNNNNNNNNNNNNNNNNNNNNNNNNNNNNNNNNNNNNNNNNNNNNNNNNNNNNNNNNNNNNNNNNNNNNNNNNNNNNNNNNNNNNNNNNNNNNNNNNNNNNNNNNNNNNNNNNNNNNNNNNNNNNNNNNNNNNNNNNNNNNNNNNNNNNNNNNNNNNNNNNNNNNNNNNNNNNNNNNNNNNNNNNNNNNNNNNNNNNNNNNNNNNNNNNNNNNNNNNNNNNNNNNNNNNNNNNNNNNNNNNNNNNNNNNNNNNNNNNNNNNNNNNNNNNNNNNNNNNNNNNNNNNNNNNNNNNNNNNNNNNNNNNNNNNNNNNNNNNNNNNNNNNNNNNNNNNNNNNNNNNNNNNNNNNNNNNNNNNNNNNNNNNNNNNNNNNNNNNNNNNNNNNNNNNNNNNNNNNNNNNNNNNNNNNNNNNNNNNNNNNNNNNNNNNNNNNNNNNNNNNNNNNNNNNNNNNNNNNNNNNNNNNNNNNNNNNNNNNNNNNNNNCCGGGGUGCCCUGUGGCGCGUCCUGGUUCGUCGGGCGGCGGCGGGCGGACGUGUCCGACCCGAUCCGGAUGUGUCCGGCGGCGGGGGGGGAGAAAUUUAGGGUUUGGGACCCGAAUUUAAGGAGGGGUGCACAUAUUUAUACAUAGAAGGAGGUGGGAGUGUCCAAAUAAGGUGUAAUUUUCGACCACGCGAUCGUGAUCCGAUGGCGAAGGACAUGGGAUAGGUUUGGAUGGGUUAUUGGGCCACUUUGGAGGGGUGUUGGGCUGCAACACACACGAGGCUUUUUACGGUUCCCCGGUUAACCGUUAGAGUAUCAAACGAACUUCAAAUGGCACGAAACUUGACAGGCGGUCUACCGGUGGUGUACCAAGGCCUCUUGGCAAAUCUCGGUCCAUUCCGAGAAAGUUUAACACCCGCUCACGAAAAGAGACAAAAGAGGGCGCUGGAGGACGUAGGAGUGCCGGAUUGCAAAACGGACAACGGGGAAAAUGCUCGGAUGCAUGAGACGAACACGUGAGCAAAUGAGAUGCACAUGAAGGCAUGAUGUGAAAUGCAUGACAUGAGCAAAAUGCAAAACGAAGACAAAACUCAACCACGAAUCUCAUAACUUAAAGCCGGAAAUGCCAAGAGUUGGAAUACAAAUAUGAUAAGUUACAUCGGGGCAUUACAAAUAGAUCCAUUAGUAGUAGGUAAUAAACCGUGUACCCCGGUCGCCGGCCGGUCUGUAGCCCUGUAUAAUGUUCAGCGAGCCACGAUCAGGUGUACUCCCUUCGUCUAGGUGUGUAAAUCAUCUUACGAAAAUCAAAUAAUCCCAAAAUACUUAGACAUGGUACAUUAACUCGCAUGUCGUUUCUUGUUUCAUAACAUAUCAACUAAUAAGAGUUGUGGGCCAUGUAUGCUUUAAAUUACUUGAGCUAUCAAACACGACAUGCAGUGGCUAGUUCAUUGCAUGCAAUGUUAUUAAUUAGCAAAAAACAUUAAGUUCUCUCGUUUUCCCCUUUACCUUGGUCGUGGUGCACAAAUAAGAUGACUUGCACACCUAGACGGAGGAAGUACUGCGCUUCCUUCUGAUAAUGUAUGGAAUAAUGUGGUCAUGCUUUCCAUCUUAGUAUCUUUCCAGACAUCUUUAAUUAACAACUAGAAGUACUUUUUGUACUACAACUCUGGUGCAGGUGUACUCACUCAUCUCACCUUUUUUUACCAUUUGACAUGCGUCAGAGCAUUGCAAAAGACCGAGAGAACACUAGACUAAUAGUUCAUUCUUUUUGAACUCGUACUACUUUCCUCUGUUCUGUCACGAAAUGCCACCUGACCUCACACUUUAAAUCUUUUUGAUACAGUUUAUUAUUGGAUGCCUUGGCAAAUAAGGAUGGAAAUUUUAGCAGUUUGGAAACAAGCUUUCUGUACUAGCGGAGCCCNNNNNNNNNNNNNNNNNNNNNNNNNNNNNNNNNNNNNNNNNNNNNNNNNNNNNNNNNNNNNNNNNNNNNNNNNNNNNNNNNNNNNNNNNNNNNNNNNNNNNNNNNNNNNNNNNNNNNNNNNNNNNNNNNNNNNNNNNNNNNNNNNNNNNNNNNNNNNNNNNNNNNNNNNNNNNNNNNNNNNNNNNNNNNNNNNNNNNNNNNNNNNNNNNNNNNNNNNNNNNNNNNNNNNNNNNNNNNNNNNNNNNNNNNNNNNNNNNNNNNNNNNNNNNNNNNNNNNNNNNNNNNNNNNNNNNNNNNNNNNNNNNNNNNNNNNNNNNNNNNNNNNNNNNNNNNNNNNNNNNNNNNNNNNNNNNNNNNNNNNNNNNNNNNNNNNNNNNNNNNNNNNNNNNNNNNNNNNNNCAUAAGGGCAUCUCGAACGCGGACCCCCAAACCGUCUGCAAACGUUCAAACCAUGCGGUCCAGACAUGUUAUGUCAUCCAACGUGGUUCUGUAUUGGUCCGCUUGGUGGUCCUGACACACUUUUUCUGGCAAAUCGGAGAACUUGGGGAGGGGGGGGGGGGCUUUGUAGGCAUCCAGAAUGCUGCCACGUCCACUCCUAAGUGGCAUGGCCCACCAAAUAACCCCACCCGCAUCUCCCGUGCUUUCCUUUCAAUGCACACGCCGCUUCCCGCGCCGCAUCAUGGCCGGCCCAGAGCACGCAGCAGCCGGCAUUGAUGUCAUGUGAUGUGAUAGUACGGAAGGGCGGCGUUGACUGAUGCGACCUCUCGGGAGUCGCCGCUUCAAUGCAGACGCAUCUUCCCGACGAACCAAUUUCGACCGCUGCGCCGCAUUGAAGCAGCUGACCGUCUGUUCUCAUUUCCUAGCCGUGGCCUUAUAAGCUGUGCUCCGGCGCUGUCCACAUCGCUCCGCACAUCCUCCUCCUCCCAUCCCUUCUUCCUCCACAACUCCGGCGAUGGGCAAGUCGUGGGCCUCCGUGCCGGCAGGCGGGCGGCUCCGGAGGAUCUUGGCGAUGCCGCCCACAAACCCCGGGGUUGUCGUCCUCAUCGGCGGGCGGCUCCUCGCAGAAGGCAGAGAUCAUCAUCUCCUCUGGCGACGAGGAGGACCAGUCAGCACCGGUGUUCGCCGUCAUGGAAGAGGAGUACGAUCAACAGAUGAAGGUAAUGCUAUGUCGCUCCUUCCUCCACGUCAAUGGCCCGGUGGCUCCACCGGAGACGCUCCUCCGCAUGAAGCCUGAGCCCACCUACCCCCUGCGCUCUCCCUCGCGCAACUGCGGUGUCCGGAUCGGAUGUCGCAUCAAGGACAAGCCCCUCUCAUCGCGGCGAUGCACCAAGCAUGAGCGACUCUCUCCGCCGCCCCACCACGUGAAGGAGGAGUCGCACUCUCCGCCGCCCCCAUUGAGUCAAGGAGGAGCACCGAUCACCACCGCCCUUGCCCCGUGCGAUCACCAUGAAGGUGCGCAGUCGCAUUCGCCACUAUCUCGGUGGUGGCAACAGUUCAUCAUCCCGGAGCAUCGUAACGGUGUAGGAGUACGCCGACAGGGAGCGACGCCGGCGGGAUAGGCACAACGCGGCGCGCCAGUCUGAGUUCAUGGACUCCGAUGUUCUGCCGCCACACAUCGCGGCGGACCAGGACCUGACAUACACCUAGGUCCUGGAUCGCUCCAUGACGAUGGUGAGCAAGUGCCAUCUUCGUCACCUCGACCAGGAGAUGGCCCAGUACAACGAAGAGUGGUCUCUCAGUGAGAUUGUUGUCGCCAACGCUGCCUCCUCCAAGGCCCGCCACCAUCUCCCCCUGUCCACAUCAUCGGUGGCCGCGGCCGCAUUGUGCACAAUGGAGCAGAAAGCGGGGAGAAUCAUCUGCGAGCGUCAGGCGGCUACCGGGAAGCCCUGCCGCGACGCCGCACCCUUCCGCCGCCCGAAGCCCAACGACGUCGAUGAUGGAAACGACUCCGGUGAUGGUGCCAGAGGAACUGCUGGCCAGCCCGGCACGGUCUACGAGGUCACCAUGAAGUAUAGGGUAGUGUAGGAUUAGGUUUUUUUAAGGUUUUUAGUUCAUCGUACGAAAUAUUGUCCGGUUUUAUAAAAAAAAAUAUUUAAGUUUAAAUGAAUAUCGUUCGGUUUGUUUGAGUUUGCAUCAAAUUUGGUCAUUUUCAUUAAAAUUCAUUUAAAGUGUAAAUGGACAUAUGCGCCUAACUUUGGAUGGUCGCCUCAUGUAUCCGUGUCCGCGAACUAGACCCCCUGUUGGCAGACGGAUUCCACAGCAAAUUUGCGGGACAACGUUGGAGAUGUCCUAAGAGUAUCUAAAACCGGAGCUCCAAUAUCUAUUCUAAACUUCUCAAAUUGCUUAAUCAAAUCCCACUAAGUUACUAUGGUAGCGUCUACAUGCAAUUGACAGUAAAACCCGUCACUAAUUGUCAAGCUACCAUCUGGCAGGCGUUCGUUGUGACAUCCAUGCCAAAUCUUCAACAACAUCAUGAAGCUGCUAGGUGGCACCAACCUAACCAAAGUAGCAUGGCAUGGCCACACCAUUUGAAACCCAAAUGGGAAUCACAAAACAAUUACAAGAUAAUGGUUGAUUUCUUUACCCGAUAGGAGACAUUAUACUUUCAUCGUGCUCUAGAGGCCGCCGUCCCUCGCCGCUGUCAAGAUCCAGGCGAAUGGAGGUUGUGGAAGCAAUGAGUGGGAAAUAGAUCAACGGGAGGACGUGAUUGAAAGUGGCCGGAAAAAGGGGCUCUAAUGACCAAAACUUAGGGAGGUGCAAUGGUGCAGGUGAGCCCACAAUUAAGAAAGACACACAUAAGAGUGGCAAAAAUGGAAAUCAUGGCCUUAACAGAGAGCAGUGGCGGAGACAGGGGCACGAGCAGGGCCUGGCCCCCCUAUCAAUCGACAAUUCUUUUGGCUGCUACGAGUAAUUAGUGUUGGAUAAGGGAAUACAUGUUGUUGCCACCUUAACUCAAACGACGGUGAAAACUGAGAGUAUAAAAUCUGGAAAAAAAAAAAGGCCCAUAAGAAAGCCCAUUUAUGCCCACGGCCUUCUCCAUUCCUAGUACGCUCCCGGCUUUAUUUUAUUAUAUCCUAAAAAAGGGGAGCUUUAGGCGAGACUUCCUAUACGACGCAUUUUGCAUCAAAUAGGAACCCAAUGCACAUGGGGGCACGCUAACUGGGCCGGCCCACACGGUGUGAGAUGGAAAAUGGCAAAUGCGAAAAAGGAGAGUUGGCGGGAUUCGUACCUAUGACCGCACGCUUUUGUGCGAGUGCGGCUAGCCAAAGCGCCUAUCAAGUGUUAAUGAUGAAACUACAACACGAUACUAGAAGACCAAAAUCCAGCCCCAAAACAUAACACUUGGAAAACAAUCGUGAGCAGAUUUCUAAAAGAUGGAGCAAAAAAAUUGUACUUCCAAACAAUCAUGACAGAAACGACAAAAUUUUCAAAACUGAUGAAUACAUUUUAAUUUUGAACACAAAAUUGAAAAUCCCGUACAUCAUUUGAAUUUAGAGAACAAAAUUUACACAUGAGAUUUUUAAAAUCCCGAAUAUGUUUUGAAUUUAUAGAACAAAAUUUUGAAAUCAAGAACAAAAUUUGAACAUGGGGACAAAAAAUUAAAAACGCCGAACAUUUUUCAAUUUAGACAUUUUCUAUUAAAAUCAAGACCAAAAAUUUAACAUGGGAACAAAAAAUUGAAAAUCCCGAACAUCUUUCGAAUUUAGAGAAUCAAAAUUUGGACAUGGGAUUUUUUAUUAAAAUCCCGAAUAUGUUUUGAAUUGAGAGAACACAAUUUUGAAAUCAAGAACAAAAUUUGAACAUGGGGACAAAGCUAAAAACGCCGAACAUUUUUCAGUUUAGAAAUUUUCCUUUAAAAUCGAGACCAAAAAUUUAUCAUCGGAACAAAAAAUAAAAAAACGAACAUUUUUUGAAUUUUGAGAAGAAAAUUUGAAAAUUCAAAAGUUCUGAACAAUUUUUGGAAAUGCAAACAAUUUUUAAUACAUGAUAGUAGAAACAUUUUCGAAAAUAUGAAAAUCCUAUAUGUUUUAUGAAUGUUCGAUCAUUUUUUGGAAAGAAGCAAACAAAAAUUCUGAUCAAAUGAACAUUUUUCGAACUUCUGAACAUUUUCCAAAUUUCUGAUUUUUUGUAAAGCAGGAACAUUUUUUGAAAUUUCGUAUAGUAUUUGUAAAAAUAAGAUUUUUUUUAAUUUUCUAAAAAAAUCUGGAAAACCAAAAUAAAUUUGAAAAGCAAUCUGAAAAACAAAGAAAGGAAAACAGGAAAGGAAAGAAAAAUACAGUUAAUAAAAUAAACAGAAAUUGGAAAAGUAGAGAAAAGAAAAAAGGGAAAAUUAAAAAUAAAAAGAAAAAAUAAACAGAACAGAAAAAAAAGCCGGCUUAGGGGCCUUCUAGAAGUUUCCCUAAACCGAAGAAAACUGGCUGGAAACAUCUAGAAGGUUCCCAAAACUGGGAAAGCUGAAACACCUAAACGGGCCGGCCAAUCCUAACGCGACCGAUUGAUCCCUAUGCGAAACAGCAACACCUUGACGCAAAGCGCGUCAAAUAGGAAUUUCCAAUUUAGGCGCCGCAUCAGCUUCGUGGCGCCCGUGCGCCCCCGCUCGUGGACUGGCCCAAGCGCUCGACAACUGGUUCCCUGCUUCGCUCUCAUUCGAUCGUGUUGACUGGGCGCGGUUGACCAGCUGUCAACCGUUGACUUUAGAAACAAACACGAUUUGUUUGUGAGAAACGUGAAUUAAAAAUGUACACGGGUUUUCAAAAAAAUUCAAAAACUAGUAGAAAGAGAAAUCCAAUAUUAGAAAAAGUUCACAAAAUUGAAAAAACAGUUCAUCAAUUUAGAAAAAAGUUAAUGGUAUUUGGAAAAAAAUUAGGAAAAGGUUCAUCAAAUUUGGAAAAAGUACAUCGAUUUGGAAAAAAAUUAUCGGAUUUGAAAAAACGUUCAUCGGAUUUGAAGAAAGUUCAUCUCACCAAUUUUGAAAAAUGUUCAUUAAAUUCGAAAAAAGUUCAUCAAAUUUGAAAAAAAAUUCCAUGAACUUUGAGAAAAGUUCAUCGAAUUGUAAAUAUAGUUCAUCAAUUGAAAAAAGUUCACCGAAUGGAAGAAAGGUUCACCGAAUUUUAAAAUGCAAUAAAAAAGGAAAAAUAAAUAGAAAAAUGGAAAAAAAGCGAACUGGGAUAAGAGAAAAGGAGAAAAAAAAGUUGUUAUGCACGAAGUGAGCGAUAUCCGUAUUGGUUAGCGCGCUGAGUUAGGAACGUAGAGGUCUCGAGUUCCAUUCUUUGUAUGCGCUCAAUAUUUUUGCAGUUUAAAACGGAAUAAGGAAAAACACCAAUGGGCCAGCCCAGCUCGGAGGGGGUGUGUGUGCGCCGGUUGCGAAUUGUACGUUAGCGGGGGCUACGGGCGCCGUUUAGGAAUCGCCUAAAAAAGGUUUACCCGGCGUGAUUAACGUACGACUUGAGGCGAUUACAUCCCAGAAAAAACUUGAGGUGAUUAGAGCUGGCGGCGGCCGCUGCCUAAUCAGGCGCCACCAGCACCGCGAUUGGUAAUCUGUAGACUAGACUCUUUCAAUAUUCUAGCGGUCCAGCGCCAAGGUUAGCAUUAUUGAGUGCUACCCCUCUCAACUAUCAUCUUGUACGUGUUAAAAUUAUACAUCGAAUUUUAGUUAUUUUGAUGACAAGGUCAAUGAUUAUAGUUCAUUUUUAAUUUCAUUUGAUUGUUUGUUUUGUGAUGUGAUCAUGAAGAGCAAAACAUCAUAAAGAUUGAUUUUUAAACACAAGGCUAAUGCGCGAGUUACCAAUCCUAGUCCAAUGGAAUAUUACUUACUUUGAAAUUACAUGAUGAUAUACAUUCAUAGGAAAUUACUAGCAAUUAGGUUAUCUUUGGAUGAAAUUAUUAAUAGUUUUUUAUCUUAUUGGUAGUUGUAGGAAAAAAUUAAACUAAUACAAAUGUACUUGUGUUUUGCGUUGAAACGAUACAUUAUUAUGGUACUUAUUUUUCACGUUGCACAUAUUUUUUUUUACAACUUGGCUCGGCUCCGCCUAUACUCAAAUCCUGGCUCAGCCCCUUAUGGAGGGCUCCCACAUCGACAAGAACACUCAAAGAGUCUUGUCAUCAAUAUUGGUUGGUACACGUCAGAGUGGAAAAUGGAAAUUAUGGCCUCAAGAGUGGGCCCCCCACAUUGCCCAAAGGGGCCAAUCGAGUCUCCUGGUGGUUGUUGUUGAUGUGGUGAAGUGGAGGGUCCAAAAUGGGAGGAAACGACGCAAAGUCGAUGGUAACUGGCAGUGACGACUUGUGGGGGAAUGCAUCUAAUUUUUAAAAAAUCCCUAGUGGCCCAAAUCGAAAUAUGGAAGCUUAAGUGGCAGGACUCAAAUAUGCAAUUUCGGUAGUCGCAUAGACCAAUUCUUCCCCAAAAUAUGAUAUGAAAACUUUUUUAUGAUGGGUUUGAGGAUAUUGAUCGGUAUCGUACAUGUUAAUAUUUCUUUCUUAUAAACUAGAUCAAAGUGUAAUCAAACAAAACAAAUAUGCAUUCUAUUUUGAAAUGAGGGGAGUAGGUGGCUAUUUCUUGGUACUAGUACCAAUGACAUUUUAUUGGACUAGGUAAUUGCCUGUGCAUUGCAACACGGCCGAUCUAUCACUAGUAGAAAAGGAGCCAUUUGUCCCGGUUCAAGAGGGCCUUUAGUCCCGGUUCUGGAACCGGGACUAAAGGGUCGGUACUAAGCUUGAGCAUGAAGUCACACAUUUCACAGUUUGAGUUUGAAACUAUUAUUCUAAAAAAUAAUAAUUAUUUAGUAACACAAAUAUUUCUUGAAUAAGCAGUUUGACCAUAGUUUGACCAGAUUUGACCAAAAUUCAAAAAAUGAAAUAAUUAUUUAGUAACACUAAUAUCCUUGAAUAAUUAUUUAGUAACACUAAUAUCCUUGAAUAAUUAUUUAGUAACACUAAUACUUCUUGAAUAAGUAGUUUGACCAUAGUUUGAUCUGAUUUAACUAAAAUUCAAAAAAACUGAAAUUUGAGCAUAUCUUUUUUUUCUUUUAGAAUUUGAGGAUUAUAAAAAUUUGCAAACAGGCCGUAGGCGGUCAAAAUUGGAUGCGGAUUUUCGUGCUGAUAUAUUAUACAUUUUUUUUCCGACAUCGUAUGCAAAAGUUAUAGCCGUUUUACUUUUUCAUAACACUUUUUUGCAAAGCAUGUCCAAUUUUAAGUUUUUUAGUUUUCCUAACUAGCAGAUGUAGUAAUAUAACUACAUCUCGAAGGAUUUUUUUGAAGUUUUUAUCAGUUUCUUUUGUUUUACUCAAAAUUUAAAUGGCGAUACGUGCCGGUGGUGGGGGGUAAAGUUUGAGAAAUGGGCCCUUUAGUCCCGGUUUGAAACACGAACCGGGACUAAAGGGCCCAUUUGAACCGGGACUAAUGCUCACAUUAGUCCCGGUUCGUAAUGCAACUGGGACUAAUGUGUAUAUUGUCAUGUGACCGAAGCCCUGUUUUCUACUAGUGUAUUCUGAUGGUUCAUGCACAUCAUGACAUUUUUUGCUUAUAGUACCGCAGGAUCACUCUUCUUCCUCAAUCUCUCACUCACCCCCCGUGCGCUCUCUCUCUCUCUCUUCUUCCACCUUGUCUGAAUGUUAGAUAGGAAUACUUGCCUAGAGACCAGAUGUCGGACUUGGAGCCAAAUGGAAUGUCAGCAAGAAGUUCAGGGCAUAUGUAACUGGGCGUUCCUACAACCUUCAAAAGAGACAUGGUAUAUCAAAUCAUAAGCAACUUAGAAAGAGAAAGACAUACAUAGGGGCAGUGGCGGAGCUUGGCCCAGAAAACUGGGCGGGCCGACAGUAGGAAAGAACUAUUGGGAUGGUGUUUCAUGGCCCAAAAGUAAGUAUACACUACAGAAAAAUCGAAUGGGCUGGGCGGGCCACGGCCCAUUCGGCCUUGCUGUAGCUCCGCCACUGCAUAGGGGUUGAGCAAGAACAACUUACUGAUGAAGCUAAAUCAUCCGAAGUCAAUACUUUUGCCAAAAUCACCUAUGUCAGACAACAUAUAUUCAAAACACAAAAUUUGUCGUCAGUUCAUACAAGUAUUCACAGUGCAGUUAUUUCCAUUUAUUUUUUCGUGAGAGCAUACUUACCGAGCCGUAUAAUUUGGUCCUUUGUAAGAAAAAAAAAACAAUGCAUGGUGAGUAACCUGCUAGGAUUAACUGAACUGCAAUUAUCAAAUAAAGUCGCUACGUACUAUUAUCAGAAGUUGUCCCAGGCCCUUGAGUCGCCCACCUCCCAGGGCAACUCGGGUGACGGUGAGAUCUAGUCCACCAGGUCCCUCUCACACCUUCUCUCCCCCCUCGCCGCCGCUCUAUGGACUCGGCAGGGCUAUGCACGUGCAGAUCCGGCGGCGGCGGGGCCCCUGGCACCCUGGUGUGGCUUGUCGGGCGGCUCAAGCGAUGGGUGGACGACGCGGCGCUCCUCCGCCCACGUCGCUAGGCCCAGUGGUGGUGGAGGACUGUGAUGGUCGUUGUUGUGCGCCCAUGUCACCACAAUCCUCUUCUUCAAGAAUGGGAUCCUGCCCAGAUCCAUGGAGGAGGCGUGGUGGGCGCAGUGCGGGCGCACGCGCGCGGAUGGCGUCCAAUCUGGUAGCAUGAUCAACCAUGAUGGUGGCGGUGGCUACCUCCGGCGGUCAGGUGUCCUUCACGCUGAUUUUGUCCGGUGGGCGGCUUGGCGGCGCCUCCAGCCAGAUCCGAUCUAGCCGGUGCAGCCGGUGGUGGUCGCCAUCUCCUCCAUCGGAGGUGGUCGGUCUGAGGCUGGAUGAUCAGAUCUCGAGAUCUGUCAUCUAGUUCCGGCUGCGAGUCGGGAUGACAUUGUUGCCGGUGAAAACCGAGCCGAUGGCAGGCGAUGACGGCGUUAUGCGCCAUUACCUUGAUGAAGGCAUCGUCAUGCAACGACUGUCGACCUACUCGUGCUGCUCCGGAGGAAACCCUAGGAUCUGGCCUUGCAGAUCGGACGAUGACGGUACUGCGGUGUCGUUUCUCUCUUGGGAGCAUCAUUUGUGAAGCAACGCUGGAAGACAGAGGCAGGAGAUGGAGCGGCUUCGUCUGGCACGGAGGUUCGAUGGGAUGUCUAAGUCAUGCCUGACUGACAGGUGCUAUGAUGUGUCAUGCCUGGUCGGCAGGUGCUACGCACGACAGAUCUUUCAUAAUCUUUGUAUCUGGAUUGACGAACGUGGGGCGAUGGCGCUGUUAGGUGCCGUGGUGGCGUUGACGGAUGGACGGACUGACAAGGAUGAUGUGGAUCUCUCUCUUGAAGAUGGGUCAGCAGUCCGAUGAUGAUGACGGCGUCUAAAACGUGUGCAUAUGUGGUGUACACUUUAGGUCUACUGCAUCAAUUGUUCAUUCCGAUACUUAUGUGGAUGGAUCGGCGACGACACCGGUUUAGAUAUGGGGAGUGAGAGAUCUCCACAUAAUCAAGUUUUGUAGGUGUAAGUGGUGACUUCGAGUGGUUUGAUGUAUAUUCUUGUUAGACCUUGGUGAAAUAAUAAAUAAAGAUGGCCGCAUGCAUCGCUUGAUGCAGAGGCCGGGGAUUUAAACCUCUUUUUCCAAAAAAAUAAUAUUAUCAGAAGUUGAGCAACUAAAAAUGCAUGGACAGACUCGCUUACUUUAUUGCCUGAUCAGGGCGGCUUGGGAAGGCCGGCGGCUCCACAACGUGUGGGCACUAUGAGAAGAGUUGUGAUGUUGCUCCUCGUCACUGGUUAAUUGUCCAAUGCUACUGCCACACAAUUUUGCAAACACGGUAAUGAAAAGGCCAAACCAUAACUCCACGCUUACCUUAGAAGGCAGAUCAACAAUUAAAAUUGAGUCAGUGAUUAGAAUCCUGCAGCCUCGCGUGGUUGUUCAUUGACACAACAGAUAGAACUACUGCUAUGAAGAGAAUCAAUCUAAUAGAUACGUGUCCCUGGAAAGAGUAUGAACUUGGGAUUCCCAAUUGGCGACGGCUUGGUCGUCGGACGAGCACAUGCGCGCAUAUGUCCUGGACGAGCUUUUCGGCCAGGCCCAGGCGUCUCCUCCUAGCACCGAUGUUGCGGACCCGCCUCAAACCUGAACCAUAGAUUGAUGCAACCGUGAUGGUCCUCAUCACAUUUUAGAUUGAUGCGGCAGUGUCGGGCUCAACACGUAGCGGCAUCCGGGCAGGGGCAUGUACUGUGGAGUGUGCCGUCAAUGACUGCCAACACAGGUCGGUGUUGGCUUAAGCUCAUUCACUGCUGGGCUGUGUAGCUUAGGGUCAUUUUGCUUUUCUGUUUUGCUGUAAUAAUGUGUGUGCAUGGACAUGACAUGCGCAUGCACGUAGAUGGUGAUGUGUGGCGUGCUCGCCCACUCCCAACUCCUUCCUAGUUUCUCUCCCAGUGGACUUGGUGCUUUGAUUCGUGGUCGUGGGAUGGCGCGGCCGGCUCGGAUCAUGGCAUGCCCACCGGGAGUUGGUUAGCUAGGCCGUUGUAUCUAGCAUAUAGGAAGGAAGAGAAAUAACAGAAGAAAAACUGUGAGGUUUGACAGCGCAAUACCCUCUCUCUCUCGCGAGUUCUCCAUCCUCUCUCCCUCAUGCUCGAUCCGGCAACGACAGUCGGCUGGGCGAGAGAGGAAGGAGGAAGACCGGCGAUGAUAAUUACAGAGAGUCAGAAGCAGCAGCAUGGGUGACAGGGUGGUCGGUGGUGCGUUGGUGCGUUGCAGGGAGGCAUCAAGGGCGGCGGCGGCAUAUGAGUGGCUGGAGGCGGCCGUCACUAGUAAAAAACAGGGCUUUGGUCACGGGGCAGUUUUCACAUUAGUCCCGGUUCAGUUAAGAACCGGGACUAACGUGACCAUUUAUCCCGGUUCGUACGGCUAAGGCAUUACUCCCGGUUUACCUAGGUCCUUUAGUCCCGGUUCGUGCCACGAACCGGGACUAAAGGGUGUGAUGCCCAUUAGUCCCGGUUGGUGGCACCAACCGGGACUAAAGGUUAGACCUUUAGUACCGGUUGGUGCCACCAACCGGGACUAAUGGGUUUUGAGGCAUUAGUACCGGUUCAUGGCACGAAUCGGUACUAAAGGUCCCAUUUCAAAACUCCCCCGACCGCCUUUUCAGUUUUAGAAAAAACAAAAGAAAAUGAUGGAAAUGUCAAUAAAAUAAAAUAAAAUAAGUUUCCCAUGUGAUAUGUGGUCUACUUGUUGGGAAAAUUUACAAAUAUGAAUUUCGACUUUAUUUGCAAAAUUUCUUUGGAAUUUGUAAAAUGGGCAUAACUUUUGCAUACGAACUCGGAUUAAAAAGUUUUUUAUAUGAAAAAUCAUCUACUCGAAAAGUUACAUCCGAAUUUAACAAGGGGACAAUUAUCGUGGUCGAGAUUAAAACCAACCGGGACAAAAGCCCCUUUUUCUACUAGUGCGUGCAUGAGAGCACGAGGCGUACGGGGAGGCGCCGAGGGUUGGGUGUGGCUAGCGCCGACGCUAAACCUAGCGCAUCAUCGUGGUCGAGAUGGGGUCUCGUGGUUUUGAUAGGCUUAGCCCAUGUGCGACUGUGCGGACGAUGUUGACGAAAGGAGGAUGAAACGAUGGGCGAAGCGAAGAGGCCCGGUCAGUCGGCAGCAAAAGACUUUACUAGACUUGGAGUCAUUUUGUGGGCGAUUUGCAGCUCUAGGAGAAAAUUGAUUCAUGAAGGGGUGCACCAAACACCAUACGCAACAAACGCAUUCGUGGUCUCUUUCAUCAACGAUCUCCAGGUGCUAGCGAAGCCACAUGGGCAGCCUAGGGCGGCGCAGCCCCGCCCGGGUAAGUGGGUGCCACCCCAAGAAGGCACAUGCAAGAUUAAUGUCGAUGUUGCGCUCAUGAGGACCAGGCCGGUUGGUGCAGUCACAGCGGUGUGCAGAAAUAGGCAUGGGGUUUUUUUGGGCGCGUCCAUGAUUACCUUUCAUGGUCUUGCUGAUCCUACGACGCUAGACGGCAGUACGGGAAUCACUCGCAUUGACAAAUGAUCUUUAUGAGCGCAGGAUUUCAAUGGCCUCAGACUGCAAAGUGGUCAUAUUGAUGAUAUCGGGCAGAUGAGUGCAGCGGCAUACGGAGCUAUCAUUAGGGAGAUUGUAGAUCGAUCUAAGCAUUUUGUUACCUGCUUUUUUAGUCAUGAGUUUAGGGGCUCGAAUGUCGAGGCUCAUAAUUUAGCGAAGCAUGCUCUCUCACUUGGAGUUGGCCACCAUGUGUGGUUAGGCAACCCAGGAGAUCUAUCUUUCGUCCCUGUAAACAUUGUGACGAGUUAAAUAAAAGCUUCGCGAGAUUGCCUAAAAAAAGUCGGCAGCAAAAGAAACAUUACUCUUUUUUUAAGUAGUAGAGAUUUAUUUGGCAUUUAUUUGGAUAAGGAUGACCUUUAUCCAAAGAAAAACGAAACAUGUCAUUUAAUGCCAUUAAUUGGAUAAGGAUAGCCUUGAUGCCAACAUAUCUAUAUAAGGCGACUGAAUGGUACCCCUCAUGACCACAAAAACAUUCUGGUUGAUAGAUUCUUACAUAACUAUAUAUUUUCUAUCGUUCUGUGUUCUUAGGCAAUGGCGAACAAUGGCAUCUUCCAAGUGAUCAUUGUUUUUCUCAUGGCGCAAGUCUGCUUGCUCAUGAUGAUGGCAGCACCGGUAGCACAUGCAGCUGCUAGACCGGUGGGGUACAAUCCAGUGUGCUGCCCUAGGAACAUCUAUUGUUGCGGGUUCGGUAGCGGAUUGGCCAAUUCACCCGCACCAUCCAUUGUAUCUUGAUGCGUGGUUUAUUCUCCCCCAAGUAGUAAGCUUGACAUAUAAAUGAUAUAUGUGAUUCAUGUACCUAAUCCUGAAUAUUUGUGAUGCUACUUUCAAAAAGUUAUUGUACUGGUUACUUACAUAAUAAAAUGGGAGGAGAUUAUUAUAUAUCUUAUUCGGAGUAUACCGCAAAGAGACUUAAUGUUAUGUUUGCUUUAGUCCUUUUGAAAACUAGAUUAUUUUGCCGCAUUGAUUUACGACAAAAAGAGAGUGGCUAGGCAUACAGGUUGACCUCAUGAGUCUGCA
rnacentral:lncRNA from 1 species